rnacentral:lncRNA from 1 species
ACCGCCGCCAUCGAUCGAUCGCCCGGAAACUGACCUCUACCGAUGUCUGGAGCCGGCGAGGAGGAUAAGAAGCCCGCGGAGGGCGGCGCCCACAUCAACCUUAAGGUCAAGGGACAGGUCAGCACGCCGGCGGUUCCUCUCUUCCUCAUUUUCUUCUUUCUUGUCAACUCGCCGGUGGCCCCCCUUCCUCACCAUCUUCCCCGUAGCGAGGUAGAUUAGCGCUGUUAAACCCGCACCUCGUAGCGAUCGAUCGUCGUUGCGGUGUUGAUUCUCGGAUUGCUAGGUUGCUGUCGAAUUGGGAUUGGUAGGUAGCGAUGUGUCGGUGCUGAUAGAUGGUUCUUUGCGAGCGAAUGUUUUGUCGAUUGCGCCUGGUGUGUGCUAUAGGUAGCCCUUGCAGACUGCAGUACGGAUUUUCUGAAGAGGGCAUCGAUUGUUGACCUUACAGUCUUUACUAGUUUAAAUGGUCGAAUGUUCAUCCUUUAUUUCUCUAGAUGUUUGGUAACAGGAUUGUUGAUCACACAAAUCUGAACUGGGUUCAAUGCCAGAAUUUUCAACAUGUUUUAUUUCUCUGGAUGUUUGUUAAUAUCACAAGUUGGAUACUGAUAUGCCUUGCCCCUCGCAUGUAAUUUAUCAAAUUGUGGAAAAUUAACUUUAGGGCCAUUUGGAACAAAGGAAAUAUGAAGGAUUUUUUUAGGAUUCAUUCUCUAUAGGAUAUUUUCCUACAUGACCCUUUGGAACACAGGAUUUAAUCCCAACUUUCCUAUGGCUUUUAUCUCUCUACUCAAAUUUCUGCAUAGCAUCCAAAGGCAAAGUGAGAAAUUUUUCUGCGUUCUCAAUUCCUAUAGGAUUGCAAUUCAUAGCCAACUCUAAUCCUAUGUUUUUCUAUUUCUAUGUUUUCAUAUUCCUUCCAAAGGGGGCCUUAAUAUUAGUUAAAUGUCUGACACUGUAACUGUUGAAGCAUCGUGCUUGAAUGUUUUUCGUUUGCUUUGUUCUCUGGAAUCCCUUUUUUUGUCCCACGUGAUUCUGAAUAGAGGUUUGCCCAUAAUUCUGUUCUACUAUAGGUCUAAUGAAUAUAGAGGUUUACCCAUAAUUCUGUUCUACCGUGGGUCUAAUGAAUAGAGGUUUAUAUCCUAUAAAUUUGAAGGAUCAUCAUUUUUGUUUAUACUGUUAUUUUUUUGUUGGAGGAUAUCUCAUGUGCAUGAAACUGAUAUAGGCUAGUAAUUUUUGUCGUGUCUGAUUUUAUUCUUUUGUGCCAGGAGCUCAGAUUGCUCAUAAUUGUUAGUAGCUUUUCUAGUAUUAAUUACUGAAAGAAUCGUUAAAGUUGCUUGACAAAGCACUUUAUUCUGAGUUUGGUAAGCAACUUCUUUUGAAGGCACUACACGUUAUGACUUAUUAUAAUCGGAUUUAAAAGAGAAUUCUCACUAAUACUAAUUGGUUGGUGUAUUUGAGUACGGCGCUUGACAAUCCUCUUAAAAUGCUUGUCAGACAUUGACAUGUUUGAUAGGGUUCUAGGGGCCGUGUGCAAACUGAUAUAGGCUAACCCCUCGCUGUACGAAUGCAUGCCACGAGACAGGCUCGACCAAGGCCUCGGGAGGAACCUCCGUCUCGCCUGAGCCUGGCCUCGGUCUUAGAUAACAUCGACAAAAGGACGCCACCAACUCUUCUGUGAAGGAUGCUGACAACGGGUUUGCUACAGGACCGACGUCAAGUCUGCUUUACGCCAUACAGGAAGAAUUACCAUGCACUUUUCACCAUACUUAUCACAUUUUUCUCAACUACGACUCGGACAACACCUCCAUCAGACAGACUCGGGUACGCGUCCGAGCCCUAGAUCCUGGCCUCGGCACUUUGCUCGGUCAAGAUGCAAACACAGGGACCGAAUGUCCUCCUCCUGGUUCAAGUCAACAGAAAGGCCAUUCCGUUGGCCAUACCGGCUACGGUGGCUCAGACUCGCCUACUCUCCAUAUACGACAAAUCGUGGCACUCCUAGGAUCCCUCCUUGAGGCUAUAAAAGGAGGUCUCUAGGUCUUCAUAUUGGAGAGAGGAAAACACUUGUGGGUUUUCACAUCUCCCUCUCCUGGCCAUCUUAUACCCUCUACUACAAGCACUUAGGUGCAAGAUAAUAUAAGUCUCAUCCCCCCAAUGCUGGAAGUAUGGCCUUAUCUCGCCCGAACUAGGAUAAAAGCUUGUGUCUUCUUGCAUCACCCAUCUGGAUCUAGUCACGCCAAACUAAUUUACUAGUUGGUAGGACCCUUGGGUCAAAACAUCGUUAAUAGGAUUGCAAAUCAUAGCCAACUCUAAUCCUAUGUUUUUCCUAUUUCUGUGUUUUCAUAUUCAUGUGUUCCAAAGGGGGCCUUAAGAUUAGUUUAAUGUCUGGCACUGUAUCUGUUGAAGCACCGUGCUUGGAUGUUUUUUGUUUGAUUUGUUCUCUGGAAUCUUUUUUUUAUCCCAUGUAAUUCUGAAUAGACGUUUGCCCAUAAUGCUGCUCUACUGUAGGUCUAAUGAAUAGAGAGGUUUACCCAUAAUUCUGUUCUACCAUGGGUCUAAUGAAUAGAUGUUUAUAUUCUAUAAAUUUGCAGGAUCAUCAUAUUUGUUUAUACUGUUAUUUUUUUGUUGGAGGAUCUCAUGUGCAUGAAACUGAUAUAGGCUAGUAAUUUUUGUCGUGUCUGAUUUUAUUCUUUUGUGCCAGGAGCUCAUAUUGCUCAUAAUUGUCAGUAGCUUUUCUAGUAUUAAUUACUGAAAGAAUUGUUAAAGUUGCUUGACAAAGCACUUUAUUCUGAGUUUGGUAAACAACUUGUUUUAAAGGCACUACACGUUAUGACUUAUUAUAAUCAGAUUUAAAAGAGAAUUCUCGCUAAUACUAAUUGGUUGGUGUAUUUGAGAUAUGAUGGUUGGCAAUGCUCUUAAAAUGCUUUGAGUUUUUCAUAGGUCCAUUUUUUUUGAUAAAGUCGAAUGUUUGACUAUCAAUGCUUGAUGUUACUUGAGUCAUGCUUUAAUCGCUUAUCUGAAUAAUUUUUUUAUAAGGUUGAAACUUAAAUUUUACCAUUUGGAUUAUCUUGGGAUAUCAAUAUUGCUUAAUUUACUGAUUGAGCUGCUCUGUGUAUUGCUCGAACAUUGUGGAAUUUUACAUGUCAUAUUGUUAAGGUUACACUCUUUUGAUAUCACAUUCUCAAGUGUUAUCUGUCACUUGACUCUUCCAUCUUUAUAAUAAUAUUUAUAUAGGAUGGCAAUGAGGUGUUCUUUCGCAUAAAGAGGUCCACCCAGCUGAAGAAGCUGAUGAACGCCUAUUGCGACCGCCAGUCUGUGGACAUGAAUGCCAUUGCAUUCCUGUUUGAUGGCCGCAGGCUUCGCGGCGAGCAGACCCCUGAUGAGGUGACCCAAUUCGGCUUUAGAUCCCAGCAUUGAGUGGAAUCAUUGAUCGAUAUUUAUUAUGGCUGUGCAGCUGGAGAUGGAGGACGGCGACGAGAUCGACGCCAUGCUUCACCAGACCGGAGGCAGCGUUCCUAGCACCACCUAAAAGCAGCAGCUGCGGAGCCUCGUUUUGCUCUCCGCCCUGCGUAGUACUAAACAAAAGGGAAAAAGUCUUUUUAAGGAACUUGUGAUGCUCUGGCUCCUUGUGCCAUUGCUGAGGGACAUCCUUAGCCUUUAUUUAGUGGUAUGGUUUGGUACUUUGUUCUGUCAUCACUCGUUUAUCUAUCCCUAAUACAUGCCGCCAUGUUUGUACUUCCAAUGACGCGCCGAUCAUUUGCUUUGUUUUGUCUGCUCGAAGUCUAUGCUUUUCAGGCCAUCUCUUUGGGCCUGUUUGGUUUUGUCUCCUGAUCCUUACGUUUUGUGCACUAAGUUGAUGGAUCCCUUUUGGCUGAUUCAGUUUGUAUAAUUCCAGCCGGUGAUUUGCAGCUGCCUGAUUGUUUUUUAGUUAAAAUCUCCUCAUAUUUAAAAUAAGUGUUACAUUAAAGUAAGUUAAAUUGAUGGGUAGUUUAUCAUGGCUUUAAUGCCUACCGUUUUCUACUUUUUCACAGCUGCAUCAAUCUAAACAUUUGUCUUUAAUCCAAAGGGAAUAUGCUCUGUAAUCUCAGCGUAUGAAGUCUCAAAUGGUGAGUUAUGCGAACUCACCGCUAAACAGAUCUGUGAGAUGUGAUCAAUUCGCUCGCAUCCUUCACCACCAGUAAAGUUAGUCGAUGCUCGUCACGUCGGUAAACUCGUCGCUAAACAGAUCUGUGAGAUGUGAUCAGUUCGCUUCUAUCCCCUCCACCGCCAGUAACAAGCGAGUUCAAGUCAAGAUCCAAAUCCGGCCUGCACCUUUUUAGCAGUAUUUUGAUCGACCUAUCCAAAUAGGCUCCCUAUUUAUUUUCUUUUAAGAUUAUAUAAUUCAACUUAUUAUAUAAGCACUAAUGACUUUCUGCCAUAUUUGUUUCCUUCUAGAUUAUAUAAUACAAUUUAUGGAUUAUAUAAACAAUUAGACCAUAUUUGUUUUCUUCUAGAAUUAUAUAAUUCAACUCAUGGAUUAUACAAACACCUAGGCCCUAUUUAUUUACCCUCAAAUUUACAUAAUUCAGCUCAAAUAAGUUAAUAGAUAAAUAAACAACACAUAUUAUUAAAUAGCUAAAUGCCCGUGUGUUGCAACGGGAAUAUAUAAUAUCAGUAUACUACGAUAACUUAUAUACAAAAUGUGUGUUAUAUUGUUAUGAGAAAAUGUUUCAUAAUCAAUUUGUGAUCCUAACCAUACAUAAAUUUUGUUAUUUUAAUCCAAUUGUUUCACCACUACAUUGCAACCAUCAGUAUCAUGUAGACUUCGAUAUAUGCCACGAUUUGUAUGGUCUCAUUAUUAGAGAGCACAUUCCACACAUGCCAGAAGAAAUUUUCUCGUACAUCGUGAAAGGGAAAUGUGCCCUUGGGCCAUUUCUAAGUAUUUUGGUGAUAAAGUGCCAACACAAAUGGUUUAAGUAUGAAACUAUGCCAAAUGGUGGAAGAAGUGUAAAGUCAAUACAAAGGUAUGAUUCUAGACUUAGUACAUUGGUUUUUGUAUACUAACAUAUUUGUCUAAGUGCUAGAAUCAGAGAAAACGCAAUUGGAAAACACUUGGCUCGAGCAGUCAAGACUCUGCUUAGUCUGGGUGCACCGGACUGUCCGGUGGUGCACCGGACAGUGUCCGGUGCGCCAGGCUGGCGUCUGAUCAACUGGCUGCUCUCGGGUCUCGACGGCGGCGUACGGCUAUAAAUCACCGGACUGUCCGGUGAUGCAUCGGACAGUGUCCGGUGAGUCGGCUGCGGCGAAGUCGCCGCUCUCGGGAACAAGUCAACAGCAUACGGCUAUAAUUCACCGGACUGUCCGGUGAGCCAACGGUCGGGCGUGCCAACGGUCGGCCGCGCAAUCCGCGCGUGACGCGUGGCCGAGCCAACGGUCUGAUGGGAGCACCGGACUGUCCGGUGCGCCAACGGCUCCAAGUCUCCAACGGUCGGCUGCGCCAGAAUAGGAAAGAAAUCCACACCGGACAGUGUCCGAUGGUGCACCGGACUGUCCGGUGCGCCAGUCGACAGAAGGCAAGAAUUGCCUUUCUGGAUUGCUCUCAACGGCUCCUAGCUGCCUUGGGGCUAUAAAAGGGACCCUUGGGCGCAUGGAGGAGCACACCAAGCAUUCCUUAAGCAUUCCUAAGCACCAAGACUUCAUUUAUGCGCAUUCGAUUCUUUGUGAGCAACUAGAGCUCCAUUUGAGUAGAGAACUGAAAGGGAAUUAGGCUUACACCUAGUUCCUAAAUAAUUUUGGUGGUUGAAUUGCCCAACACAAAUCUUUGGACUAACUAGUUUGCUCUAGUGUAUAAGUUAUACAGGUGCCAAAGGUUCACACUUAGCCAAUAAAAAGACCAAGUGUUGGGUUCAACAAAAGAGCAAAGGAGCAACCAAAGGCUCCUCUGGUCUGGCGCACCGGACUGUCCGGUGUGCCACCGGACAUGUCCGGUGCACCAUAGGACUCCGACCUCAAAGUCUUCGCUCUCGGGAAUUUCCGGAGGCCACUCAGCUAUAAUUCACCGGACUGUCCGGUGUGCACCGGACAUGUCCGGUGCUCCAAGGAAGGGCGGCCUCAGGAACUCGUCAGCCUCGGGUUUUCACUCCAGCCGCUCCGCUAUAAUUCACCGGACUGUCCGGUGUGCACCGGACUGUCCGGUGCAUCUGCGGGGCAACGGCUACUUCAGGCACCAACGGCUACCUGCGGCGCAUUUAUUGCGCGCCAGCGCGCGCAGAGGUCAGGCACGCCCAUGCUGGCGCACCGGACACUCUACAGUACCUGUCCGGUGCGCCACCGGACAUCAAGGCGGGCCCAGAAGUCAGAACUCCAACGGUCAGAUUCCAACGGCACUGAUGACGUGGCUGGGGCACCGGACAUGUCCGGUGUGCACCGGACUGUCCGGUGCGCCAUCGAACAGACAGCCCAGCCAACGGUCAAGUUUGGUGGUUGGGGCUAUAAAUACCCCAACCACCCCACCAUUCAUUGCAUCCAAGUUGUCCACUUCCCAACUACUACAAGAGCUCUAGCAUUCAAUUCUAGACACACCAAAGAGAUCAAAUCCUCUCCAAUUCCACAAAAGGAUUUAGUGAUUAGCGAGAGAGAUUUGCCGUGUUCUUUCGAGCUCUUGCGCUUGGAUUGCUUCCUUCUUUCUUGAUUCUUUCUUGUGAUCAAACACUCACUUGUAAUUGAGGCAAGAGGCACCAAUUGUGUGGUGGCCCUUGCGGGAAGUUUGAUUCCCAAGUGAUUUGAGAAGAGAAGCUCACUCGGUCCGAGGGACCGAUUGAGAGAGGGAAGGGUUGAAAGAGACCCGGCCUUUGUGGCCUCCUCAACGGGGAGUAGGUUUGCAAGAACCGAACCUCGGUAAAACAAAUCCGCGUGUCACACUCUUCAUUUGCUUGCGAUUUGUUUUGCUCCCUCUCUCGCGGACUCGUUUAUAUUUCUAAUGCUAACCCGGCUUGUAGUUGUGAUUAUUUUUGAGAAUUUCAGUUUCGCCCUAUUCACCCCCCCUCUAGGCGACUUUCAAUUGGUAUCAGAACCCGGUGCUUCAUUAGAGCCUAACCGCUCGAAGUGAUGUCGGGAGAUCACGCCAAGAAGGAGAUGGAGACCGGCGAAAAGCCCACUACAAGCCACGGGAGCACUUAAUCGGAAGAAUCCCGCACCAAAAGGAAGGAGAAGAAGAGCUCCUCCAACAAAGGGAAGGAGAAGAAAUCUUCUUCGCACCACAAAGAGAAGAAGGAGAGAUCUUCCUCCCACAAGCCACAUCGGAGAGGGGACAAGCACAAAAGGAUGAGGAAAGUGGUCUACUACGAGACCGACACUUCAUCAACAUCGACCUCCGGCUCCGAUGCGCCCUCCGUAACUUCUAAACGCCAAGAGCGUAAGAAGUUUAGUAAGAUCCCCCUACAUUACCCUCACAUUUCUAAAAAUGCACCUUUACUUUCCGUCCCAUUAGGCAAACCACCAACUUUUGAUGGUGAAGAUUAUGCUAGGUGGAGUGAUUUAAUGCGAUUUCAUCUAACCUCACUCCACAAAAGUAUAUGGGAUGUUGUUGAGUUUGGUGCACAGGUACCAUCCGUAGGGGAUAAAGACUAUGAUGAGGAUGAAGUGGCCCAAAUCGAGCACUUCAACUCUCAAGCGACAACAGUACUCCUCGCCUCUUUAAGUAGAGAGGAGUAUAACAAAGUUCAAGGGUUGAAGAGCGCCAAGGAAGUUUGGGAUGUGCUCAAAACCGCGCACGAAGGAGAUGAGCUCACCAAAAUCACCAAGCGGGAAACGAUCGAGGGGGAGCUCGGUCGGUUCCGACUUCGCAAAGGGGAGGAGCCACAACACAUGUACAACCGGCUCAAGACUUUGGUGAACCAAGUGCGCAACCUCGGGAGCACGAAGUGGGACGACCACGAAAUGGUUAAGGUUAUUCUAAGAUCUCUCAUUUUCCUUAACCCCACUCAAGUUCAAUUAAUUCGUGGUAAUCCUAGAUAUACUAAAAUGACCCCCGAGGAAGUUAUCGGGAAUUUUGUAAGUUUUGAGUGCAUGAUCGAAGGCUCGAGGAAGAUCAACGAGCUUGAUGAUCCAUCCACAUCCGAAGCUCAACCCGUAGCAUUCAAGGCGACGGAGGAAAAGAAGGAGGAGGCUACACCAAGUCGACAACCUAUAGACGCCUCCAAGCUCGACAAUGAGGAAAUGGCGCUCGUCAUCAAGAGCUUCCGCCAAAUCCUCAAGCAAAGGAGAGGGAAAGACUACAAGUCCCGCUCCAAGAAGGUUUGCUACAAGUGUGGUAAGCCCGGUCACUUUAUUGCUAAAUGUCCAUUAUCAAGUGAUAGUGACAGGGGCGACGACAAGAAGGGGAGAAGAAAGGAGAAGAAGAGGUACUACAAGAAGAAGGGCGGUGAUGCCCAUGUUUGUCGGGAGUGGGACUCCGACGAAAGCUCAAGCGACUCCUCCUCCGACGAGGACGCCGCCAACAUCGCCGUCACCAAGGGACUUCUCUUCCCCAACGUCGGCCACAAGUGCCUCAUGGCAAAGGACGGCAAAAAGAAGGUUAAAUCUAAAUCCUCCACUAAAUAUGAAUCCUCUAGUGAUGAUAAUGCUAGUGAUGAGGAAGAUAACUUGCGCUCUCUUUUUGCCAACCUUAACAUGGAACAAAAGGAAAAACUAAAUGAGCUAAUUAGUGCCAUCCAUGAAAAGGAUGACCUCUUGGACUCCCAAGAGGACUUCCUAAUCAAGGAAAAUAAAAAGCAUGUUAAGGUUAAAAAUGCUUAUGCUCUAGAGGUAGAAAAAUGUGAAAAAUUGUCUAGUGAGCUAAGCACUUGCCAAGAGACCAUUAACAACCUUAGAAAUGAAAAUGCUAGAUUAAUUGCUAAGGUUGAUUCUCAUGUUUGUAUUGAUUCAAUUCCCGAUCUUAAAAAUGAUAAUGAUGAUUUACUUGCUAAGAUUAAGGAAUUGAAUGAUUCUCUUACUAGCCUUAGAGUAGAAAAUGAUAAUUUGAUUGCUAAGGCUAAAGAUUUUGAUGUCUGCAAUGUUACAAUUUCCAAUCUUAGAGAUAAUAAUGAUAUCUUGCGUGCUAAGAUCGUUGAACUUAAUUCAUGCAAACCCUCUACAUCUAGUGUUGAGCAUGUUUCCAUUUGUACUAGAUGUAGAGAUGUUGAUAUUAAUGCUAUUCAUGAUCACAUGGUCUUAAUUAAACAACAAAAUGAUCAUAUAGCAUUAUUAGAUGCUAAAAUUGCUGAGCAUAACUUAGAAAAUGAAAAGUUUAAAUUUGCUAGAAGUAUGCUCUAUAAUGGGAGACGCCCUGGCAUCAAGGAUGGCAUUGGCUUCCAUAGGGGAGACAAUGUCAAAAUUAAUGCCCCUCCUAAGAACUUGUCUAACUUUGUUAAGGGCAAGGCUCCCAUGCCUCAGGAUAACGAGGGUUACAUUUUGUACCCUGCCGGUUAUCCCGAAAGCAAAAUUAGGAGAAUUCACUCUAGGAAGUCUCACUCUGGCCCUAAUCAUGCUUUUAUGUAUAAGGGUGAGACAUCUAGUUCUAGGCAACCAACCCGUGCCAAGUUGCCUAGAAAGAAAACUCCUAAUGCAUCAAAUGAUCAUGCUAUUUCAUUCAAAACUUUUGAUGCAUCAUAUGUGCUUACUAACAAAUCCGGCAAGGUAGUUGCCAAGUUUGUUGGGGGCAAACACAAGGGCUCUAAGACUUGUGUUUGGGUACCCAAAGUUCUUGUGUCUAAUGCCAAAGGACCCAAAACCGUUUGGGUACCUAAAGUCAAGAACUAAAAUUGUUUUGUAGGUUUAUGCAUCCGGGGGCUCAAGUUGGAUACUCGACAGCGGGUGCACAAACCACAUGACAGGGGAGAAGAAGAUGUUCUCCUCCUACGAGAAAAACCAAGAUUCCCAACGAGCUAUCACAUUUGGGGAUGGAAAUAAAAGUUUGGUCAAAGGUCUUGGUAAAAUUGCUAUAUCUCCUGACCAUUCUAUUUCCAAUGUUUUUCUUGUAGAUUCUUUAGAUUACAAUUUGCUUUCCGUUUCACAAUUAUGUCAAAUGGGCUACAACUGUCUCUUUACUGAUGUAGGUGUCACUGUCUUUAGAAGAAGUGAUGAUUCAAUAGCAUUUAAGGGUGUGUUAGAGGGUCAGCUAUACUUGGUAGAUUUUGAUAGAGCUGAACUCGACACAUGCUUAAUUGCUAAGACUAACAUGGGUUGGCUCUGGCACCGCCGACUAGCCCAUGUUGGGAUGAAGAAUCUUCAUAAGCUUCUAAAGGGGGAACACAUUUUAGGAUUAACCAAUGUUCAUUUUGAGAAAGACAGGAUUUGUAGCGCAUGCCAAGCCGGGAAGCAAGUUGGCACUCAUCAUCCACACAAGAACAUCAUGACGACCGACAGGCCACUGGAGCUCCUACACAUGGAUCUAUUCGGCCCGAUUGCUUACAUAAGCAUCGGCAGGAGUAAGUACUGUCUAGUUAUUGUGGAUGAUUAUUCUCGCUUCACUUGGGUAUUCUUUUUACAGGAAAAAUCUCAAACCCAAAAGACCUUAAAGGGAUUCUUGAGACGGGCUCAAAAUGAGUUCGGCUUAAGGAUCAAGAAAAUAAGAAGCGACAAUGGGACGGAGUUCAAGAACUCUCAAAUUGAAGGCUUCCUUGAGGAGGAGGGCAUCAAGCAUGAGUUCUCUUCUCCCUACACCCCACAACAAAAUGGUGUAGUGGAGAGGAAGAAUCGAACUCUAUUGGACAUGGCAAGGACCAUGCUUGAUGAGUACAAGACUUCGGAUCGGUUUUGGGCCGAGGCAGUCAACACCGCCUGCUACGCCAUCAACCGGUUAUAUCUUCACCGAAUCCUCAAGAAAACAUCCUAUGAACUCCUAACCGUUAAAAAGCCCAACAUUUCAUAUUUUAGAGUUUUUGGUAGCAAAUGCUUUAUUCUUGUUAAAAAAGGUAGAAAAUCUAAAUUUGCUCCUAAAACUGUAGAAGGCUUUUUACUUGGUUAUGACUCAAACACAAGGGCAUAUAGGGUCUUUAACAAGUCCACUGGACUAGUUGAAGUCUCAUGUGGCGUUGUGUUUGAUGAGACUAACGGCUCUCAAGUAGAGCAAGUUGAUCUUGAUGAGAUAGGUGAUGAAGAGGCUCCGUGCAUCGCGCUAAGGAACAUGUCCAUCGGGGAUGUGUGUCCUAAGGAAUCCGAGGAGCCUCCAAAAACAUAAGAUCAACCAUCCUCCUCCACGCAAACAUCUCCACCAACUCAAAAUGACGAUGAGGCUCAAGUUGAUGAAGGGCAAGAUCAAGAAGAUGAGCCACCUCAAGAUGAUGGCAAUGAUCAAGGGGGAAAUGCAAAUGAUCAAGAAAAGGAGGAUGAGCAAGAACCAAGGCCGCCACACCCAAGAGUCCACCAAGCAAUUCAACGAGAUCACCCCGUCGACACCAUCCUCGGCGACAUUCAUAAGGGGGUAACCACUAGAUCUCGUGUUGCACAUUUUUGUGAGCAUUACUCUUUUGUUUCCUCUAUUGAGCCACACAGGAUAGAGGAAGCACUUCAAGAUUCGGAUUGGGUAGUGGCGAUGCAAGAGGAGCUCAACAACUUCACUAGGAAUGAGGUAUGGCAUUUAGUUCCACGUCCUAACCAAAAUGUUGUAGGAACCAAAUGGGUCUUCCGCAACAAGCAAGAUGAGCAUGGUGUGGUGACAAGGAACAAAGCUCGACUUGUGGCCAAGGGAUACUCCCAAGUCGAAGGUUUGGAUUUCGGUGAAACCUAUGCACCCAUAGCUCGGCUUGAGUCAAUUCGCAUAUUAUUGGCCUAUGCUACUUACCAUGGCUUUAAGCUUUAUCAAAUGGACGUGAAAAGUGCCUUCCUCAACGGACCGAUCAAGGAAGAGGUCUAUGUUGAGCAACCUCCCGGCUUUGAAGAUGGUGAGUACCCUAACCAUGUCUAUAAGCUCUCUAAGGCGCUUUAUGGGCUCAAGCAAGCCCCAAGAGCAUGGUAUGAAUGCCUUAGAGAUUUCCUUAUUGCUAAUGGCUUCAAAGUCGGCAAGGCCGAUCCUACUCUAUUCACUAAAACUCUUGACAAUGAUUUGUUUAUAUGCCAAAUUUAUGUUGAUGAUAUCAUAUUUGGGUCUACUAACGAAUCUACUUGUGAGGAAUUUAGUAGGAUCAUGACACAGAAAUUCGAGAUGUCUAUGAUGGGAGAGUUGAAAUAUUUCUUGGGAUUUCAAGUCAAGCAACUCCAAGAAGGCACCUUCAUUAGCCAAACAAAGUAUACUCAAGACAUCAUAAGCAAGUUUGGAAUGAAGGAUGCCAAGCCCAUCAAGACACCCAUGGGAACAAAUGGGCAUCUCGACCUCGACACAGGAGGUAAGUCCGUGGAUCAAAAGGUAUACCGGUCGAUGAUUGGUUCAUUGCUUUAUUUAUGUGCAUCUCGACCGGACAUUAUGCUUUCCGUAUGCAUGUGUGCAAGAUUCCAAGCCGACCCUAAGGAAUCACACCUUACGGCCGUAAAACGAAUCUUGAGAUAUUUGGCUUAUACUCCUAAGUUUGGGCUUUGGUACCCUCGGGGAUCCACAUUUGAUUUGAUUGGUUAUUCGGAUGCCGAUUGGGCGGGGUGUAAGAUUAACAGGAAGAGCACAUCGGGGACUUGCCAGUUCUUGGGAAGAUCCUUGGUGUCAUGGGCUUCAAAGAAGCAAAAUUCGGUCGCUCUUUCCACCGCCGAAGCCGAGUACAUUGCCGCAGGUCAUUGUUGCGCGCAACUACUUUGGAUGAGGCAAACCCUGCGGGACUACGGUUACAAAUUAACCAAAGUCCCUUUGCUAUGUGAUAAUGAGAGUGCAAUCAAAAUGGCCGACAAUCCUGUCGAGCAUAGCCGCACUAAACACAUAGCCAUCCGGUAUCAUUUUCUUAGGGAUCACCAACAAAAGGGGGAUAUCGAGAUUUCUUACAUUAACACUAAAGAUCAAUUAGCUGAUAUCUUUACCAAGCCUCUUGAUGAACAAACUUUUACCAAACUUAGGCAUGAGCUCAAUAUUAUUGAUUCAUGCAACUUCUUUUGUUAGAUUGCACACAUAGCUCAUUUAUAUAUUUUUGAUCAUAUCUCUUUUAUAUGCUAUGACUAAUGUGUUUUCAAGUCUAUUUUAAACCAAGUCAUAGGUAUAUUGAAAGGGAAUUGGAGUCUUCGGCGAAGACAAAGGCUUCCACUCCGUAACUCAUCCUUCGCCGUCACUCCAAGCCACUCUCCUUCUUUGGGGGAGAGAGCAAAAGGACUUCAUCUUUGGUAUAAUCUUAACUCAUUUGUUUAUGACCAAAGGGGAAGAAAUUACUUCGAGGGCUCUAAUGAUUCUGUUUUUGGUGAUUCAUGCCAAAGGGGGAGAGAGUAUGAGCCCAAAGCAAAAGGACCGCACCACCACCAACUUCAAAAAAAAACUUAGAUUAGAUUUUCAAAGAAUAAUUUUUCAAUUGGUAUCCCAUUGUGUUCAAAAAGGGGAGAAAGUAGUAUUUCAAAAUUGAUUCAUCAAAACCCUCUUGAACACUAAGAGGAGGAUUUCAUUUAGGGGGAGUUUUGUGUAGUCAAAGGAAAAACAUUUAAAACAGGGGAGAAAAUUUCAAAACUUGAAAAUGCUUUGCAAACUCUUAUUUAUUUACCUUUGACUAUUUGCAAAAGAACUUUGAAAAGAUUUACAAAAGAUUUUUGCAAAAACAAAACAUGAGGUGCAAGCGUGGUCCAAAAUGUUAAAAAUGAAGAAACAAUCCAUGCAUAUCUUGUAAGUAUUUAUAUUGGCUCAAUUCCAAGCAACCUUUGCACCUAUAUUAUGCAAACUAGUUCAAUUAUGCACUUCUAUAUUUGCUUUGGUUUGUGUUGGCAUCAAUCACCAAAAAGGGGGAGAUUGAAAGGGAAUUAGGCUUACACCUAGUUCCUAAAUAAUUUUGGUGGUUGAAUUGCCCAACACAAAUCUUUGGACUAACUAGUUUGCUCUAGUGUAUAAGUUAUACAGGUGCCAAAGGUUCACACUUAGCCAAUAAAAAGACCAAGUGUUGGGUUCAACAAAAGAGCAAAGGAGCAACCGAAGGCUCCUCUGGUCUGGCGCACCGGACUGUCCGGUGUGCCACCGGACAUGUCCGGUGCACCAGAGGACUCCGACCUCAAAGUCUUCGCUCUCGGGAAUUUCCGGAGGCCACUCAGCUAUAAUUCACCGGACUGUCCGGUGUGCACCGGACAUGUCCGGUGCUCCAAGGAAGGGCGGCCUCAGAAACUCGCCAGCCUCGGGUUUUCACUCCAGCCGCUCCGCUAUAAUUCACCGGACUGUCCGGUGUGCACCGGACUGUCCGGUGCAUCUGCGGGGCAACGGCUACUUCAGGCGCCAACGGCUACCUGCGGCGCAUUUAUUGCGCGCCAGCGCGCGCAGAGGUCAGGCACGCCCAUGCUGGCGCACCGGACACUCUACAGUACCUGUCCGGUGCGCCACCGGACAUCAAGGCGGGCCCAGAAGUCAGAACUCCAACGGUCAGAUUCCAACGGCACUGAUGACGUGGCUGGGGCACCGGACAUGUCCGGUGUGCACCGGACUGUCCGGUGCGCCAUCGAACAGACAGCCCAGCCAACGGUCAAGUUUGGUGGUUGGGGCAAUAAAUACCCCAACCACCCCACCAUUCAUUGCAUCCAAGUUGUCCACUUCCCAACUACUACAAGAGCUCUAGCAUUCAAUUCUAGACACACCAAAGAGAUCAAAUCCUCUCCAAUUCCACAAAAGGAUUUAGUGAUUAGCGAGAGAGAUUUGUCGUGUUCUUUCGAGCUCUUGCGCUUGGAUUGCUUCCUUCUUUCUUGACUCUUUCUUGUGAUCAAACACUCACUUGUAAUUGAGGCAAGAGGCACCAAUUGUGUGGUGGCCCUUGCGGGAAGUUUGAUUCCCAAGUGAUUUGAGAAGAGAAGCUCACUCGGUCCGAGGGACCGAUUGAGAGAGGGAAGGGUUGAAAGAGACCCGGCCUUUGUGGCCUCCUCAACGGGGAGUAGGUUUGCAAGAACCGAACCUCGGUAAAACAAAUCCGCGUGUCACACUCUUCAUUUGCUUGCGAUUUGUUUUGCUCUCUCUCUCGCGGACUCGUUUAUAUUUCUAACGCUAACCCGGCUUGUAGUUGUGAUUAUUUUUGAGAAUUUCAGUUUCGCCCUAUUCACCCCCCCCUCUAGGCGACUUUCAAGAACUCUUCGAGUUGUGUUGAGAGCUCGAGUUGUGACUUGUGUGCGCAUUGUUGCUCUGAUUUUGUGUCUUGUGUGUGUUGAUCAUCCCAUCCUUACUUCCGUGAUUCUUUGUGUUAAUCAAAUUGUAAGGGCGAGAGGCUCCAAGUUGUGGAGAUUCCUCGCAAGCGGGAUAUAGUGAAACGAAAGCAAAACACUGUGGUAUUCAAGUGGGUCUUUGGACCGCUUGAAAGGGGUUGAGUGCAACCCUCGUCCGUUGGGACACCACAACGUGGAGUAGGCAAGUGUUGGACUUGGCCGAACCACGGGAUAAACCACUGUGUCUCUCUAUGUUGAUCUCUUUGUGGUUAUUGUGUUUUGCAAAAACUCAUCUCUAGCCACUUGACUUCAUUGCGCUAACACUUAAUCAAGUUUGUGGCUUUGAGUUUAAGUUUUUUCAGGAUCACCUAUUCACCCCUCCUCUAGGUGCUCUCACAUCGUUAGUCAUUAGACACACACCACCAUACGCUCUUGCUUAAACAAAAAGGUAAGUGUGUGUGUUUGCGAAGAGAAUUAAAGGCAUGCCGGCACAAAAGCUACCCCGAUGGUGGCGUGGCGAGGAUGACGAACUGGUCACUAUUGUCGAUCCUCCUCUGUGUCACCUCCGGCGUUAAAAUGACGCCACAAUCCUCGAUAUAGUAGUCGUCGAAUGUGCGCGACAUGAUGAGUACCGAUGACUCUUGGUUGGGCUGCCAAACGAAGUGCACCCCGGACUCAUCAGCGAGGUAGUACCCCUGGCCAUUGCACCACCGGAUGCGCUACUCCACUACAUACAUCAUGUUCGAGGACACUCACACAACGUCAGCAACGUCCAUCGUCCCAGCGCACAAAAAUUCAUGUCCGGUCAGUAGUGACUUACGUGGCAGGUUGGGCUUCAGGUGGACGAUGAGCUUGACAGCGUGAUGGCGUCGUCGUUGGAUGCGGUGUCCAGAACAACCUAAGAGUCGUCGACGUUGGCGACAACCAUGAGGCCCCCUGCUUAACGAUGGACAGCGCGGUGCAGCUGCUCUGGACCGCGUCUAAGCGGCGGCUUCGCGGGAGCUUAUCGUACACAUUGGUGCAUGCGACCACGUAGGACUACUUCUAGAGGUCGAACUAAAAGUCGCCAAGCUUCCUCUCGUCGUCGAUGAGCGACGCUAACGCGAGUGCCUCCUGCUCAUGGUAUUUGUUUGGGGUUUCAAGUAAUAAACAUGGAUUCAUGCUUGGCGUUGGUUUAUGAAAAUGACUCACAAGUCUAAUCCAUGGAAAAAUAUUACAAAGAAAAAUAUCACGCAUGCAAAAAAAGGAAAUUUAAGUAUAAUACAUUAUUCAAACAAAAGAAAUUACAUGCAAAGCUCUUCUUUAAAUAAUAUUACCUCCAUCCAAAAAUAUAAUUCAAGAAUCUCAGUGAUACUUAUCUACUACUACGCAUUGUGCAAAGGUAGCAAGUGAAUUUGGUGAGAGAUGUAGUAGAUGUGUUUCCUGUGAUAGAUGUAGACAUAAACACACAUGUGGUGUAGCGUUAGCUACUCUUGGCCUUUGUUUGAGAGGUUACAGGUUCAAAUCCCCUUAAGGACAUGUGUGUUUUUUAAUUUUAGCUAGACAUGGGCUGUACGGGGAAAUGAGAGUGGGAAUGGGUUUUGCAGGGAGGGAGAAUGAGAAAGACAUAACGAAGAAUGAGAAUGGCAGAACAUGGGAAUGAGAAGGAAUGGUGGCAGAACGGGAAUGGCAGAACAGGAAUGGUGGCAGAACACGGAAUGACAGACUACUCUUGCAGCCUUAAUAAGUAUUAGAGAUUAGAGAUUUACAUAAUUCAGCUCAAAUAAGUUAAUAGGUAAAUAAACAACACAUAUUAUUGAAUAAAUUAUGUAAUCUAGAUACCUAGAUUAUGAUAAUAUUUAAAUAUGUCAAUAUGUGCUUAUAUAAUCUAUAAGUUGAAUUAUAUAAUUUUGGAAAGAAACAGACAGGACCCUAAUACCUGCUUAUAGAUUAUUAUAAUUUAGAUAUAUAGAUUAUAUAAUCCACCAAAUAAUAUGCGUUUUUUGUUUGUUUUUUCACUUAUUUAAGCUAGAUUAUAUAAUAAAAAGGUAAACAAACAGAACCUUAAUAACUUUCUUAUGGAUUAUCAUAAUCUAAGGGUUUGCUUGUUUGUUAUUAUAAUAUUUCUAGAUUAUAUAAUCUAACAAAUUUUGAAGUAGGUGAGUUCAAAAUUUGUUAAAUUAUAUAGGCAUGUUUAUUUGAUUUUAGGAUUAUAUAAUCCAACUUAUAGAUUAUAUAAGCACAUAAUAACCUGUUUAUAGAUUACUAUAAUCUAGGUAUCUAGAUUACAUAAUCUAAUAGUAAUCUGUAUUGUUUAGUUCCCUCUUAACUUAUUUAAUAUGUAUUAUAUAAUCUCAAGGAUAAACAAGCAGAGCCUAAGUAUCGAAAUUAUAUAAUCCACCAGAUAAGUUGUGUUGUUUGUUGCCCUCUUAACUUAUUUAAGUUGCAUUAUAUAAUAUACACGGUAUAUAUUAUAUAAUCCAGCUUAAAUAGGUUGAGGAACAAACAAACAACACACAUUAUUAAGUGUAUUAUUAUAUAAUCAAGAUGUCUAGACUAGAUUAGUCUGGGCAUAUAGAUUAUAUAAUCCAUGUAACAAUCUGAGUUGUUUGUUUGCCUCUUUAGGCAUUAUUUGUUUGCUUACAGGAUUAUAUAAUACAUCUUAUAUAAGCUCCUAUUGGCAUGCUUAUGGAUUAUCAUAAUCUAGGUAUCUAGAUUAUAUAAUCCACCUAAUAAUCUGUGUUGUUCGUUUACCUCUUAACUUAUUUAAGCUGGAUUAUAUAAUAUAGUGGACCUUAACUUAAGAGGUGUUUGUUUGAGACUCGUAGUUUAAAAUUUGUUAGAUUAUAUAAUCUGGACAGGUUAUAAUCACAAACCAGCCCGUAUAAUAUCAAGGUAAACAAACAGGAUAGUCAUAAGGAUGUCUCCAGCAACGUUCUCUAAAUUUCUUCUUCAAAAGUAAUAUUCUCUGUCUUUUACAGUACACUCUAAAGGAUUUCUCUAUAUAUUCAUCGUCUUCUAAAUUUCGUCUUUUAUAUUUUACUCUAUACAUUUUCGCUUGUAUAUGAACACAAAUUUUGGAAACCGUAUUUUUAUCAAUGAGAUGUUUAUAUAUUGGAAAUUAUUUUUGUAUUUAUAUUACUAAAUAUGUUUUCCAGCUACCUAAUAGACAUGAGGAAAUAUGAUUUUUUUUCUUGUUCGAUGCGGUUCUUCGGUGGGGUCUUGAGUGAAGGCGACUUCCAGAGCUACCUUCAUCGAACGACUUCGACAAUGCUGUCUUCGGAGCAGGCGAUGGCUCACAGGCUCAGCGCCAACUUCCAUAGAGCCGCAGGUAGCCAAACGUCGUCACUGUCGGCCUUCUCCACGUCUCCGCAGUCGAGCGCCGCCGUUGCCGACCUUCUCCAUGUCUCCGCAGCCAAGCGACUCAGUGUCGCCGAACCGUACCUCUUCCCCGAUCGAACUCCUCCGAUUGAGCUCCUCCCCGUCGUCGCUGCCGAGCUGCUCCGCGCCGACAUAGCCAUGGUCGUCCUCGCUGCCGGACCACCCUAGUUCGCAUCGGGUUGGGUAGCUUCUCCUAUGACGAGGACAUAUAGCGGCUCAACAGUGAACCGCUAGCUUUAGCGGGUCAAAGGAGUACGCCUGUAUUUUACGAUCUUAAUGUUCGUUGUUGGAGAGUAUAGGAGUGUACAAAACAUUAAAAAUAGUGGAUACUCUACCGUUCCUUCCCAGAGACAGUACAAGAAUAAUCAGUGGUUCGCACCUUUCGAUUUUGUUUUCACGAGGUUCCGCGCCGCUCUGCAGAGUGCAGACUGCGCACAACCAUGGACAGAGAGAGAGCGAAGGAUAAAAGCAUCGGGGUUUUAGACAUGUGUAUAGACAGAGAGAGAGAGUGUGUCGGGCAGAGAGAGAAGGCUGAAAUCGCCACCUGCUGCCCAACACGGCAACACCCCGGACCCCGCGUCCCCCACUUCUUCAGCUUCCGCCACCUCCUCAACACAUCAAAUCCACUCGUCCUCUCCACCCACCUGCCCCCCGCUUCCUUCCCCGGCGCGGAGAACCAACCAGCCUUUUGACGCUGUCGCCCGCCGAUAGAGCACUAGACGCGCUAGCCCCCGGAUCUCCUCCGCGGCCUCGCCGCACGCGUGGGGAUGGAUUUCGACGGCGCCAUUGGCGAUCAGGGGUGAGUUGAACGCACUGCGCGUGGUUCUGGGUCGCGUGCCGCGGAGAAAAGGCGGCACCUUUUGUCUGUUUUCUCGCUUCCGUUCCAUCUCCGUCGAUCCCCAAUUUUGUUGCGCUCUUGGUGCGAUACGGGUGGUGGGUGUGGUAGCACAACGGUACUAGAGUGGAAGUUGCUAAUACAAGCUGCGCCUCUUUUUGGUCAAUGUGCUCUUUAUGCGGCCUAUGAUGAUGUUAAGGGAGCAGGAUGCAAGGACUACUAAUUCUGGGGGGCAAAGGAUCGUGUUUCCCCUCCUUCUGUAUGAAGCUUUGCUGUGGCUUUCGCGCCUUUUCCGCAUGCUGCGUCCAAUUUCAGCUACCACUUUUGAUGCAUUUGCUUACUAAUCGAACUAUCGAAGGGAUUCUUGUUUUUGUUUUUUCUGUUACAUUCCUUUACAUAGAUUGCUAUCACGAGCUUUUGACCUCUGCUAGUAUGCUGUCUGAUGUUUCUGAACUCUGAACAUUCUGGUAUUCCAUGCGCACGCACGCGCACACAGGCACGCGCACGCGCACGCGCACACGCACGCACACACGCACAUAACUGACACAUUUUCUGUAGCCAAGAUGCAAAAUUUACCUUGUCUCUUUAUGGCGGUUACUUGCCUUUCAUGCCGGCUAGUAUUUCGCACAGAUGCAUUAUUCAUGACCUACAUUCCUCCAAAUUUAAAUUUCAGUUCAGUAUAAUUCUCUGUUAAGAUUUUACUCUUUCUUCAACAUUGGCUGGAGAGACUUAUAUACUUCACUUUUUUACUCCUUGACCUGAGCUGCCUGCUCCUAAAAUUUCUUGCAAGAGUAAUCACUUCUGAUUGAGCUCGUCGUUGUGGAACUUCUUACAGUGAGUUGUGGGAAUGGCAAAGUCAGGAGUAUUGUAUGCAGAAAGAUUCGUUAGCUGGUUUGCUCCACGUCAUUGCAUCACUAUUUCUGCUCGAAAUAUAUAUCCACGUAGAGACGUAAGAAUCAUGUAUUUCUGAUUUGGCAGCUCCAUGUAGCAGUUUGUGGGCCGAAGCAAGCAACAAUGUGGGUGGUGAUUGGAGCAUAUUUGAGGAGCAAACACCAAUUAAACACUGUACAGACUUCGAAUUUCAGUUCUGUGAUGUAGGAGGUGAAGUCUUGUUCUCAUGGUAAUGAAAUCUACAGACAUGAGCUUAAAUCUAGAUUCUAAACUAUUCCAGUUCACACCAAGCUAUCUACUUAAAUUGGUUUUUCACUGCCAAUAUCCUGUACAGAGACCAGUAGCACCUUCUUUUAGAUGCUAAUAUAUGUUAUCUAUUUCUCUCUGCUUCUUGAAAUUGCAUUAAUGACAUGGUAACUUGUGAUAUGUAAAUCCAAAACAUAUAUAAAGCAGAAUGACUAGUAUAAUAACAAAAUCAGUCGAUUAUUGCAAUUAGAACAAGUACGUUUCGAGGCUACUAUUUCCCUAUUGUGUAUGUCUGAUCUGAGCUAUAAAAUGCAACAGGUAGAUGAUUUGACCUAAAUAUCACAAUGGAUUAAACUGGAUAUUUCCUAACUCUAUCCCAUCUGACCUUUUUGGCAAACACUUAAUAAGGUGCUAAUACAUAUCAGUUGCAUUUCCGGACUAGUAAAAAUGCAAUCUAGAUAUCAUCGUCAAGGAGUUUGAAGAAAGGAAGGAAACUUUACAGGCAAAACGCACACGCAUGCUGCAGUUCUGUCCAGAAAAUCUUGAGGUACUUGCUCUUUAAUCAAAGUAUCCUGUGAGAUGAAGUGAACUAGUUGUGUCAGUUUAUAGUGGUAUUUUGUUGUCUUCAUUGGUAUACUGCCUUUGUAUGUUUAGAUGACAUGUUCAGUGACUGAAGAUGGGCUCUUGGAAAGUCUUCAGGAGAUGAUUUUUCAGGUAUACCUCCCAUCAUUACUGCUAGAAUUUUGGUGUUUAGGCUGGAUGCCUUCUUUUCCAUUUCUAAUCGUAUUGUUAACUCCAGGUACUGACUGUUUACUGAACUCUGACGGGACUGAUGAACUGCCAGAAGAAUGGCUAGUUAGUUGAUCACAAGAUAUCGAGCCCGGUUUUCCGGCAGAAGAAAUGUACUUGUUUCAUUCCAUUGUUCAUAAGAGUUUGGAUUCCUGAGUUGUUGAGUUCACUGUCUUUGAAGAUGAGAUAUUGCUACUUAUGGUGUCGAAAAUCUUCUUAGUAGGAAUAACCCUGCUGCUGCAACGGAAGAAACUGCCGAUGUCUUGGCUUGGUACAAACCUCUCAUGAGAUUUCGUUAUCCCUGUUUAUAGUGGAUUGAAAGUUGCUGAUAGAUGAACACCAUGCUUAUUUCUUGGUGCACCAGAGCUCUUCGCCUGUCGUAGUCCACGACAAUCCUGCAUGCUCUAGACCUACUUCUCUGAAAGGUGCAGGUGCGCCCAACUCUUGUCCACCUUUGCUUAAAGAACCAUGGUUCUUGUAUUCUCCCUAUCAAGAACAGUUUGUAUUGGUUAUGUAAUGUGAAUCCUGUUAUUUGAACUCAGAACACACUCUCAUCCUUUGUGCAGCUGGCAAAAUUUAUUAUCGGAGCAAAGAAGGCGAGACCAUCCGUGUCCCUCCCUUUUGUGCUGAUCAAACCAUACAGCAUCCAUGGCGACAUCACCCUGAACGACAUCAACGAGAAGAUCCACGCCCCUUCGCCGCAUAAGAUCAGGCACAGGAGCGACGAGGAGCCCGACCCGCUCCAGGCCUCAGCAGCGAUCUCAGGGAAACCUGUGGCCCACAAGACGAAGAUCCACACGGAGGGGGGGAAGGGGGAAGGGGAGCAUCACGAUCACCAGAACCAAAGGCUAGGCUGAUGACCAUUUGUGUGACGCUGGCGAAGUGGCUAACAGUUGAUUCGCCUUUGCAUUUUUGGCGCUCUGGGCUCGUUCCCAAUUGGUUUUGUGGCCCAGGUGAUGCAUGGCCUUAGCAGCGUGCUUGUAGCGUUUUCUGUUCUUGCUGUUUACUAGUAUCUUACGCACGCGCCUUAGCGCACGUCAUAGGCAGCGCUGAAUCGUGUCAAUGAGUUAAUAUAAAAAUUUAAUAAAAUAAUCCAAAGAAAAUAAGAAUGGUUCAUAUGUAGUGGUACUACUAAUAAUGAAUUGCACAAUAUACUGUAUGUUUUGUUUUGAAAAGGCCAUCUGCCUCAUCGAGCAGGCUCGGCUCGUUCUCGCCGACGUGGGAGGUACCUGCAGGCCCGCGGCCAGCAGGACAACAAGAUGGUCCGGACUCCGGAACAUGGAGGAGCUGCUGGCCCGGAUCAUGGCACACACGACGUGGCCAGGCGGUGGUGACGCCGACAGACGACGACGCUCGGACAAGAGCGAGAGCAACGAGGUUACGAGGACGACUGGGUCGAGAUCCAGACGUUGGGGCUGCUGGACGUGGCGGUGUCGUACCUGAAGAGCAGCAGAAGAUAUCGAACAAUGAGAAUCUGUCUGUUUGGUUUAACUUUUUUCUGACCAUCUUUUCUGAAAAUCUGACUGUGGUGAGAAUCUGGCUGUAGGGAGAAUCUGAGUAUCAUUACGAUUACGUGUGGAGAAAGAUAAAUUUGUUCAUAGGGCUCAGGAUCUAGAAAGUGAUGGAUUUCUACUAUUACAACGACUCAACCGAUUAUGUGUUUAUGUUGAUUUUAGAUGGUUUUUGCCCCCAACGAAUUUUAUAGAAGCUGACUGAAAAGCUGAGCGUUUGGCAGUCUGUAGCAGCUUUUGGUGGCCAGAAGCUGCCAGAAACUGAAACAAACAGGCACUAGACCACUAGCAGCAGUAGCAUCAAUGCAUCACCAUCUUUCGAUCGAACUCCAUGCAUAUAUAUCAUCUGAUCGAAUCUUCUCCAGCUCUAGCUUUUGGACCAACUCCGAUCUGUAGCGCUAGCAUUUCUUAACUGAGUGAACUUCGCUUUGAAUGGGAUCUAAGUGAAACCACUCAAAGAAAGAGUUCGUUGCCUCUUCACCGGUCUUUAAACAGAUGAGAUAGUAUGGUCUCGUGGUCAACGAAAAUGAAUUAGUGCUUUCAUGUAUCGUAGUUGUACUCUAAGGGCUUGUUCGGUUAGCUCUCAAUCCAUGUGGAUUGAGCGGGAUUGGAUGGGUUUGAAUCCCAAACAGCUCAAACUUCUUCACAAUUUUUUCCAAUCCCAUCCAAUCCAUGUGUAUUGGGAAUAACCGAACAAGCCCUAAAGGGUUUGUAGUUUUGCGAGAUCAUAUCAACCACGUGCUGAAGGGAACAAGACUCACAAUGUUUCGAUCAAAAACUCAAUAGUGGAGAUGGCAUGGAGCGAUACAAAAGAGGAUAUUAUGAAGACCCACUUACAUGUUAUCCGAUUUACUCAACCGAGAGCUUCAUACUCGCGUGGGCAUUAUUGCGAGGGCUUCAACUAGGACUAAGGCUAUGCCUAGUAGACCAUGCAUAUGGCCGUGCACGGUUACAGAGCGAGGUUUGAAAUAAUAGGUGAGAUGAGUAACGUUGCGGGUAAUAGUCUAAGACCGUGUCCAACAUGUUACCGAUAUGGUCACCCAAAACAUUUUCUACACUGUAGACUGUCAUGUUCAGAGAUUGAAGUUUGAAACAUGAGAUGAGAUGGGAGAUAGGAUGUGUAAGCUACUGAAGAUAACAUAAGGAAAGCUUAUGCUUCUUCAGUAAAAAUAUUGAAUUUGUUGUCCGAGGUUUGCAUCUUUGUCACCUUUUAGCUCCUGUAUUUACAUUACAUAUUUUACAUCUGUUUCUAACUUAGUUGAUAUGUUUGAAAAUAUGUACAUGACUUUUUAUAGUAAGGAUAACAACAUACUUAUGGUUUGUUUGGGAUUGCUCCAACUCUAGAAAAAUUUAGUGGAGUUGAUGGAGAGGUCAUUAUGUGCUCUAGAAAUUUGUGGAGUUACAUUUGUGAAACUUUAAAGGCAUAUAUAUACACUAUUUUAUUUAUUAUUUAGCUACUUAAAUUUAUAUAAUAAACUACCGGGAGCACCAAAAAAAUGACUCCCAAAAACAUGUUAUUAGGAGCACCCAUAAAAUAUUAGUAGUUGACUUGAACCCUUUCUCCAACCGUUCUUUUAAAAGUGGAUAAAAAAAUUAUAAACUAUGUCCGGUUACCUUUGGGCCUAUGUUGAUAUAUUUUUAUGGAUGUUUUUUCUUCUUCCACGACUUUGAUGUCUGCUUAACGACCAAACCUACAUUUCUAUCAAGGUUGCUAAUGGUACGCGAGCCAGUGAGGGAGGACCGAUGGCGGGGCCAUGACAACAUAGUUUCGACCGACGAUGUAGAUCCAAUAGCGGGGUCGAGCGACGAUAGAUAUCGAACAACGAGAUUGCAAUGGCGGCAAGACGACGAAGUUGCGCGACCGCGACGGUGGACUGUGAGGUUGCAGGCUCAUAGUGGGGGACAUCUUAGCGUUCAAAUUGGAACCCUACGUGAUUACAUAAGCGGCAAACAAACGCAAUAAGCGUUAAAAAAAGAAAGUUGGCUUGAUUUUGGGAGCGCUUGCAUUUCUAGGGAGCCCAAAAUACUCCUUCCUCUAGAGAGAAUUUUAUGAGCUAUGAAAAAAUUGGACACUUUAGGAGAUACUGUUAGAGACAAAUUUACUUUUUUUAAAAAAAUAGAUUUAGGGGAAAAAAUUGGGAGCACUUGGAGAUGCUUUAUAUCCCGUUUGGAUGUAGAAAUUGGAGGACAAAAUUAGACAUUGGAAUCAGUUUUUUUCUAAAUUCUGUUGUAUAGUUGCACAUGAUUAAAUAAAUUGAGAUUUGGAAUCAGAGACCUAAUUCAUUGGAAUUGGAUUAUAAUAAGAAAACCCCUGUUGAUACCCUGAAACUAGGGUACCCACUGCUACUGUACAAAGACGAAGAAUCCACGUGGCUAUCCCUUGGAUUAUAAUAAGAAGUACUGUUGUGGGACUAAGCCAUGGCUCGCCCCAGUCUCAGGCGGCUAUUCUGGGUCCACAGCAGCGCCCGACUCCACCGCAUGGGCGGGUCCGGAGCCGCCACGUGUCCAGAGAAGGUGGUAUACUCCAAGGCAUCAACAGUGGUCCGGACCCCCACGGGAGAGCGCCGGAUCCCCGGAUAUAUAGUUUGGACCCCAAGGUUGGUCCUGGACCUCCACGUGUGCAAGCCGGACCCCUGGGAUAGGGUCCGGACCCCCUGUAUGGGGUCCGGGCCGCCCACAGCGGCAUCCCAAGGACCCAGGCGGGGGUCCGUGAAAGUCGCCUAGAGGGGGUGAAUAGGCGAAAUCUGAAAAUUAUAAACUUAAGCACAACUACAAGCCGGGGUUAGCAUUAGAAAUAUAAUUGAGUCCGAAAGAGAGGGCGAAAACAAAUCACAAGCAAAUGAAGAGUGAGACGCGGUGAUUUGUUUUACCGAGGUUCGGCUCUUGCAAACCUACUCCCUGUUGACGUGGUCACAAAGACCGGGUCUCUUUCAACCCUUUCCCUCUCUCAAACGGUCACCUAGACCGAGUGAGCUUCUCUUCUCAAUCAAUCGGGACACCAAGUCCCCACAAGGACCACCACACAAUUGGUGUCUCUUGCCUUGAUUACAAUUGAGUUGGGAACAAGAAUGAAAGAAGAAGAAAAGCGAUCCAAGCGCAAGAACUCAAAUGAACACAAUUGUCUCUCUCACUAGUCACUAUUUGAUUGGAAUGAUUUUUGGACUUGGGAGAGGAUUUGAUCUUUUUGUUUGUGUCUUGGAGUGAAGUCUAGAGCUCUUGUAUUGAAUGCAAUGGCUGAAAACUUGGAUGCCUUGAAGUGUUGGUGGUUGGGGUAUUUAUAGCCCCAACCACCAAAAGUGCCCGUUGGGGAUGGCUGCUGUCGUAUGGCGCACCGGACAGUCCGGUGCGCCACCGGACACUGUCCGGUGCGCCAGCCACGUCACCCAACCGUUAGGGUUCGACCGUUGGAGCUCUGACAAGUGGGGCCACCGGACAGUCCGGUGGUGCGCCGUGAAAGGGAAUUAGGCUUACACCUAGUCCCUAAUUUAUUUUGGUGGUUGAAUUGCCCAACACAAAUAUUUUGACUAACUAGUUUACUCUAGUGCAUAAGUUAUACAGGUGCUAAAGGUUCACACUUAGCCAAUAAAAAGACAAAGUAUUGGGUUCAACCAAAGAGCAAAGGGACAACCGAAGGCACCUCUGGUCUGGUGCACCGGACUGUCCGGUGUGCCACCGGACAUGUCCGGUGCACCAGAGGACUCCAACUCCGAACUGCUCACCUUCGGGAAAUUCCAGAGGCGACUCCGCUAUAAUUCACCGGACUGUCCGGUGUACACCGGACAUGUCCGGUGCUCCAAGGAAGAACGUCCUCAGGAACUCGCCAGCCUCGGGAAUUCACUUCUGCUGCUCCGCUAUAAUUCACUGGACUGUCCGGUGUACACCGGACUGUCCGGUGUAACAGCGGGGCAACGGCUAUUUCGGCGCCAACGGCUACCUGCGACGCAUUUAAUGCGCGCGCAGCGCGCGCAGAGGUCAGGCACGCCCAUGCUGGCGCACCGGACAAUCUACAGUGCAUGUCCGGUGCGCCACCGGACAUCAAGGCGGGCCCAGAAGUCAGAACUCCAACGGUCGGAACCCAACGGCUUUGGUGACGUGGCUGUCGCACCGGACAUGUCCGGUGUGCACCGGACUGUCUGGUGCGCCAUCGAACAGACAGCCUCACCAAACGGCUAGUUUGGUGGUUGGGGCUAUAAAUACCCCCAACCACCCACCAUUCAUAGUAUCCAAGUUUUCCACUUCUCAACUACUUACAAGAGCUCUAGCAUUCAAUUCUAGACACACCAAAGAGAUCAAAUCCUCUCCAAACUCCACACAACGCCCUAGUGACUAGUGAGAGAGAUUUGCUUGUGUUCUUUCGAGCUCUUGCGCUUGGAUUGCUUUCUUCUUUCUUGAUUCUUUCAUUGCGAUCAAACUCACUUGUAAUUGAGGCAAGAGACACCAAUCUUGUGGUGGUCCUUGUGGGAACUUUGUGUUCCGAGUGAUUGAGAAGAGAAAGCUCACUCGGUCCGAGGGACCGUUUGAGAGAGGGUAAGGGUUGAAAGAGACCCGGCCUUUGUGGCCUCCUCAACGGGGAGUAGGUUUGAGAGAACCGAACCUCGGUAAAACAAAUCUGCGUGUCUCACUUCAUUACUUGCUUGCGAUUUGUUUUGGCACCCUCUCUCGCGGACUCGAUUAUAUUUCUAACGCUAACCCGGCUUGUAUUUGUGAUUAUUUUUGAGAAUUUCAGUUUCGCCCUAUUCACCCCCCCUCUAGGCGACUUUCAAUUGGUAUCGGAGCCCGGUGCUUCAUUAGAGCCUAACCGCUCGAAGUGAUGACAGGAGAUCACACAAAGAGGGAGAUGGAGACCGGCGACAAGCCCACUACGAGCCAAGGGAGCACUUCAUCGGAAGAGUCCCACACCAAGAGGAAGGAGAAGAAGAAGGACUCCUCCAAACGGAAGGAGAAAAGAUCUUCCUCUUCUCACCACAAAGAGAAGAAGGAAAAAUCUUUUUCUCACAAGUCGCAUCGGAAAGGCGACAAGCACAAAAGGAUGAGGAAAGUGGUCUACUACGAGACCGACACUUCAUCAACAUCGACCUCCGACUCCGAUGCGCCGUCCGUAACUUCUAAGCGCCAAGAGCGCAAGAAGUUUAGUAAGAUCCCCUUAAACUACCCUCGUACAUCUAAACAUACUCCAUUACUUUCCGUUCCAUUAGGCAAACCGCCAACCUUUGAUGGCGAAGAUUAUGCUAGGUGGAGUGAUUUAAUGAAAUUUUAUCUAACCUCACUCCACAAAAGUAUAUGGAAUGUUGUUGAGUUUGGAGCACAGGUACCAUCCGUAGGGGAUGAAGACUACGAUACGGACGAAGUGGCCCAAAUCGAGCACUUCAACUCUCAAGCUACAACCAUACUCCUCGACUCUCUAAGCAAGGAGGAAUACAACAAGGUGCAAGGGUUGAAGAAUGCAAAGGAGAUUUGGGACCUACUCAAGACCGCGCACGAGGGUGAUGAACUCACCAAGAUCACCAAGCGGGAAACGAUCGAGGGGGAGCUCGGUCGCUUCCGUCUUCGCCAAGGGGAGGAGCCACAAGAUAUGUACAACCGGCUCAAAACCUUGGUGAACCAAGUGCGCAACCUCGGGAGCAAGAAGCGGGACGACCACGAGGUGGUUAAGGUUAUUCUAAGAUCUCUCAUUUUCCUUAACCCCACUCAAGUUCAAUUAAUUCGUGGUAAUCCUAGAUACACACUAAUGACCCCCGAGGAAGUUAUCGGGAAUUUUGUGAGCUUUGAAUGUAUGAUCAAGGGCUCAAAGAAGAUCAACGAGCUUGACGAACCCUCCACGUCCGAAGCACAACCGGUGGCAUUUAAGGCGACGGAGGAGAAGAAGGAGGAGUCUACACCGAGUAGACAACCAAUUGACGCCUCCAAGCUCGACAAUGAGGAGAUGACUUUAAUCAUCAAAAGCUUUCGCCAAAUCCUCAAGCAAAGGAAGGGGAAGGAUUACAAAUCCCGUUCCAAGAAGGUUUGCUACAAGUGUGGUAAGCCCGGUCAUUUCAUUGCAAAAUGUCCUAUAUCUAGUGACAGUGACAGGGGCGACGACAAGAAGGGAAAGAAGAGAGAAAAGAAGAGGUACUACAAGAAAAAGGGCGGCGAUGCCCAUGUUUGCCGGGAGUGGGACUCGGACGAGAGCUCCACCGACUCCUCCUCCGACGACGAGGACGCCGCCAACAUCGCCAUCACCAAGGGACUCCUCUUCCCCAACGUCGGCCACAAGUGCCUCAUAGCAAAGGACGGCAAAAGGAAGAAGGUUAAAUCUAAAUCCUCCACUAAAUAUGAAUCCUCUAGUGAUGAUAAUGCUAGUGAUGAGGAAAAUAAUUUGCGUACCCUUUUUGCCGACCUAAACAUGCAACAAAAGGAAAAAUUAAAUGAAUUGAUUAGUGCUAUUCAUGAGAAGGAUGAUCUCUUGGACUCUCAAGAGGACUUCCUUAUUAAGGAAAACAAAAAGCAUGUUAAGGUCAAAAAUGCUUAUGCUCUACAAGUUGAAAAAUGUGAAAAAUUGUCUAGUGAGCUAAGCACCUGCCGUGAGACUAUUGACAACCUUAGAAAUGAAAAUGCUAGAUUAAUUGCUAAGGUUGAUUCUCAUGUUUGUAAUGCUUCAAUUCCCAAUCUUAGAAAUGAUAAUGAUGAUUUGCUUGUUAAGAUUAAGGAAUUGAACGAUUCUCUUGCUAACCUUAGAGUAGAAAAUGAAAAUUUGAUUGCUAAGGCUAAAGAUCUUGAUGUUUGCAAUGUUACAAUUUCCAAUCUUAGAGAUAACAAUGAUAUUUUGUGUGCUAAGAUUGUUGAACUUAAUUCUUGCAAAUCCUCUACAUCUACUGUUGAGCACAUUUCUAUUUGUACUAGAUGUAGAGAUGUUGAUAUCAAUGCUAUUCAUGAUCACAUGGCUUUAAUUAAACAACAAAAUGAUCAUAUAGCAAUGUUAGAUGCUAAAAUUGCCGAGCAUAACUUAGAAAAUGAAAAGUUUAAAUUUGCUAGAAGUAUGCUCUAUAAUGGGAGACGCCCUGGCAUCAAGGAUGGCAUUGGUUUCCAAAGGGGAGACAAUGUCAAACUUAAUGCCCCUCCUAAGAACUUGUCUAACUUUGUUAAGGGCAAAGCUCCCAUGCCUCAGGAUAACGAGGGUUAUAUUUUGUACCCUGCCGGUUAUCCCGAGAGCAAAAUUAGGAGAACUCAUUCUAGGAAGUCUCACUCUGGCCCUAACCAUGCUUUUAUGUACAAGGGUGGGACAUCUAGCUCUAGGCAACCAACCCGUGCCAAAUUGCCUAGAAAGAAAACUCCUAAUGCAUCAAAUGAGCAUGACAUUUCAUUCAAAUUUUUUGAUGCAUCAUAUGUGCUCACUAACAAAUCCGGCAAGGUAGUUGCCAAGUUUGUUGGGGGCAAACACAAGGGCUCCAAGACUUGUGUUUGGGUACCCAAAGUUCUUGUUUCUAAUGCCAAAGGACCCAAAACCGUUUGGGUACCUAAAGUCAAGAACUAAAAUUGUUUUGUAGGUUUAUGCAUCCGGGGGCUCAAGUUGGAUACUCGACAGCGGGUGCACAAACCACAUGACAGGGGAGAAGAAGAUGUUCUCCUCAUAUGAGAAAAACCAAGAUCCCCAACGAGCUAUCACAUUCGGGGAUGGAAAUCAAGGUUUGGUCAAAGGAUUGGGUAAAAUUGCCAUAUCGCCUGACCAUACUAUUUCCAAUGUUUUUCUUGUAGAUUCUUUAGAUUACAAUUUGCUUUCUGUAUCUCAAUUAUGUCAAAUGGGCUACAACUGUCUAUUUACUGAUGUAGGUGUCACUGUCUUUAGAAGAAGUGAUGAUUCAAUAGCAUUUAAGGGAGUGUUAGAGGGUCAGCUAUACUUGGUAGAUUUUGAUAGAGCUGAACUCGACACAUGCUUAAUUGCUAAGACUAACAUGGGUUGGCUCUGGCAUCGCCGACUAGCCCACGUUGGGAUGAAGAAUCUUCAUAAGCUUCUAAAGGGAGAGCACAUUUUGGGACUAACAAAUGUUCAUUUUAAGAAAAGACAGAACUUGUAGCGCAUGCCAAGCAGGAAAGCAAGUUGGGUCUCAUCAUCCACACAAGAACAUCAUGACUAGUGACAGGCCACUGGAGCUCCUACACAUGGACCUAUUCGGCCCGAUCGCUUACAUAAGCAUCGGCGGGAGUAAGUACUGUCUAGUUAUUGUGGAUGAUUAUUCUCGCUUCACUUGGGUGUUCUUUUUGAAGGAAAAAUCGCAUACCCAAGAGACCUUAAAGGGAUUCUUGAGACGAGCUCAAAAUGAGUUCGGCUUAAGGAUCAAGAAAAUUAGAAGCGACAACGGGACGGAGUUCAAGAACUCACAAAUAGAAGGCUUCCUUGAGGAGGAGGGCAUCAAGCAUGAGUUCUCUUCUCCCUACACCCCACAACAAAAUGGUGUAGUGGAAAGGAAGAAUCGAACUCUAUUGGACAUGGCAAGAACCAUGCUUGAUGAGUACAAGACAUCGGAUCGGUUUUGGGCCGAGGCGGUCAACACCGCCUGCUACGCCAUCAACCGGUUAUAUCUACACCGAAUCCUCAAGAAGACAUCAUAUGAACUCCUUACUGGUAAAAAGCCCAAUAUUUCAUAUUUUAGAGUUUUUGGUAGCAAAUGCUUUAUUCUUGUUAAAAGAGGUAGAAAAUCUAAAUUUGCUCCUAAAACUGUAGAAGGCUUUUUACUAGGAUAUGACUCAAACACAAGGGCAUAUAGAGUUUUUAACAAGUCCUCAGGACUUGUUGAAGUUUCUUGUGACGUUGUGUUUGAUGAGACUAACGGCUCUCAAGUAGAGCAAGUUGAUCUUGAUGAGAUAGGUGAAGAACAGGCUCCGUGCAUCGCGCUAAGGAACAUGUCCAUUGGGGAUGUGUGCCCUAAGGAAUCCGAGGAGCCUCCUAAUGCACAAGAUCAACCAUCCUCCUCCACGCAAGCAUCUCCGCCAACCCAAAAUGAGGACGAGGCUCAAGUUGAUGAAGGAGAAGAACAAAGUGAUGAGCCUCCUCAAGAUGACGGCAACAAUCAAGGGGGAGAUGCAAAUGAUCAAGACAAGGAGGAUGAACAACCAAGGCCGCCACACCCAAGAGUCCACCAAGCAAUCCAACGAGAUCACCCCGUCGACACCAUCCUCGGCGACAUUCAUAAGGGGGUAACCACUCGAUCUCGUGUUGCCCAUUUUUGUGAGCAUUACUCUUUUGUUUCCUCUAUUGAGCCACACAGGGUAGAGGAAGCACUAAAAGAUUCGGAUUGGGUGAUGGCGAUGCAAGAGGAGCUCAACAAUUUCACGAGGAACGAGGUAUGGCAUUAGGUUCCACGUCCUAACCAAAAUGUUGUAGGAACCAAGUGGGUCUUCCGCAACAAACAAGACGAGCAUGGUGUGGUAACAAGGAACAAAGCUCGACUCGUGGCCAAGGGGUAUUCACAAGUCGAAGGUUUGGAUUUUGGUGAAACCUAUGCACCCGUAGCUAGGCUUGAGUCAAUUCGUAUGUUAUUGGCCUAUGCUACUUACCAUGGCUUCAAGCUCUACCAAAUGGACGUGAAGAGUGCCUUCCUCAACGGACCGAUCAAGGAGGAGGUCUAUGUUGAGCAACCUCCCGGCUUUGAAGAUAGUGAGUACCCUAAUCAUGUCUAUAGGCUCUCUAAGGCGCUUUAUGGGCUCAAGCAAGCCCCAAGAGCAUGGUAUGAAUACCUUAGAGAUUUCCUUAUUGCUAAUGGCUUCAAAGUCGGCAAGGCCGAUCCUACUUUAUUCACUAAGACUCUUGACAAUGAUUUGUUUGUAUGCAAAAUUUAUGUUGAUGAUAUCAUAUUUGGGUCUACUAACGAAUCUACAUGUGAAGAAUUUAGUAGGAUCAUGACACAAAAAUUCGAGAUGUCGAUGAUGGGGGAGUUGAAGUAUUUUCUAGGAUUCCAAGUCAAGCAACUCCAAGAGGGCACCUUCAUUUGUCAAACAAAGUAUACUCAAGACAUUCUAACCAAGUUUGGAAUGAAGGAUGCCAAGCCCAUCAAGACACCCAUGGGAACCAAUGGGCAUCUCGACCUCGACACGGGAGGUAAGUCCGUGGAUCAAAAGGUAUACCGGUCGAUGAUUGGUUCAUCGCUUUAUUUAUGUGCAUCUUGACCGGACAUUAUGCUUUCCGUUUGCAUGUGUGCAAGAUUCCAAGCCGACCCUAAGGAAUCACACCUUACGGCCGUAAAAUGAAUCUUGAGAUAUUUGGCUUAUACUCCUAAGUUUGGGCUUUGGUACCCUCGGGGAUCCACAUUUGAUUUGAUUGGUUAUUCGGAUGCCGAUUGGGCGGGGUGUAAGAUUAAUAGAAAGAGCACAUCGGGGACUUGCCAGUUCUUGGGAAGAUCCUUGGUGUCUUGGGCUUCUAAGAAGCAAAAUUCGGUCGCUCUUUCUACCGCCGAAGCCGAGUAUAUUGCCGCAGGCCAUUGUUGCGCGCAAUUGCUUUGGAUGAGGCAAACCCUGCGGGACUAUGGUUACAAACUAACCAAAGUUCCUCUUCUAUGUGAUAAUGAGAGUGCAAUCCGCAUGGCAGAUAAUCCCGUUGAGCAUAGCCGCACUAAACACAUAGUCAUUCGAUAUCAUUUUCUUCGGGAUCACCAACAAAAGGGGGAUAUCGAGAUUUCUUACAUUAACACUAAAGAUCAAUUAGCCGAUAUCUUUACCAAGCCACUUGAUGAACAAUCCUUUACCAAACUUAGGCAUGAGCUAAAUAUUCUUGAUUCUAGGAAUUUCUUUUGCUAAUUUGCACACAUAGCACACAAGUAUACCUUUGAUCACAUCUCUUUUAUAUAUGCCAUGACUAAUGUGUUUUCAAGUGUAUUUCAAACCAAGUCAUAGGUAUAUUGAAAGGAAAUUGGAGUCUUCGGCGAAGACAAAGGCUUCCACUCCACUCUACUACUCAUCCUUCGCCAUCACUCCGAGCAUCUCUCCAACUUUGGUAUAAUCUUCACUCAUUUAUUUUAUGACCAAAGGAGGAAAAAGUAUUUCGUUGGGCCCUAAUGAUUCCGUUUUUGGUGAUUUGUGCCAAAGGGGGAGAAAAUAUGAGCCCAAAGCAAAAGGACCGCACCACCACCUAAUUUUUAACACCACCACCUAAUUUUUAAUUUUGGAGAUUUUCAAUUGGUCAAUUUCAAAUUGGUAUCUUAUUAUGUUCUAAGGGCUGAUUUGGUGUCCAGGGAUCACAGGGGGAUUGGAGGGGAUUGAGGGGGAAAUUAGUUCAUUUCCCCCUCAAUCCACUUCAAUCCUCCCGUGAUCCCCUUAUCACCAAAUUAGCCCUAAAGGGGGAGGAAGUAGUAUUUCAAAAAUGAUAAAUCAAAACCCUCUUGAACACUAAAGAGGAGGAUCUCAUUUAGGGGGAGUUUUGUUUAGUCAAAUGAAAAGCAUUUGAAACAAAGGGAGAAAAUUUUUAAAACUUGAAAAUGCUUUGCAAAAAUCUUAUUCAUCUACCCUUGACUAUGUUGCAAAAGGACUUUGAAAAAGAUUUACAAAAAGAAUUUGCAAAAACAAAACAUGUGGUGCAAGCGUGGUCCAAAAUGUUAAAAAUAAAGAAACAAUCCAUCCACAUCUAGUAAGUAACAUUUAUUGGCUCAAUUCCAAGCAACCUUUGCACUUACAUUAUGCAAACUAGUUCAAUUAUGCACUUUUAUAUUUGCUUUGGUUUGUGUUGGCAUCAAUCACCAAAAAGGGGGAGAUUGAAAGGGAAUUAGGCUUACACCUAGUCCCUAAUUUAUUUUGGUGGUUGAAUUGCCCAACACAAAUAUUUUGACUAACUAGUUUACUCUAGUGCAUACGUUAUACAGGUGCUAAAGGUUCACACUUAGCCAAUAAAAAGACAAAGUAUUGGGUUCAACCAAAGAGCAAAGGGACAACCGAAGGCACCUCUGGUCUGGUGCACCAGACUGUCCGGUGUGCCAUCGGACAUGUCCGGUGCACCAGAGGACUCCAACUCCGAACUGCUCACCUUCGGGAAAUUCCAGAGGCGACUCCGCUAUAAUUCACCGGACUGUCCGGUGUACACCGGACAUGUCCGAUGCUCCAAGGAAGAACGUCCUCAGGAACUCGCCAGCCUCGGGAAUUCACUUCUGCUGCUCCGCUAUAAUUCACCGGACAGUCCGGUGUACACCGGACUGUCCGGUGUAACAGCGGGGCAACGGCUAUUUCGGCGCCAACGGCUACCUGCGACGCAUUUAAUGCGCGCGCAGCGCGCGCAGAGGUCAGGCACGCCCAUGUUGGCGCACCAGACAAUCUACAGUGCAUGUCCGGUGCGCCACCGGACAUCAAGGCGGGCCCAGAAGUCAGAACUCCAACGGUCGGAACCCAACGGCUUUGGUGACGUGGCUGUCGCACCGGACAUGUCCGGUGUGGACCGGACUGUCCGGUGCGCCAUCGAACAGACAGUCUCACCAAACGGCUAGUUUGGUGGUUGGGGCUAUAAAUACCCCCAACCACCCACCAUUCAUAGUAUCCAAGUUUUCCACUUCUCAACUACUUACAAGAGCUCUAGCAUUCAAUUCUAGACACACCAAAGAGAUCAAAUCCUCUCCAAACUCCACACAACGCCCUAGUGACUAGUGAGAGAGAUUUGCUUGUGUUCUUUCGUGCUCUUGCGCUUGGAUUGCUUUCUUCUUUCUUGAUUCUUUCAUUGCGAUCAAACUCACUUGUAAUUGAGGCAAGAGACACCAAUCUUGUGGCGGUCCUUGUGGGAACUUUGUGUUCCGAGUGAUUGAGAAGAGAAAGCUCACUCGGUCCGAGGGACCGUUUGAGAGAGGGUAAGGGUUGAAAGAGACCCGGCCUUUGUGGCCUCCUCAACGGGGAGUAGGUUUGAGAGAACCGAACCUCGGUAAAACAAAUCCGCGUGUCUCACUUCAUUACUUGCUUGCGAUUUGUUUUGGCACCCUCUCUCGCGGACUCGAUUAUAUUUCUAACGCUAACCCGGCUUGUAGUUGUGAUUAUUUUUGAGAAUUUCAGUUUCGCCCUAUUCACCCCCCCUCUAGGCGACUUUCACGCCGGACAGGUCAUGUUCACUGUCCGGUGCGCCUCCUGCGCCUGCUCUGACUUCUGCGCGCGCAGGCGCGCACUGUUCACUUUUACUGUUCCUUUGCAGACGAUCGUUGGCGCGAAGUAGCCGUUGCUCCGCUGGCACACCGGACAGUCCGGUGUUACACCGGACAGUCCGGUGAAUUAUAGCGGAGUGGCUCCCCAAAUUCCCGAAGCUGAGCAGUUCAGAGUCGUUCCUCCUUGGUGCAGCGGACACUAUCCGGUGGGGCACCGAACACUGUCCGGUGGCACACCGGAUAGUCCGGUGCGCCAGACCAGGGCAGCCUUCGGUUGUCUUUUGCUCUUUUUAUUUGAACCCUUUCUUUGACUUUGUAUUGGUUUGUGUUGAACCUUUGGCACCUGUAGAACUCAUAAUCUAGAGCAAACUAGUUAGUCCAAUUGUUUGUGUUGGGCAAUUCAACCACCAAAAUUCAUAUAGGAAAAGGUUUGACCCUAUUUCCCUUUCAAUCUCCCCUUUUUGGUGAUUGAUGCCAACACAAACCAAAGCAAAUAUAAAAGUGCAGAAUUGAACUAGUUUGCAUAAGGUAAGUGCAAAGGUUGCUUGGAAUGAAACCAAUAAAUAUUUCUACUAGAUAUGCAUGGAUGGUUUUUUUCUUAUUUAAAAUUUUGGACCACGCUUGCACCGCGAGUUUUGUUUUUGCAAAUUCUUUGUAAAAUUCUUUUCAAAAACCUUUUGCAAAUAGUCAAAGGUAUAUGAAUAAGAUUGAAAGAAGCAUUUUCAAGAUUUGAAACUUUCUCCCCCUGUUUCAAAUGCUUUUCCUUUGACUUAAACAAAACUCCCCCUAAAGAGAAUUCUCCUCUUAGUGUUCAAGAGGAUUUUACAAAUUUUUGAAGAUACUACUUUCUCCCCCUUUUUGAACACAAAAAGAUACUAAUUUGAAAAACUUCAUUUUUAAAAAUCGGUGGUGGCGCGGUCCUUUUGCUUUGGGCUAAUACUUUCUCCCCCUUUGGCAUGAAUCGCCAAAAACGGAUACUUGUUAGUGAAAUAUAAGCCAUUUUUACUUUCUCCCCAAUGGCAAACAAAUAGAUAUGAGUGAAGAUUAUACCAAGGUGGAGAACGAUGCAGAGUACCGACAAAUACCAAUGGAGUUGAGUGGAAGCGCCUUCUUUGUCGAAUACUUCAUUUCCCUUUCAUUUCUAUGACUAAGCACAAUAAUACACUUGAAGACACAUUAGUCAUAGACAUAAAAGAGAUAUGAUCAAAGGUAUAUAAAUGAGCUAUGUGUGCAAUAUUUCAAUCAAAAUUCCUAGAAUCAAGAAUAUUUAGUUCAUUCCUAAGUUUGGUAAAGGUUUUCUCAUCUAAAGGCUUGGUAAAGAUAUCGGCCAAUUGAUCUUUGGUUUUUAUAUAGGCUAUCUCGAUAUCCCCCCUUUGUUGGUGAUCUCUCAAAAAGUGAUACCGAAUGGCUAUGUGCUUAGUGCGACUGUGUUCAACGGGAUUAUCCACCAUACGGAUUGCACUCUCAUUAUCACAUAGGAGAGGGAUUUUGCUAAAUUUGUAGCCAUAGUCCCUAAAGGUUUGCCUCAUCCAAAGCAAUUACGCGCAACAAUGGCAUGCGGCAAUAUACUCGGCUUCGGCGGUAGAAAGAGCUACUGAGUUUUGUUUCUUUGAGGCCCAAGACACCAGGGAUCUCCCCAGAAACUGACAAGUCCCUGAUGUGCUCUUCCUAUCAAUUUUACACCCUGUCCAAUCAGCAUCGGAAUAUCCUAUCAAAUCAAAAGAGGAUCCCUUGGGGUACCAAAGACCAAACUUAGGUGUAUGAACUAAAUAUCUCAAGAUUCUCUUUACGGCCCUAAGGUGAAUUUCCUUAGUAUCGGCUUGGAACCUUGCACACAUGCAUACGGAAAGCAUAAUAUCUGGUCGAGAUACACAUAAAUAGAGUAAAGAUCCUAUCAUCGACCGGUAUACCUUUUGAUCUACGGAUUUACCUCCCGUGUCGAGGUCGAGAUGCCCAUUGGUUCCCAUGGGUGUCUUGAUGGGCUUAGCAUCCUUCAUUCCAAACUUAGUGAGUAUAUCUUGAAUGUACUUCGUUUGGCCGAUGAAGGUGCCCUCUUGGAGUUGCUUCACUUGAAAUCCUAGAAAAUAUUUCAACUCCCCCAUCAUAGACAUCUCGAAUUUUUGAAUCAUGAUCCUACUAAACUCUUCAUAAAUAGAUUUGUUAGUAGACCCAAAUAUGAUAUCAUCAACAUAAAUUUGGCAUACAAAAAAAUCAUUUUCAAUUGUUUUAGUAAAGAGAGUAGGAUCAGACUUUCUGACUUUGAAGCCAUUAGCGAUAAGGAAAUCUCUUAGGCAUUCAUACCAUGCUCUUGGGGCUUGCUUGAGCCCAUAAAGCGCCUUAGAGAGUUUAUAGACAUGGUUAGGGUACUCACUAUCUUCAAAGCUGGGAGGUUGCUCAACAUAGACCUCUUCCUUGAUUGGUCCUUUGAGGAAGGCACUCUUCACGUCCAUUUGGUAAAGCUUAAAGCCAUGGUAAGUAGCAUAGGCAAGUAAUAUACGAAUUCAUUCAAGCCUAGCUACGGGUGCAUAGGUUUCACCAAAAUCCAAACCUUCGACUUAUGAAUACCCUUUGGCCACAAGUCGUGCCUUGUUCCUUGUCACCACACCAUGCUCAUCUUGCUUGUUGCGGAAGACUCACUUGGUUCCUACAACAUUUUGGUUAGGACGUGGAACCAAAUGCCAUACCUCAUUCCUAGUGAAGUUGUUGAGCUCCUCUUGCAUCGCCAACACCCAAUCCGAAUCUUGAAGUGCUUCCUCUACCCUGUGUGGCUCAAUAGAGGAAACAAAAGAGUAAUGUUCACAAAAAUGAGCAACACGAGAUCGAGUGGUUACCCCCUUAUGAAUAUCGCCGAGGAUAGUGUUCACGGGGUGAUCUCGUUGGAUUGCUUGGUGGACUCUUGGGUGUGGCGGCCUUGGAUCUUGUUCAUCUUCCUUGUCUUGAUUAUUGGCAUCUCCCCCUUGAUCAUUGUCCUCCUCUUGAGGUGGCUCAUCUUCUUCACCUUCAUUUUCAUCAUCUUGAGCUUGAUCCUCAUCUUGGGUUGGUGGAGAUGCUUGCAUGGAGGAAGAUGGUUGAUCUUGUGCUUGUGGAGGCUCUUUGAAUUCCUUAGGACACACAUCCCCAAUGGACAUGUUCCUUAGCGCGAUGCAUGGAGCCUCUUCAUCAUCUAGCUCAUCAAGAUCAACUUGCUCUACUUGAGAGCCGUUAGUUUCAUCAAACACAAUGUCACAAGAAACUUCAACUAGUCCAGUGGACUUGUUAAAGACUCUAUAUGCCCUUGUGUUUGAGUGAUAACCAAGUAAAAUGCCUUCUACAGCCUUAGGAGCAAAUUUAGAUUUUCUACCUCUUUUAACAAGAAUAAAGCAUUUGCUACCAAAGACUCUAAAAUAUGAAACGUUGGGCUUUUUACCGGUGAGGAGUUCAUAUGAUGUCUUCUUGAGGAUUCGGUGUAGAUAUAACCGGUUGAUGGCGUAGCAAGCGGUGUUGACCGCCUCAGCCCAAGACCGACCCGAAGUCUUGUACUCAUCAAGCAUGGUCCUUGCCAUGUCCAAUAGAGUUCUAUUCUUCCUCUCCCUACACCAUUUUGCUGUGGCGUGUAGGGAGAAGAGAACUCAUGCUUGAUGCCCUCCUCCUCAAGAAAGCUUUCAAUUUGAGAGUUCUUGAACUCCGUUCCGUUGUCGCUUCUUAUUUUCUUGAUCCUCAAGCCGAACUCAUUUUGAGCCCGUCUCAAGAAUCCUUUCAAAGUGUCUUGGGAUUGAGAUUUAUCCUGUAAAAAGAAUACCCAAGUGAAGCGAGAAUAAUCAUCCAUAAUAACUAGACAGUACUUGCUCCCGCCGAUGCUUAUGUAAGCUAUCGGGCCAAAUAAAUCCAUGUGGAGUAGCUCCAGUGGCCUGUCAGUCGUCAUGAUGUUCUUGUGUGGAUGAUGAGCACCAACUUGCUUCCCUGCUUGGCAUGCGCUACAAAUCCUGUCUUUCUCAAAAUGAACAUUGGUUAGUCCUAAAAUGUGCUCUCCCUUUAGAAGCUUGUGAAGAUUCUUCAUCCCAACGUGGGCUAGUCGGCGGUGCCAUAGCCAACCCAUGUUAGUCUUAGCAAUUACGCAAGUGUCGAGUUCAUCUCUAUUGAAAUCAACUAAGUAUAGCUGACCCUCUAACACUCCCUUAAAUGCUACCGAAUCAUCACUUCUUCUAAAGAUAGUAACACCUAUAUCCGUAAAAAGACAGUUUAACCCAUUUUACAUAAUUGAGAAACUGAAAGCAAGUUAUAGUCUAAAGAAUCUACAAAAAACAUUGGAAAUAGAAUGGUCAGGUGAUAUAGCAAUUUUACCCAAUCCUUUGACCAAACCUUGAUUUCCAUCCCCAAAUGUGAUAGCUCUUUGGGGACCUUGGUUUUUCUCAUAGGAGGAGAACAUCUUUUUCUCCCUAGUCAUGUGGUUUGUGCACCCGGUGUCGAUGAUACAACUUGAGCCCCCGGAUGCAUAAACCUGCAAAACAAAUUUAGACCUUGUUCUUAGGUACCCAAACUGUCUUGGGUUCUUUCACAUUAGAAACAAGCACCUUGGGUACCCAAACACAAGUCUUGGAGCCCUUGUGUUUGCCCCCAACAUAUUUGGCAACUACUUUGCCUGAUUUGUUAGUAAGCACAUAAGAUGCAUCAAAAGUCUUGAAUGAAAUGUUAUGAUCAUUUGAUGCAAUAGGAGAUUUCUUUUUAGGCAUUUUAACAUAUGUAGAACGCCUAGAACUAGAAGCCUUAUUCUUAUAAAUAAAAGCAUGGUGAGAAACAGAAUGAGUCUUCUUUACAUGAAUUCUCCUAAUCUUAUUCUCAGGAUAACCAGCAGGAUAUAAGAUAUAGCCCUCGUUAUCCCGAGGCAUGGGAGCCUUGCCCUUAACAAAAUUAGACAAUCUUUUAGGAGGGGCAUUAAACUUGACAUUGUCUCCCUGUUGGAAGCCAAUGCCAUCCUUAAUGCCAGGGCGUCUCCCACUAUAAAGCAUGCUACGAGCAAAUUUAAAUUUCUCAUUUUCUAGUUCAUGCUUGGCAAUUUUAGCAUCUAAUUUAGCUAUAUGAUUAUUUUGUUGUUUAAUCGUAAUAAGGUGAUCAUGAAUAGCAUCUACAUUAACAUCUCUACAUCUAGUGCAAAUAGAAACAUGAUCAACCGUAGAUGUAGAGGGUUUACAAUUAUUUAAUUCAACAAUCUUAGCAUAUAAAAUAGCAUUCUCAUCUCUAAGAUUGGAAAUGGAAACAUUGCAAACAUCUAAUUCCUUAGCCUUAGCAAUUAAUUUAUCAUUCUCAAACUUAAGGCUAGCAAGAGAUUCAUUCAACAUGUCAAUCUUAGCAAUUAAACUAGCAUUAUCAUUUCUAAGAUUAACAAUUGAAUCAUCACAAACAUUUGAUUUCUCAACCUUAGCAAUUAAUUUGGCAUUUUCAUUUCUAAGGCUAGAAAUAGUGUCAUGGCAAGUGCAAAGCUCACUAGUUAAUUUUUCAUUUUUCUCUACUUCCUGAGCAUAAGCAUUUUUAGUCUUAACAUGCUUUUUGUUUUUCUUAAUUAGGAAGUCCUCUUGGCUAUCCAAGAGUUCAUCCUUUUCAUGAAUAGCACUAAUCAAUUCAUUCAAUUUCUCUUUUUGUUGCAUGUUAGGAUUGGCAAAAAGAGUAAGCAAGUUAUCCUCAUCAUCACUAGAAUUAUCCUCGUCACUAGAAGUUGCAUACUUAGUGGAGGAUCUUGAUUUUACCUUCUUCUUCUUGCCGUCCUUUGCCAUGAGGCACUUGUGGCCAACGUUGGGGAAGAGAAGUCCCUUGUUGACGGCGAUGUUAGCGGCGUCCUUGUUGGAGGAGGAGUCGGUGGAUCUCUCGUCGGAGUCCCACUCCCGGCAAACAUGGGCAUCGUCGCUGUUGGGGACUUGUUCUCAAAUGCUAUGAAUCAAGAACAAGGCAACACAAAAGAUGUUAAAUAUCAAAUGUCCUUCGUCCGCUGAAGCAUCAUCUCCUCAAGGGUUUAAUGAUCUUCGGACGAAGGCCUCAAACACAAUAUUACGAAGGUGACAAAGAUAAUAUAAAGCGAUGUAAAAUGUAGAAUAUUAAAGAUAAAUAUGUUGGAGAUAAAUGGCAUCACUCACAUAUUUUAUCAUAUGAAUCUAAAAUGUUUGAAUACAAUGUUUAAGGUAUGUUUAUACCUUCGCCUUGACAAGUAAUAAUUCCCAAGUGAUGCACUUGCGAUUACAGGAACGCGUGAACAGUAAAGGAAUACUGUUCACUAUUUAUAGGCACAGGACACAGCCUGUGAGGAAUUACAAUCAUGCCCUUCAUAAAAGUUUACAACAAUGACUCAGACCCCUACAGGCUAAAAGGUCAUUCUAUCUUUAGGUCGGUUCGACCCUUCAUCUUCGGAUACGUUAUAAUCCCGAAGCUUCAUGAAUGAUACCUUCGUCGUCACGUACGAGCAGCUUCAGCCGCAGCUGUUUCUUUCUGUAGGACCUUCGGCGACGAAGCAUGGUCCCAACAGUAGCCCCUUCGCGGUGCUAGAUCGUUUUUCGUAACGAGCUUGAUCCGUGAAAAAAGUCUCUUAGGCUUCAGGAAGCCGAAGGUCCGAAAAACACCUUCCCUGAGCUCGUUGUCGAGAAACGAUACAGUUUUCGAGCGCGUAGCGAUUCCACCAUGCGGGUUCACUAUUCUGUUUUUUGCGGCCCACCGUUCAGCGGGUGCGAGCAACUGUUUGCUUGGUGUAAAAAUCCUGACGAUUCACCUUCUUUCCUGCAACACUAUAUAAACAGACGGGUAGGUGUGAAGUUACCCCAGCAUUCAUUGCUAUUGCACUGUUUUGCUGCCAAAAUUUUUAACCAUAGCCGAAGCUUGACUUUCGCAUUCGAACAAAGCUCUAGUUUAGCGUCUGCUCCGUCAGAAGAAGGGCUUCGGGAGAAAGGUUAUUAAUUUCCGAGCAAUUUUCAAGAUAUUCAAAAUCAAAUGGCCAGAGUGCGCUCUACUGCUAGGGCUGAGCGCGAAGGAGACGAAGUCGAAGCUGCGGAAACUGUCCCUAUUUCGGAAGCAAUGAGGCGAAGUGGGUUGGUGACAUCGGAGAACACCCCUGCUGCCGAAGCAGAACAAGCAGAUAUUGAAGAGACUGAUUCUGAAGAUGAUCAUAAUAUCGCAAUACCAAGCAAGCCUAGCCACCUGGACUUCGGAAAGUCAACCAUCUCCAAGGCUGAUUUUCCGAAGAUGGUAAAGUCGGGCUAGUUUAGCGAAGAUGAGAAAAAGAUGAUUCGCUUCGGUGGAGAAGAAACUACUCCAAAGCCUCAGAAAGAUGAAAUAGUGAUUUUCAAGAGUUUCCUCAAAGCUGGUUUGAGAUUUCCUUUAAAUAGGAUGAUUGCCGAUGUGCUAAAGAAGUUUGGUAUCUAUUUUCAUCAACUAACUCCUAAUGCUAUUGUUAGGCUUAGUGUUUAUAUUUGGGCUCUCCAAAGCCAAGGGGUGGAGCCAUUUGCCAAAGGUUUCUGUCGAGUACACGAGCUACGUUAUCAAACUAAGGCCAGAAAGGAUGGGUUACAUGAAAAUUUUGGUUGUUAUAAUUUUGCCUAUCGGAAGACUACAAAAUUUCCGGUGAUCAGCUACCGAAGCAAGUGGCCGGCAGGCUAGAAAUUGGAAUGGUUCUACGUCAAAGUUGACGAUGACAAGGAGAAGCUAGUACAGAGUCCGCUUGAACUGGUCUUCGGAGAGACCAGACCCCACUGCAAUAUGACACCAGAAGGUCCCACUCAAAUCGCGUUGGCUGAAUUCAGGACUAUUGCUGAGCACAUUGGCACUAUAGAUCUUGUGCAGGAAUUUCUGUCGUUCAAAAUAUUUCCAACUAUGAAGGAAUGGGCUAUACCGAAGCUCAAAAAAGAGAAGAAAGAGGGGGAACUUGUCCGCCUGCCCUACCACUACAAGUUCAAGAAAUAUUUUAAAGAACCCUGCCAAGAAUGGCUCGAAACAAUCGAAAUAAUGAGUACUGAAAUUCUUGGGAAUUAUUCUAAAAAAGAAGAUCAAUUGAUGACAGCAGCCUUCGGCACCCGGCCGAAACAAAGGCUAAACAGAGUGCUUGAUGUUAUAUGCUUUGAAUACCCUGACUAUGAGCGACUAGACAAGGGUGCCGAAGGGUAGAAAAGAAAAUGAGUGGCUAGCACUUUAAUUAAAGACGACGAAGAUCAACCAAGAAAGAAGAAAGAAAAGCUUGAACCGAAAGUAGUUGCUCCAAGAAAGAGAAAAGCUGUAUCUUCGAAGCCUGCGUCUCCAGAACUAGAGAGGUUGGUCCGAGAUGAGGAAGUAUCUGUGACACCUUCUGCUGCCGAAGUAGAAGAAAUUUUGAAGGUAAUGACUGAAACCUUGCCUGUCAAGCUAAGUCCGCUGGCACCAGAACUGACAAAGUUUUUUUAGAAGGACGAAAAAACUUCGGCAGCAGAAAGUUCUGCGAAGCCAAAAAAACGGAGAAUCAUUCAAGUGACAGAUGUGAUCCAUCAGACGCCGCCACCGGCGACGGUGUCAAAAAUUGUCUUUGCCGAGACUACCGAAGCCGAAGACGCCGCAGCCGAAGCUGCCGGAGUGGAGACCACUGAAGCUGAAACCGGCGAAGCUGAAGCUACCGGGGCCGAAGCCGAAGCUACCGGAGAGUCGAACCUGGAAACCACACUUGAGGUUAUUGACAAUAUACUCCUAAAAAUGGCUCAAGAAGAAGCUGUCAUGGCUGCGGUGAACACGGCAACUGAAAAGGGGAAAAAGCAGAUUGAUGAAAUUUCGGAAAAAGGAGAUUUUAACUUUCAAGAUUUGCUUGGACAAGAGUUGACAGACGCCGAAAAAGAAGAGUUGAAAAAAUAUGCCAUAUCUUGCGGAUAUAAAUCAGGGGCUAUGCUAUUUGAUGGGGUCAACGAAGGGAAGCUAAUAUGCCUUCGGAACCGCACCGAGGCCAAAAUUGUUAGAACCCUCUCCAAAAGCGUUGGCUUGCCGAAGAUAGAAGCAGACCUCUGCAGGUAUCAGCGACAUCAUGUCGCUGGCAGCCUGCUCUACACGAAUUUUAAGGUAAAAUUAUUAUUAUUAUUUUAUUAUUGUUAUUUUUUAUGUCUUUCUCUGACGAAGGCUGUUUUGGCAGAGUAUAUUAUUAAGUAAAGUGCUGAAAAUGCAACAAGAUCUUGAAGAGGAGAAGAACAAAGCUAUCAUCAAAGAUUUAGAAGAAAAAGUUGAGAACUACGAAGCUGUUCUGAAGAAGAAAGACUUCGCCAUUCAAGAUCUUGAAAUUAUGGCUAAAGAACACGAAGGUGCUUUAGAAAAUAAAGACUUUAUUAUUCAGUCUAUGGAAGGCUCCUUGGCCGAAGUCCAAGCGGAAAAUGACAGUUUAAAGAAUGAAUUACUCGAAAAGUCAGAAAAAUAUGAGCAAGAAAAGGAUAAGCUUGAAGCAAGUCUCAAGAUUGAGGUCGAGAAAAAUUUAAAUUUGCAAAAAUCAUUAAAGGAUCUCCAAGAGAAAUGUCUAAAUUUCGGCAGCCGAUGCGUGCAGCGGCUCAAGGACGUAUUUCACUCUAUCGGAGCCAGCUCUGAAAAAUUUUCACCUUCAGCCGAAAACCUGCCCAGCACCUUGGAACAUAUUGAAGGCGAGGUUGAUGCUCUUGACGAAGUUAUUGGUGGGCAUGUCGAUUUCUGCGCCCUGGUAGCUUCUCGAGGCACAGCUGCCGCUUUUCUGAAGGCCGGUUGUACUCAUGGGAAAAUUGUGAAUAGGCCAAACUUUAGCUUGUCAGCAUCAGAUUUGAUUGAUAUCCCGAGCCUAGCCCGAAGCAUCGGAAAUAGAUUUAUGACCCAAAUUUGGGUAAAUGGCGGGCGAAGGAUGGCUGGUGACGAAGCUCGAAGUCACCUUAAGCCGGUAAGAAACUUAUAUUUGUUACUUUUACCUUCUCCUUGAAAUUUGCACCUUUCUUAUUCUGCUCCUUAAUAUGUGCAGGAUGACAAAACUAAAGUAUGACGAAGCUGAAGCUUGAUAGUUGCUAAAAUAGACUUUCCUACAAAAAAUUCUGAAAGGAUCUUUGUAAUAUCAUUAUGGAAAAAACUUAUGUAAAUUUGUACAUACCUUGUAAUAUAUUCUGUCUCCUUUAUCUGUGUACAAUCUGCUUUGCUGUGGACGAAACUUCUCUUUUUUGAGCUGAAGGCGAAAAACACCUUCCCUUCUUUUCGUACACAACGAAGCAUGAAAACUUCCUCUUUCUACGAAGUCUUUCCUUAUUGCCGAAGCAUCUGUCUUUUUUGUGUGGUAUGAUGAUGAUUCUAUAUGUCUAAAUGAAUGUUUAUGAGUGCAAAUGACAUGAUGUAAUGUAUCGUGCAGAUGAAUAUCGGGUCACAUAUUCAAAAACCAUAAUCAUAGACCUUCAUCCCCUUGGGAAUGAUUCAAAUCUUUCUGUCGUUUACUUUUCGGUGUACCAGCGUUGACUUUUCGCUGUAAGCCUCCCUUAGGAGCUUCUUCGCCUUUUACUUUCAACGGAAUCAGCGUUGACUUUUCGCUGUAAGCGUCCCUUAGGAGCUUCUUCGCCUUCUACUUUCGGCGGAAUCAGCGUUGACUUUUCGUUGUAAGCUCUGCAUUCCCUUAGGAAUGACUUUUGAGCUUCUCCCUAUUUUCUUUUCUUUUUCCUUUGCAUUUACAUUUACAUUUUUGGGGGAUAUCAUUCUUAUAGAAUUGAAAUAAGGAAAAUUACAUGUUGUGGCCCCAUUAAAAACCUUUCUCCCCCUUUGGAAAGGAAAAGGGUGCCACAAAAAAGAAUAGAAAAAAUUACAUCAAGCUAAACAUAAUAUCGCCGAAGCUCAUCCGCAUUCCACGAUCUAGGGAUGUCGUUGCCGUCCAUAUCCUUUAAUCUGUAGGAACCGGGUCUUGACGAAGAUACUACCAAAAAAGGGCCUUCCCACUUCAGCUGUAGUUUGCCUACUGUGUCUGGGUUGACCACUCUUCGAAGCACCAAAUGUCCUGGCUUAAUGUUCUUCAACCGAACCUUUCUAUCCCGCCAUUUUAUUGUUUCGGCUUGGUAUUUAUUGAUGUUUUCCACAGCCUGAAGCCUGAUCCCCUCUAUAGCAUCUUUUUCCAUAGAGCAGUCAGCUUCAUCUUCGCCUUUUGCCGAAGCUAUUGUUCUUAUUGAUCCUGCUUUGGCUUCUUCCGGGGUUAUUGCUUCGUCACCAAACAAUAGUUUGAAUGGCGUAAAGCCUGUUGAUCUUGACGUUGUUGUGUUAUGGCUCUACACCACUUUGAUUAAUUCUUCUGGCCACUUUCCCCUGGGCUGAUUGAAGAUUGACUUCAUUAUUCCUGUCAUUAUGAUCCCAUUAGCUCUUUCAACUAGUCCAUUUGAUUCUGGAUGUCGAACUGACGCAAAAUGGAUCUUUGUGCCAAUUUGGUCACAAAACUCUUUAAAAGCUUCGGAGUCCAACUGCGUUCCAUUGUCCACAGUAAUGGCCUUCGGCACUCCGAAGCGACAAACAAUGUUUUGCCAGAAAAACUUUUGGACAGUGACCAAAGUUAUUGUGGCUAAAGGCUUUGCCUCAAUACAUUUAGAAAAAUAUUCCACUGCCACUACAACAUAUUUUAAAUUUCCUUGUGCUGGUGGUAGCGGACCUAACAAAUCAAGGCCCCACCUUUGCAACGACCAAGUGGGUUGUAUUAACUGAGUUAGAGACGAAGGUUGUUUUUGAUCUCUUGCACAUUUCUGACAACCUUCACACUUUUGCACUAGUUCCGCUGCAUCCGAAGCUGCCUUUGGCCAAUAAAAUCCUUGGCGAAAAACUUUUCCCAACAAAGGCCUAGAUCCAAUAUGAGAUCCACACAGGCCUGCAUAUAUUUCCUUCAUCAAUUCUAUGCCUUCGGCUCUGGAUAAACACUUGAGCAACGGGAACAAACCCCACGCUUGUAUAAUUCCCCUUCUAUAAUGACAUAUGGUCGAGCUCUUGCUUCUAUCCUCCUGUUAUAAACUUCAUCAUCUGAAAGAAAAUUGCCCUGAAGGAAAGAGAUGAUUUCAGUUCUCCAAUCUUCACUAUAGAUAGGGGAUAUGUUGAGGACCGCUCUUUCAAGAAGCUCGACCGAAGGUGCUUUUAUUGUUUCGAAAAAUACUUCCGAAGGUAAAGGCAGCCCCUGUGCUGCUGACUUGGCUAAUUGAAAGUCGCCUAGAGGGGGGUGAAUAGGGCGAAACUGAAAUUUACAAAAUUAAUCACAACUACAAGCCGGGUUAGCGUUAUAAAUAAUAAUGAGUCCGAGAGAGAGAGCGCAAAACAAAUCGCAAGCGAAUAAGGAGUGUGACACGCGGAUUUGUUUUACCGAGGUUCGGUUCUCGCAAACCUACUCCCCGUUGAGGAGGCCACAAAGGUCGGGUCUCUUUCAACCCUUACCCUCUCUCAAACGGUCCCGCGGACCGAGUGAGCUUCUCUUCUCAAAUCAAACCGGGAACAAAGCUUCCCCGCAAGGACCACCACACAAUUGGUGUCUCUUGCCUUGAUUACAAGUGAGCUUUGAUCACAAGAACAAGAGAGAAAGAAAGAAGCAAUCCAAGCGCAAGAGCUCAAAAGAACACGGCAAAUCUCUCUCGCUAAUCACUAAAGCCUUGUGUGGAAUUGGAGAGGAUUUGAUCACUUGAGUGUGUCUAGAAUUGAAUGCCUAGCUCUUGUAAGUGGUUGAGAUGUGGAAAACUUGGAUGUCUUGAAUGUGGGGUGGUUGGGGGUAUUUAUAGCCCCAACCACCAAACUAGCCGUUUGGGUGGAGGUUGUCUGUCGUAUGGUGCAUCGGACAGUCCGGUGCACACCGGACAUGUCCGGUGCGCCUGCCACGUCACCCGAACGUUAGGGUUCCGACCGUUGGAGCUCUGACGCUGGGCCCGCCUGGAUGUCCUGUGGCGCACCGGACAUGCACUGUAGAGUGUCCGAUGCGCCUGUUCGCGCGUGCCUGACUUCUGCGCGCUAUGGCGCGCAUUAAAUGCGAUGGCAGGUGACCGUUGGCGCCGAAGUAGCUGUUGCUCCAUAGUUACACCGGACAUGUCCGGUGAAUUAUAGCGGAGAGCCGUUGCGAAUUCCCGAAGCUGGCGAGUUCAGAGUCGCUUCAUCCCUGGAGCACCGGACACUGUCCGGUGUACACCGGACAGUCCGGUGAAUUAUAGCGGAGCGACUCUGCGUUUUCCCGAAGGCGAGGAGUUCAGCGCGUGGAGAAUCCUGGUGCACCGGACAUGUCCGGUGGCACACCGGACAGUCCGGUGCGCCAGACCAGGGCAGCCUUCGGUUGUCCCUUUGCUCCUUUGUUUGAACCCUUUUCUUUUGAUCUUUUCAUUGGCUUAUUGUGAACCUUUGGCACCUGUAGAACUUAUAGACUAGGGCAAACUAGUUAGUCCAAUUAUUUGUGUUGGGCAAUUCAACCACCAAAAUUAAUUUAGGAAAAUAGGUGUAAGCCUAAUUCCCUUUCAAUCUCCCCCUUUUUGGUGAUUCAUGCCAACACAAACCAAAGCAAGUAUAGAGGUGCAUAAUUGAACUAGUUUGCAGAAUGUAAGUGCAAAGGUUACCUAGAAUUUGAGCCAAUAAAUAUCACUUACUAGAUAAGCAUGGAUUGUUUCUUUAUUUUUAACAUUUUGGACCACGCUUGCACCACAUGUUUUGUUUUUGCAAAUUCUUUUUGUAAAUCCUUUUCAAAGUUCUUUUGCAAAAUAGUCAAAGGUGAAUGAGUAAAAUUUUGCGAAGCAUUUUCAAGUUUGAAAUUUUCUCCCCUUGUUUCAAAUGCUUUUCCUUUGACUAAACAAAACUCCCCCUCAAAUAAAUUCUCCUCUUAGUGUUCAAGAGGGUUUUAAGAUAUCAAUUUUUGAAAGGUGCUACUUUCUCCCCCUUUAGAACACAAAGAGAUAUUAAUUUGAAAAUUACCAAUUUGAAAAUUUGGAAAUCAUAUUUUUUUAAAAAUUAGGGUGGUGGUGCGGUCCUUUUGCUUUGGGCUCAUACUUUCUCCCCCUUUGGCAUGAAUCGCCAAAAACGGAUACUUUGAGUGAGAUAUAAGCCCUUGGUUAACUAUUUUCUCCCCUUUGGCAAAUAAAACAUAUGAGUGAAGAUUAUACCAAAGACGGGGAGUGAUGCGGAGCGACUGCGAAGGAGGAGUAAUAGAGUGGAGUGGAAGCCUUUGUCUUCGCCGAAGACUCCAAUUCCCUUUCGAUAUACCUAUGACUUGGUUUGAAAUACACUUGAAAGACACAUUAGUCAUAGCAUAUAUAAAAAAGACAUGAUCAAAGGUAUAUUUAUGAGCUAUGUGUGCAAGUUUAGCAAAAGAAAUUCCUAGAAUCAAGAAUAUUGAGCUCAUGCCUAAGUUUGGUAAAAGUUUGUUCAUCUAAUGGCUUGGUAAAGAUAUCGGCUAAUUGAUCUUUAGUAUUAAUGUAUGCAAUCUCGAUAUCCCCCUUUUGUUGGUGAUCCCUAAGAAAAUGAUAUCGAAUGGCUAUGUGCUUAGUGCGGCUAUGCUCAACGGGAUUAUCCGCCAUGCGGAUUGCACUCUCAUUAUCACAUAGAAGAGGAACUUUGGUUAAUUUGUAACCAUAGUCCCGCAGGGUUUGCCUCAUCCAAAGCAAUUGCGCGCAACAAUGGCCUGCGGCAAUGUACUCGGCUUCGGCGGUAGAAAGAGUGACCGAAUUUUGCUUCUUUGAAGCCCAAGACACCAAGGACCUUCCCAAGAACUGGCAAGUCCCCGAUGUGCUCUUUCUAUUAAUCUUACAUCCCGCCCAAUCGGCAUCCGAAUAACCAAUCAAAUCAAAUGUGGAUCCCCGAGGGUACCAAAGCCCAAACUUAGGGGUAUAAGCCAAAUAUCUCAAGAUUCGUUUUACGGCCGUAAGGUGGGAUUCCUUAGGGUUGGAUUGGAAUCUUGCACACAUGCAAACGGAAAGCAUAAUGUCCGGUCGAGAUGCACAUAAAUAGAGUAAUGAACCUAUCAUCGAUGGGUAUACCUUUUGAUCGACGGAUUUACCUCCCGUGUCGAGCUCGAGAUGCCCGUUGGUUCCCAUGGGUGUCUUGAUGGGCUUAGCAUCCUUCAUUCCAAACUUGGUUAGAAUGUCUUGAGUAUACUUCGUUUGGCUAAUGAAGGUGCCUUCUUGGAGUUGCUUGACUUGGAAUCCUAGAAAAUACUUCAACUCCCCCAUCAUUGACAUCUCGAAUUUUUGUGUCAUGAUCCUACUAAAUUCUUCACAUGUAGAUUCGUUAGUAGACCCAAAUAUGAUAUCAUCAACAUAAAUUUGGCAUACAAACAUAUCAUUGUCAAGAGUUUUAGUGAAUAAAGUAGGAUCGACCUUGCCGACUUUGAAGCCAUUAGCUAUAAGGAAAUCUCUUAGGCAUUCAUACCAUGCUCUUGGGGCUUGCUUGAGCCCAUAAAGCGCCUUAGAGAGCCUAUAAACAUGGUUAGGGUACUCACUGUCUUCAAAGCCGGGAGGUUUCUCAACAUAGACCUCUUCCUUGAUUGGUCCAUUGAGAAAGGCACUCUUUACGUCCAUUUGAUAAAGCUUGAAGCCAUGGUAAGUAGCAUAGGCUAAUAAUAUGCGAAUUGACUCAUGCCUAGCUACGGGUGCAUAGGUUUCACCGAAAUCCAAACCUUCGACUUGGGAGUAUCCCUUGGCCACAAGUCGGGCUUUGUUCCUUGUCACCACACCAUGCUCAUCUUGCUUGUUGCGGAAGACCCAUUUGGUUCCUACAACAUUUUGGUUAGGACGUGGAACUAAAUGCCAUACCUCAUUCCUAGUGAAAUUGUUGAGCUCCUCUUGCAUCGCCAUCACCCAAUCCGAAUCUUGAAGUGCUUCCUCUACCCUGUGUGGCUCAAUAGAGGAAACAAAAGAGUAAUGCUCACAAAAAUGUGCAACACGAGAUCGAGUGGUUACCCCCUUAUGAAUGUCGCCGAGGAUGGUGUCGACGGGGUGAUCUCGUUGGAUUGCUUGGUGGACUCUUGGGUGUGGCGGCCUUGGUUCUUCAUCCUCCUUGUCUUUAUCGUUUGCAUCUCCCCUUGAUUAUUGCCGUCAUCUUGAGGUGGCUCAUCUCUUUGAUCUUCUCCUUCAUCAACUUGAGCCUCGUCCUCAUUUUGGGUUGGUGGAGAUGCUUGCAUGGAGGAGGAUGGUUGAUCUUGUGCAUGUGGAGGCUCUUCGGAUUCCUUAGGGCACACAUCCCCAAUGGACAUGUUCCUUAGCUCGAUGCACGGAGCCUGUUCUUCACCUAUCUCAUCAAGAUCAACUUGCUCUACUUGAGAGCCGUUAGUUUCAUCAAACACAACGUCACAAGAAACUUCAACAAGUCCUGAGGACUUGUUAAAGACUCUAUAUGCCCUUGUGUUUGAGUCAUACCCUAGUAAAAAGCCUUCUACAGUUUUAGGAGCAAAUUUAGAUUUUCUACCUCUCUUAACAAGAAUAAAGCAUUUGCUACCAAAAACUCUAAAAUAUGAAAUAUUGGGCUUUUUAACGAUUAGGAGUUCAUAGGAUGUCUUCUUGAGGAUUCGAUGUAGAUAUAACCAGUUGAUGGCGUAGCAAGCGGUGUUGACUGCCUCGGCCCAAAACCGAUCCGGUGUCUUGUACUCAUCAAGCAUGGUUCUUGCCAUGUCUAAUAGAGUUCGAUUCUUCCUCUCCACUACACCAUUUUGUUGUGGUGUGUAGGGAGAAGAGAACUCAUGCUUGAUGCCCUCCUCCUCAAGGAAGCCUUCUAUUUGUGAGUUCUUGAACUCCGUCCCGUUGUCGCUUCUAAUUUUCUUGAUCCUUAAGCCAAACUCAUUUUGAGCCCGUCUCAAGAAUCCCUUUAAGGUCUCUUGGGUAUGAGAUUUUUCCUGCAAAAAGAACACCCAAGUGAAGCGAGAAUAAUCAUCCACAAUAACUAAACAGUACUUACUCCCGCCGAUGCUUAUGUAAGCGAUCGGCCCGAAUAGAUCCAUGUGUAGGAGCUCCAGUGGCCUGUCACUUGUCAUGAUGUUCUUGUGUGGAUGAUGAGUGCCAACUUGCUUCCCGGCUAGGCAUGCGCUACAAAUCCUGUCUUUCUCAAAAUGAACAUUUGUUAGUCCUAAAAUGUGCUCUCCCUUUAGAAGCUUAUGAAGAUUCUUCAUUCCAACAUGAGCUAGUCGGCGGUGCUAGAGCCAACCCAUGUUAGUCUUAGCAAUUAAGCAAGUGUCGAGUUCAGCUUUAUCAAAAUCUACCAAGUAUAGCUGACCCUCUAACACUCCCUUAAAUGCUAUUGAAUCAUCACUUCUUCUAAAGACAGUGACACCUACAUCAGUAAAUAGACAGUUGUAGCCCAUUUGACAUAAUUGCGAAACAGAAAGCAAAUUGUAAUCUAAAGAAUCUACAAGAAAAACAUUGGAAAUGGAAUGGUCAGGAGAUAUAGCUAUUUUACCCAAACCUUUGACCAAACCUUGGUUUCCAUCCCCGAAUGUGAUAGCUCGUUGGGGAUCUUGGUUUUUCUCGUAGAAGGAGAACAUCUUCUUCUCCCCCGUCAUGUGGUUUGUGCACCCGCUAUCGAUGAUCCAACUUGACCCACCGGAUGCAUAGACCUACAAAACAAGUUUAGUUCUUGACUUUAGGUACCCAAACGGUUUUGGGUCCUUUGGCAUUAGAAACAAGAACUUUGGGUACCCAAACACAAGUCUUAGAGCCCUUGUGUUUGCCCCAACAAACUUGGCAACUACCUUGCCGGAUUUGUUAGUUAAAACAUAUGAUGCAUCAAAAGUUUUGAAUGAAAUGUCAUGAUUAUUUGAUGCACUAGGAGUUUUCUUUCUAGGCAACUUAGCACGGGUUGGUUGCCUAGAGCUAGAUGUCUCACCCUUAUACAUAAAAGCAUGGUUAGGGCCAGAGUGAGACUUCCUAGAAUGAAUUCUCCUAAUUUUGCUCUCAGGAUAACCGGCAGAAUACAAAAUGUAACCCUCGUUAUCCUGAGGCAUGGGAGCCUUGCCCUUAACAAAGUUAGACAAAUUUUUAGGAGGGGCAUUAAGUUUGACAUUGUCUCCCCUUUGGAAGCCAAUGUCAUCCUUGAUGCCAGGGCGUCUCCCAUUAUAGAGCAUACUUCUAGCAAAUUUAAACUUUUCAUUUUCCAAGUUAUGCUCGGCAAUUUUAGCAUCUAAUUUUGCUAUAUGAUCAUUUUGUUGUUUAAUUAAGACCAUAUGAUCAUGAAUAGCAUCAAUAUCAACAUCUCUACAUCUAGUGCAAAUAGAAACAUGCUCAACAGUAGAUGUAGAGGGUUUGCAAGAUUUUAAUUCUACAACCUUAGCAUGUAAUAUAUCAUUCUCACUUCUAAGGUUAGAAAUAGUAACAUUGCAAACAUCAAAAUUUUUAGCCUUAGCAAUUAAUUUUUCAUUUUCAAUCCUAUGGCUAGCAAGAGAAUCAUUCAAUUCCUUAAUCUUAGCAUGUAAAUCAACAUUAUCAUUUCUAAGACUGGGAAUUGAAACAUCACAAACAUGUGAAUCAACCUUAGCAAUUAAUCUAGCAUUUUCAUUUCUAAGGUUGUCAAUAGUCUCAUGGCAAGUGCUUAGCUCAGUAGACAAUUUUUCACAUUUUUCAACUUGUAGAGCAUAAGCAUUUUUAACUUUAACAUGCUAUUUAUUCUCCUUGAUUAGGAAGUCCUCUUGGGAGUCCAAGAGAUCAUCCUUCUCAUGGAUGGCACUAAUUAGCUCAUUUAGUUUUCCUUUUGUUGCAUGUUGAGGUCGGCAAAAAAAGUACGCAAAUUAUCUUCCUCAUCACUAGCAUUAUCAUCACUAGAGGACUCAUACUUAGUGGAGGAUUUGGAUUUAACCUUCUUCCUUUUGUCGUCCUUUGCCAUGAGGCACUUGUGGCGGACGUUGGGGAAAGAAGUCCCUUGGUGACGGCGAUGUUGGCGGCGUCCUCGUCGGAGGAGGAGUCGGUGGAGCUCUCGUCCGAGUCCCAUUCCCGGCAACAUGGGCAUCGCCGCCCCUCUUCUUGUAGUGCCUCUUCUUCUCCUUUCUUCUUCCCUUCUUGUCGUCGCCCCUGUCAUAUCACUGGAUAGUGGACAUUUAGCAAUAAAAUGACCGGGUUACCCAUUUGUAGCAUACUUUCUUGGAGGGGUUUGUAGUCUUUCCCCCUCUUUGCUUGAGGAUUUGGCGGAAGCUCUUGAUGAUGAGCGCCAUCUCCUCGUUGUCGAGCUUGGAGGCGUCGAUGGUGUUCGACUUGGAGUAGCCUCCUCCUUCUUUUUCCGUCGCCUUGAAAGCGACAGGUUGUGCCUCGGACGUGGAGAGGUGCCUUGCUCGAUGAUUUUCUUUGAGCCCUUAAUCAUUAGCUCAAAGCUCCAAAUUUUCCUAUAACUCCUGGGAGACAUUAGCUUAUAUCUAGGAUCACCUCGAAUUAUUGAACUUGUGUAGGUUAAGAAAUACGAGGAUCUAAGAAUAACCUUGACCAUCUCAUGGUCAUCCCAUUUUCCGCUCCCGAGGUUGCGCACUUGGUUCACCAAGGUCUUCAAGCGGUUGUACAUCGCUUGUGGAUCCUCCCUUGGUGAAGCAUGAAGCGACCGAGCUCCCCUCGAUCGUCUCCCGCUUGGUGAUUUUGUCACUCAUCUCCUUCGUGCGCGGUCUUUAGUACGUCCCAAAUUUCCUUCGCACUUUUUAACCCUUGCACCUUGUUAUACUCUCCACUUAGAGAGGCGAGGAGUAUAGUGGUUGCUUGGGAGUUAAAGUGGUGGAUUUGGGCACUUCGUCCGAGUCAUAGUCUUCAUCCCCUACGGAUAGUACCUGUACACCAAACUCAACAACAUUCCAAAUGCUUGUGUGGAGUGAGGUUAGAUGAUGUCCAUUUUGUCACUCCACAUAUUAUAAUCUUCACGUCAAAACCGGUGGUUUGCCUAAUGGAACGGAGAGUAAAGGAGUACGUUUUGAAGUGUGGGGGUAGCGUAGGGGGAUCUUACUAUACUUCUUGCGCUCUUGGCGCUUAGAAGUAACGGACGGCGCAUCGGAGUCGGAGGUCGAUGGUGAUGAAGAGUCGGUCUCGUAGUAGACCACUUCCUCAUCCUCUUGUGCUUGUCGCUCUCCGAUGCGACUUGUGGGAAGAAGAUUUCUUCUCCUUCCCUUCCUUUGUUGGAGGAGUCCUUUUUCUUCUCCUUCCCUUGGUACGGGACUCUUCCAAUGAACUGCUCCCGUGGCUCGUAGUGGGCUUGUCGCCGUCUCCAUUCCUUCUUGGUGUGAUCUCUGUCACACCCGGUUUGAAGGCAAACCGAAUGCGAACUAUGUACGUGCCAGGAUCAGAACUCACGUACACAGCGAUUACAUAAAUGAACAUAUCACACAAUGCUCGAAUAAUAACUUAAAAGAGUACUUAUUACAUCAUAGAGUCAUAGACAUCCACAUAGUCAUUGUCUUAACAGGUAAAUCAAAGUGCUAAACGAAACGCAGUAAAGAUAAAGCCCACAGGCAGCUGACUGGGGGUUGCCGCCAACCCAACCUAGAAUUCAUCGUAGUCUUGGAAACUCCUGGAAGUCUCCUUCCACGGCUUCGCCUUCUCCGAGCAGUGGUUACAAUGCGGACAACCUGGUGUUUUGUGGUAAAGCAAGGAUGAGUAACAUCAACGUACUCAGCAAAUGUCCCGUUUGGCUGAGGUGGACUAGCUUUAUGUGGGGUUAGGCUCCAGCAGUUGCUUUUAGUUGGUCAGUAUUUAUCAUUAGUAGAAGCCAGAUUUUAGCAUUAACCAAUCCGUAAACCAUUUCCUCAUCGAGGAACAUUCAUCAUAUAGUCGAACCAAAACCAUGUAUAAUCAUUAUAUCUCGAACCAUCUGUAUCCUAAUCAAAGAGGAUCCCAAGGCUGUCUUAACCGUGAGCACGGCUGAUAUACCAGUUUCACUACCCUCUGCAGAGGUUGCACACUUUACCCAUGAGUCAUGAUUCCCUUUCUACCGGGGAGAGCUAAUCCCAUUGACCACUACCUAGGUGGUCCGGCAGGGCAUCACUACGUAGCUUUUACAAAGAUUUCCCUAGAGAUCAUAGCUGCCGUUAGGUUUCUCCAGUUUGAUAAACACAGUACCCUCCCCGCAGGAGAGUGACUAACAAAGAGCAAAACGAAAGAACUCGGCACUCAGCCUCGGCAGAGCAAGCACUGUGCUGGACCCCAUUGACGGCACGACGGCUAAGCAACUACACCUCUAGUUCAUUCCAAUUAAUCAGCUAAGGGCAUCCCAUUUCACCCUCAUGGUUGCACUGUUAUCCUGGCGUGGUCUCUCAACGAACCAGUCUACGGAGAGGUACUCAGGAAACAGCCUGAGCCCCCUAGAGUAUCACAAGAUCAUCAAAUCAACAGGAUAACGUAUCAUAAAUAGCCACAUCAUGUUCAUUGAUUAUGUUAAAGCAAUAGCAAAGUGCAACCAUAAUAGCCCAUAAGGUCAUCAAGGAUAAAGUAAAGUGCAAGCUAGUCAAUCCUUAGGUUCAAGUAAGUAAUGCGGGGUAGUAAGUUAUAAAUGAAUAGGACAUAUGGGACAGAGGACACUUGCCUUCACCAAACUGUUGAUCAGGGACUUCCUCUGCACUGCCUCGGGAAACACAGACUGCUCGUUGUCUACGCAAAGCAAUCAUUCACACUAUGCACUUGGGAAAAUAACAAACAAAAACAAUAUACCAAACAUAGCAGCAGAGAGGGGUCACAAGUUCAUAAGAAAAGGGAUAGGCACUCUAAAGUUCCUAGGUCUGGGGGUAGAGGACUCACAAGUGAUUCACUAUCCACUAAUCAGGUCUAAGUUAGUGGUGGGAUUAAAUAAUUAUCUGGUUAAGUUCCUAACUUAAGUGUUUAAGUCCAUAAACUUAGUAAUCCAAUUUAUUGAAGUCUACUCAUUUCCAAUUAUCUUAAAUAAGGUUUCAAUAGUCUUAAUCCUAUCCUAGUGAUUAGCUAUUAAUUAAUACAUGGAAACAGGGAAACAUUGCAUAAACAGAUAGAUAAUAAUAUUAUGAACAUUUUGCAAUUUGAAGCACCUAAUUUGGAGUUCAUAUGACAAAGUUAUGAAUUUUACAAGUUUAGGGGUUAAAAUUAUACCUAAGGACUUAUUUUAUCAAUAAAAGGGCCAGGGACUUAACUGCGAGAAACCAGGGACGGCGGGCGCAAUUUCCAGAAAACAGGGGGGCUCUUUAAGAAAAUGCGCGGGCGAAGGGUAUCGGGCCCUACAGCCGUUGGAUCUAGAUCGGCGGCUAGGAUUAGAUCCCGCGGCGCGCGCGGGCGCGCGGCGGCGUGAGCGGCUGACAGGCGGGCCGGGCGGACAGCGCGCGCGGGCGGACUGACAAGUGGGGUGGCGGGCAGAGAGCGGGGUGAGGGGUAGUGGGCCUGGGCCGCUGGAUCGCUGGCGGACGGCCAGGAUUAGGUCCGAGCGAGUUGAAUCAGGACGCCCGAUCUGGGUUGAACGGGGAGAUCGAUGGGCAGCCUGGGUCUUCCUACGGCUAGCUGGGGCGGCGGGCCGUCCCCGCGGCGGAGGGCUCGCCGGAGACGAGGGCACGGGCGACUGGCGGGCUCUGGGGCAAUCCGAGUGGUCGGGGAGGUCAGGGAGGGCACGGGGAUCCAUUGGUGGGGUCUGGGUCGGGGCAGAGGCACCGGAGGGGGCGGUCACGGCGGGGCGGCUCGGCGGCGGGGUUAUUCUACUCCGGCGAGCAAUCAACGCAACAGAGAGCAAAACAAGGGGCGAUAGGGCGGGAGAGGUCCCUUACCUCAAGGCGGGCUCCGGGACUCCUCGCGGCGACAGAGACGCGACGGGGACCCGGGUCGACGGUGCGGCUGCACGGCGGACGACGGGUGAGUGCGGGCAGAGAGAAAUAGGGAGGGGGAGAGGGAAUUGGGGCCGUUCCGGGUUGCGGACGUCGGGCGGAGCUCACCGGGCUAAGGGCGCGCGGAGCUCCAACGGCGACGAGAAACCGAGCUCAGGACGGCGGGGGCUAGGCGGCGGCGCUCUGCGGCGCGCAGCGAGGGGGAAGAGGGUCUACUGGGCGCAAAUGGGGAGAGGGUGAGGGGAGUGGGGCUCNNNNNNNNNNNNNNNNNNNNNNNNNNNNNNNNNNNNNNNNNNNNNNNNNNNNNNNNNNNNNNNNNNNNNNNNNNNNNNNNNNNNNNNNNNNNNNNNNNNNUUGAUGCAAUAGGAGAUUUCUUUUUAGGCAUUUUAACAUAGUAGAACGCCUAGAACUAGAAGCCUUAUUCUUAUAAAUAAAAGCAUGGUGAGAAACAGAAUGAGUCUUCUUUACAUGAAUUCUCCUAAUCUUAUUCUCAGGAUAACCAGCAGAUAUAAGAUAGCCCUCGUUAUCCCGAGGCAUGGGAGCCUGCCCUAACAAAUAGGACAAUCUUUAGAGGGCAUUAAACUUGACAUUGUCUCCCUGUGGAAGCCAAUGCCAUCCUUAAUGCCAGGCGUCUCCCACUAUAAAGCAUGCUACGAGCAAAUUUAAUUUCCAUUUUCUAGUUCAUGCUUGGCAAUUUUAGCAUCUAAUUUAGCUAUAGAUUAUUUUGUUGUUUAAUCGUAAUAAGGUGAUCAUGAAUAGCACUACAUUAACAUCUCUACAUCUAGUGCAAAUAGAAACAUGAUCAACCGUAGAUUAGAGGGUUUACAAUUAUUAAUUCAACAAUCUAGCAUAUAAAUAGCAUCUCAUCUCUAAGAUUGAAAUUGGAAACAUUGCAAACAUCUAAUUCCUUAGCCUUAGCAAUUAAUUUAUCAUUCUCAAACUUAAGGCUAGCAAGAGAUUCAUUCAACAUGUCAAUCUUAGCAAUUAAACUAGCAUUAUCAUUUCUAAGAUUAACAAUUGAAUCAUCACAAACAUUUGAUUCUCAACCUUAGCAAUUAAUUUGGCAUUUUCAUUUCUAAGGCUAGAAAUAGUGCAUGGCAAGUGCAAAGCUCACUAGUUAAUUUUUCAUUUUCUCUACUUCCUGAGCAUAAGCAUUUUUAGUCUUAACAUGCUUUUUGUUUUUCUUAUUAGGAAGUCCUCUUGGCUAUCCAAGAGUUCAUCCUUUCAUGAAUAGCACUAAUCAAUUCAUUCAAUUUCUCUUUUGUUGCAUUUAGGAUUGGCAAAAAGAGUAAGCAAGUUAUCCUCAUCAUCACUAGAAUUAUCCUCGUCACUAGAAGUUGCAUACUUAGUGGAGGAUCUGAUUUACCUCUUCUUCUUGCCGUCCUUUGCCAUGAGGCACUUGUGGCAACGUUGGGGAAGAGAAGUCCCUUGUUGACGGCGAUUUAGCGGCGUCCUUGUUGGAGGAGGAGUCGGUGGAUCUUCGUCGGAGUCCCACUCCGGCAAACAUGGCAUCGUCGCUGUUGGGGACUUGUUCUCAAAUGCUAUGAAUCAAGAACAAGCAACACAAAAGAUGUUAAAUAUCAAAUUCCUUCGUCCGCUGAAGCAUCAUCUCCUCAAGGGUUUAAUGAUUUCGGACGAAGGCCUCAAACACAAUAUUACGAAGUGACAAAGAUAAUAUAAAGCGAUGUAAAAUGUAGAAUAUAAAGAUAAAUAUUUGGAGAUAAAUGCAUCACUCACAUAUUUAUCAUAUGAAUCUAAAAUGUUUGAAUACAAUGUUUAAGGUAUGUUUAUACCUUCGCCUUGACAAGUAAUAAUUCCCAAGUGAUGCACUUGCGAUUACAGGAACGCGUGAACAGUAAAGGAAUACUGUUCACUUAUUUAUAGGCACAGGACACAGCCUGUGAGGAAUUACAAUCAUGCCCUUCAUAAAAGUUUACAACAAUGACUCAGACCCCUACAGGCUAAAAGGUCAUUCUAUCUUUAGGUCGGUUCGACCCUUCAUCUUCGGAUACGUUAUAAUCCCGAAGCUUCAUGAAUGAUACCUCGUCGUCACGUACGAGCAGCUUCAGCCGCAGCUGUUUCUUUCUGUAGGACUUCGGCGACGAAGCAUGGUCCCAACAGUAGCCCCUUCGCGGUGCUAGAUCGUUUUUCGUAACGAGCUUGAUCGUCGAAAAAAGUCUCUUAGGCUUCAGGAAGCCGAAGGUCCGAAAAACACCUUCCCUGAGCUCGUUGUCGAGAAACGAUACAGUUUUCGAGCGCGUAGCGAUUCCACCAUGCGGGUUACUAUUCUGUUUUUGCGGCCCACCGUUCAGCGGGUGCGAGCAACUGUUGCUUGGUGUAAAAAUCCUGACGAUUCACCUCUUUCCUGCAACACUAUAUAAACAGACGGUAGGUGUGAAGUUACCCCCAGCAUUCAUUGCUAUUGCACUGUUUUGCGCCAAAAUUUUAACCAUAGCCGAGCUUGACUUUCGCAUCGACAAAGUCUAGUUUAGCGUCUGCUCCGUCAGAAGAAGGGCUGGGAGAAAGGUUAUUAAUUUCCGAGCAAUUUUCAAGAUAUUCAAAAUCAAAUGGCCAGAGUGCGCUCUACUGCUAGGGCUGAGCGCGAAGGAGACGAAGUCGAAGCUGCGGAAACUGUCCCUAUUCGGAAGCAAUGAGGCGAAGUGGGUUGGUGACAUCGGAGAACACCCCUGCUGCGAAGCAGAACAAGCAGAUAUUGAAGAGACUGAUUCUGAAGAUGACAUAAUAUCGCAAUACCAAGCAAGCCUAGCACCUGGACUUCGGAAAGUCAACCAUCUCCAAGGCUGAUUUUCCGAAGAUGGUAAAGUCGGCUAGUUUAGCGAAGAUGAGAAAAGAUGAUUCGCUUCGGUGGAGAAGAAACUACUCCAAAGCCUCAAAAGAUGAAAUAUGAUUUUCAAGAGUUUCCUCAAAGCUGGUUUGAGAUUCCUUUAAAUAGGAUGAUUGCCGAUGUGCUAAAGAAGUUUGGUAUCUAUUUCAUCAACUAACUCCUAAUGCUAUUGUUAGGCUUAGUGUUUAUAUUUGGGCUCUCCAAAGCCAAGGGGUGGAGCCAUUUGCCAAAGGUUUCUGUCGAGUACACGAGCUACGUUAUCAAACUAAGGCCAGAAAGGAUGGGUUACAUGAAAAUUUUGGUUGUUAUAAUUUUGCCUAUCGGAAGACUACAAAAUUUCCGGUGAUCAGCUACCGAAGCAAGUGGCCGGCAGGCUAAAAUUGGAAUGGUUCUACGUCAAAGUUGACGAUGACAAGGAGAAGCUAGUACAGAGUCCGCUUGAACUGGUCUUCGGAGAGACCAGACCCCACUGCAAUAUGACACCAGAAGGUCCACUCAAAUCGGUUGGCUGAAUUCAGGACUAUGCUGAGCACAUUGGCACUAUAGAUCUUGUGCAGGAAUUUCUGUCGUUCAAAUAUUUCCAACUAUGAAGGAAUGGGCUAUACCGAAGCUCAAAAAAGAGAAGAAAGAGGGGGAACUUGUCCGCCUGCCCUACCACUACAAGUUCAAGAAAUAUUUUAAAGAACCCUGCCAAGAAUGGCUCGAAACAAUCGAAAUAAUGAGUACUGAAAUUCUGGGAAUUAUUCUAAAAAAGAAGAUCAAUUGAUGACAGCAGCCUUCGGCACCCGGCCGAAACAAAGGCUAAACAGAGUGCUUGAUGUUAUAUGCUUUGAAUACCCUGACUAUGAGCGACUAGACAAGGGUGCCGAAGGGUAGAAAAGAAAAUGAGUGGCUAGCACUUUAAUUAAAGACGACGAAGAUCAACCAAGAAAGAAGAAAGAAAAGCUUGAACCGAAAGUAGUUGCUCCAAGAAAGAGAAAAGCUGUAUCUUCGAAGCCUGCGUCUCCAGAACUAGAGAGGUUGGUCCGAGAUGAGGAAGUAUCUGUGACACCUUCUGCUGCCGAAGUAGAAGAAAUUUUGAAGGUAAUGACUGAAACCUUGCCUGUCAAGCUAAGUCCGCUGGCACCAGAACUGACAAAGUUUUUUUAGAAGGACGAAAAAAACUUCGGCAGCAGAAAGUUCUGCGAAGCCAAAAAAACGGAGAAUCAUUCAAGUGACAGAUGUGAUCCAUCAGACGCCGCCACCGGCGACGGUGUCAAAAAUUGUCUUUGCCGAGACUACCGAAGCCGAAGACGCCGCAGCCGAAGCUGCCGGAGUGGAGACCACUGAAGCUGAAACCGGCGAAGCUGAAGCUACCGGGGCCGAAGCCGAAGCUACCGGAGAGUCGAACCUGGAAACCACACUUGAGGUUAUUGACAAUAUACUCCUAAAAAUGGCUCAAGAAGAGCUGUCAUGGCUGCGGUGAACACGGCAACUGAAAAGGGGAAAAAGCAGAUUGAUGAAAUUUCGGAAAAAGGAGAUUUUAACUUUCAAGAUUUGCUUGGACAAGAGUUGACAGACGCCGAAAAAAGAAGAGUUGAAAAAAUAUGCCAUAUCUUGCGGAUAUAAAUCAGGGGCUAUGCUAUUUGAUGGGGUCAACGAAGGGAAGCUAAUAUGCCUUCGGAACCGCACCGAGGCCAAAAUUGUUAGAACCUCUCCAAAAGCGUUGGCUUGCCGAAGAUAGAAGCAGACCUCUGCAGGUAUCAGCGACAUCAUGUCGCUGGCAGCCUGCUCUACACGAAUUUUAAGGUAAAAUUAUUAUUAUUAUUUUAUUAUUGUUAUUUUUUAUGUCUUUCUCUGACGAAGGCUGUUUUGGCAGAGUAUAUUAUUAAGUAAAGUGCUGAAAAUGCAACAAGAUCUUGAAGAGGAGAAGAACAAAGCUAUCAUCAAAGAUUUAGAAGAAAAAGUUGAGAACUACGAAGCUGUUCUGAAGAAGAAAGACUUCGCCAUUCAAGAUCUUGAAAUUAUGGCUAAAGAACACGAAGGUGCUUUAGAAAAUAAAGACUUUAUUAUUCAGUCUAUGGAAGGCUCCUUGGCCGAAGUCCAAGCGGAAAAUGACAGUUUAAAGAAUGAAUUACUCGAAAAGUCAGAAAAAUAUGAGCAAGAAAAGGAUAAGCUUGAAGCAAGUCUCAAGAUUGAGGUCGAGAAAAAUUUAAAUUUGCAAAAAUCAUUAAAGGAUCUCCAAGAGAAAUGUCUAAAUUUCGGCAGCCGAUGCGUGCAGCGGCUCAAGGACGUAUUUCACUCUAUCGGAGCCAGCUCUGAAAAAUUUUCACCUUCAGCCGAAAACCUGCCCAGCACCUUGGAACAUAUUGAAGGCGAGGUUGAUGCUCUUGACGAAGUUAUUGGUGGGCAUGUCGAUUUCUGCGCCCUGGUAGCUUCUCGAGGCACAGCUGCCGCUUUUCUGAAGGCCGGUUGUACUCAUGGGAAAAUUGUGAAUAGGCCAAACUUUAGCUUGUCAGCAUCAGAUUUGAUUGAUAUCCCGAGCCUAGCCCGAAGCAUCGGAAAUAGAUUUAUGACCCAAAUUUGGGUAAAUGGCGGGCGAAGGAUGGCUGGUGACGAAGCUCGAAGUCACCUUAAGCCGGUAAGAAACUUAUAUUUGUUACUUUUACCUUCUCCUUGAAAUUUGCACCUUUCUUAUUCUGCUCCUUAAUAUGUGCAGGAUGACAAAACUAAAGUAUGACGAAGCUGAAGCUUGAUAGUUGCUAAAAUAGACUUUCCUACAAAAAAUUCUGAAAGGAUCUUUGUAAUAUCAUUAUGGAAAAAACUUAUGUAAAUUUGUACAUACCUUGUAAUAUAUUCUGUCUCCUUUAUCUGUGUACAAUCUGCUUUGCUGUGGACGAAACUUCUCUUUUUUGAGCUGAAGGCGAAAAACACCUUCCCUUCUUUUCGUACACAACGAAGCAUGAAAACUUCCUCUUUCUACGAAGUCUUUCCUUAUUGCCGAAGCAUCUGUCUUUUUUGUGUGGUAUGAUGAUGAUUCUAUAUGUCUAAAUGAAUGUUUAUGAGUGCAAAUGACAUGAUGUAAUGUAUCGUGCAGAUGAAUAUCGGGUCACAUAUUCAAAAACCAUAAUCAUAGACCUUCAUCCCCUUGGGAAUGAUUCAAAUCUUUCUGUCGUUUACUUUUCGGUGUACCAGCGUUGACUUUUCGCUGUAAGCCUCCCUUAGGAGCUUCUUCGCCUUUUACUUUCAACGGAAUCAGCGUUGACUUUUCGCUGUAAGCGUCCCUUAGGAGCUUCUUCGCCUUCUACUUUCGGCGGAAUCAGCGUUGACUUUUCGUUGUAAGCUCUGCAUUCCCUUAGGAAUGACUUUUGAGCUUCUCCCUAUUUUCUUUUCUUUUUCCUUUGCAUUUACAUUUACAUUUUUGGGGGAUAUCAUUCUUAUAGAAUUGAAAUAAGGAAAAUUACAUGUUGUGGCCCCAUUAAAAACCUUUCUCCCCUUUGGAAAGGAAAAGGGUGCCACAAAAAAGAAUAGAAAAAAUUACAUCAAGCUAAACAUAAUAUCGCCGAAGCUCAUCCGCAUUCCACGAUCUAGGGAUGUCGUUGCCGUCCAUAUCCUUUAAUCUGUAGGAACCGGGUCUUGACGAAGAUACUACCAAAAAAGGGCCUUCCCACUUCAGCUGUAGUUUGCCUACUGUGUCUGGGUUGACCACUCUUCGAAGCACCAAAUGUCCUGGCUUAAUGUUCUUCAACCGAACCUUUCUAUCCCGCCAUUUUAUUGUUUCGGCUUGGUAUUUAUUGAUGUUUUCCACAGCCUGAAGCCUGAUCCCCUCUAUAGCAUCUUUUUCCAUAGAGCAGUCAGCUUCAUCUUCGCCUUUUGCCGAAGCUAUUGUUCUUAUUGAUCCUGCUUUGGCUUCUUCCGGGGUUAUUGCUUCGUCACCAAACAAUAGUUUGAAUGGCGUAAAGCCUGUUGAUCUUGACGUUGUUGUGUUAUGGCUCUACACCACUUUGAUUAAUUCUUCUGGCCACUUUCCCCUGGGCUGAUUGAAGAUUGACUUCAUUAUUCCUGUCAUUAUGAUCCCAUUAGCUCUUUCAACUAGUCCAUUUGAUUCUGGAUGUCGAACUGACGCAAAAUGGAUCUUUGUGCCAAUUUGGUCACAAAACUCUUUAAAAGCUUCGGAGUCCAACUGCGUUCCAUUGUCCACAGUAAUGGCCUUCGGCACUCCGAAGCGACAAACAAUGUUUUGCCAGAAAAACUUUUGGACAGUGACCAAAGUUAUUGUGGCUAAAGGCUUUGCCUCAAUACAUUUAGAAAAAUAUUCCACUGCCACUACAACAUAUUUUAAAUUUCCUUGUGCUGGUGGUAGCGGACCUAACAAAUCAAGGCCCCACCUUUGCAACGACCAAGUGGGUUGUAUUAACUGAGUUAGAGACGAAGGUUGUUUUUGAUCUCUUGCACAUUUCUGACAACCUUCACACUUUUGCACUAGUUCCGCUGCAUCCGAAGCUGCCUUUGGCCAAUAAAAUCCUUGGCGAAAAACUUUUCCCAACAAAGGCCUAGAUCCAAUAUGAGAUCCACACAGGCCUGCAUAUAUUUCCUUCAUCAAUUCUAUGCCUUCGGCUCUGGAUAAACACUUGAGCAACGGGGAACAAACCCCACGCUUGUAUAAUUCCCCUUCUAUAAUGACAUAUGGUCGAGCUCUUGCUUCUAUCCUCCUGUUAUAAACUUCAUCAUCUGAAAGAAAAUUGCCCUGAAGGAAAGAGAUGAUUUCAGUUCUCCAAUCUUCACUAUAGAUAGGGGAUAUGUUGAGGACCGCUCUUUCAAGAAGCUCGACCGAAGGUGCUUUUAUUGUUUCGAAAAAUACUUCCGAAGGUAAAGGCAGCCCCUGUGCUGCUGACUUGGCUAAUUGAAAGUCGCCUAGAGGGGGUGAAUAGGGCGAAACUGAAAUUUACAAAAUUAAUCACAACUACAAGCCGGGUUAGCGUUAUAAAUAAUAAUGAGUCCGAGAGAGAGAGCGCAAAACAAAUCGCAAGCGAAUAAGGAGUGUGACACGCGGAUUUGUUUUACCGAGGUUCGGUUCUCGCAAACCUACUCCCCGUUGAGGAGGCCACAAAGGUCGGGUCUCUUUCAACCCUUACCCUCUCUCAAACGGUCCCGCGGACCGAGUGAGCUUCUCUUCUCAAAUCAAACCGGGAACAAAGCUUCCCCGCAAGGACCACCACACAAUUGGUGUCUCUUGCCUUGAUUACAAGUGAGCUUUGAUCACAAGAACAAGAGAGAAAGAAAGAAGCAAUCCAAGCGCAAGAGCUCAAAAGAACACGGCAAAUCUCUCUCGCUAAUCACUAAAGCCUUGUGUGGAAUUGGAGAGGAUUUGAUCACUUGAGUGUGUCUAGAAUUGAAUGCCUAGCUCUUGUAAGUGGUUGAGAUGUGGAAAACUUGGAUGUCUUGAAUGUGGGGUGGUUGGGGGUAUUUAUAGCCCCAACCACCAAACUAGCCGUUUGGGUGGAGGUUGUCUGUCGUAUGGUGCAUCGGACAGUCCGGUGCACACCGGACAUGUCCGGUGCGCCUGCCACGUCACCCGAACGUUAGGGUUCCGACCGUUGGAGCUCUGACGCUGGGCCCGCCUGGAUGUCCUGUGGCGCACCGGACAUGCACUGUAGAGUGUCCGAUGCGCCUGUUCGCGCGUGCCUGACUUCUGCGCGCUAUGGCGCGCAUUAAAUGCGAUGGCAGGUGACCGUUGGCGCCGAAGUAGCUGUUGCUCCAUAGUUACACCGGACAUGUCCGGUGAAUUAUAGCGGAGAGCCGUUGCGAAUUCCCGAAGCUGGCGAGUUCAGAGUCGCUUCAUCCCUGGAGCACCGGACACUGUCCGGUGUACACCGGACAGUCCGGUGAAUUAUAGCGGAGCGACUCUGCGUUUUCCCGAAGGCGAGGAGUUCAGCGCGUGGAGAAUCCUGGUGCACCGGACAUGUCCGGUGGCACACCGGACAGUCCGGUGCGCCAGACCAGGGCAGCCUUCGGUUGUCCCUUUGCUCCUUUGUUUGAACCCUUUUCUUUUGAUCUUUUCAUUGGCUUAUUGUGAACCUUUGGCACCUGUAGAACUUAUAGACUAGGGCAAACUAGUUAGUCCAAUUAUUUGUGUUGGGCAAUUCAACCACCAAAAUUAAUUUAGGAAAAUAGGUGUAAGCCUAAUUCCCUUUCAAUCUCCCCCUUUUUGGUGAUUCAUGCCAACACAAACCAAAGCAAGUAUAGAGGUGCAUAAUUGAACUAGUUUGCAGAAUGUAAGUGCAAAGGUUACCUAGAAUUUGAGCCAAUAAAUAUCACUUACUAGAUAAGCAUGGAUUGUUUCUUUAUUUUUAACAUUUUGGACCACGCUUGCACCACAUGUUUUGUUUUUGCAAAUUCUUUUUGUAAAUCCUUUUCAAAGUUCUUUUGCAAAAUAGUCAAAGGUGAAUGAGUAAAAUUUUGCGAAGCAUUUUCAAGUUUGAAAUUUUCUCCCCUUGUUUCAAAUGCUUUUCCUUUGACUAAACAAAACUCCCCCUCAAAUAAAUUCUCCUCUUAGUGUUCAAGAGGGUUUUAAGAUAUCAAUUUUUGAAAGGUGCUACUUUCUCCCCCUUUAGAACACAAAGAGAUAUUAAUUUGAAAAUUACCAAUUUGAAAAUUUGGAAAUCAUAUUUUUUUAAAAAUUAGGGUGGUGGUGCGGUCCUUUUGCUUUGGGCUCAUACUUUCUCCCCCUUUGGCAUGAAUCGCCAAAAACGGAUACUUUGAGUGAGAUAUAAGCCCUUGGUUAACUAUUUUCUCCCCUUUGGCAAAUAAAACAUAUGAGUGAAGAUUAUACCAAAGACGGGGAGUGAUGCGGAGCGACUGCGAAGGAGGAGUAAUAGAGUGGAGUGGAAGCCUUUGUCUUCGCCGAAGACUCCAAUUCCCUUUCGAUAUACCUAUGACUUGGUUUGAAAUACACUUGAAAGACACAUUAGUCAUAGCAUAUAUAAAAAAGACAUGAUCAAAGGUAUAUUUAUGAGCUAUGUGUGCAAGUUUAGCAAAAGAAAUUCCUAGAAUCAAGAAUAUUGAGCUCAUGCCUAAGUUUGGUAAAAGUUUGUUCAUCUAAUGGCUUGGUAAAGAUAUCGGCUAAUUGAUCUUUAGUAUUAAUGUAUGCAAUCUCGAUAUCCCCCUUUUGUUGGUGAUCCCUAAGAAAAUGAUAUCGAAUGGCUAUGUGCUUAGUGCGGCUAUGCUCAACGGGAUUAUCCGCCAUGCGGAUUGCACUCUCAUUAUCACAUAGAAGAGGAACUUUGGUUAAUUUGUAACCAUAGUCCCGCAGGGUUUGCCUCAUCCAAAGCAAUUGCGCGCAACAAUGGCCUGCGGCAAUGUACUCGGCUUCGGCGGUAGAAAGAGUGACCGAAUUUUGCUUCUUUGAAGCCCAAGACACCAAGGACCUUCCCAAGAACUGGCAAGUCCCCGAUGUGCUCUUUCUAUUAAUCUUACAUCCCGCCCAAUCGGCAUCCGAAUAACCAAUCAAAUCAAAUGUGGAUCCCCGAGGGUACCAAAGCCCAAACUUAGGGGUAUAAGCCAAAUAUCUCAAGAUUCGUUUUACGGCCGUAAGGUGGGAUUCCUUAGGGUUGGAUUGGAAUCUUGCACACAUGCAAACGGAAAGCAUAAUGUCCGGUCGAGAUGCACAUAAAUAGAGUAAUGAACCUAUCAUCGAUGGGUAUACCUUUUGAUCGACGGAUUUACCUCCCGUGUCGAGCUCGAGAUGCCCGUUGGUUCCCAUGGGUGUCUUGAUGGGCUUAGCAUCCUUCAUUCCAAACUUGGUUAGAAUGUCUUGAGUAUACUUCGUUUGGCUAAUGAAGGUGCCUUCUUGGAGUUGCUUGACUUGGAAUCCUAGAAAAUACUUCAACUCCCCCAUCAUUGACAUCUCGAAUUUUUGUGUCAUGAUCCUACUAAAUUCUUCACAUGUAGAUUCGUUAGUAGACCCAAAUAUGAUAUCAUCAACAUAAAUUUGGCAUACAAACAUAUCAUUGUCAAGAGUUUUAGUGAAUAAAGUAGGAUCGACCUUGCCGACUUUGAAGCCAUUAGCUAUAAGGAAAUCUCUUAGGCAUUCAUACCAUGCUCUUGGGGCUUGCUUGAGCCCAUAAAGCGCCUUAGAGAGCCUAUAAACAUGGUUAGGGUACUCACUGUCUUCAAAGCCGGGAGGUUUCUCAACAUAGACCUCUUCCUUGAUUGGUCCAUUGAGAAAGGCACUCUUUACGUCCAUUUGAUAAAGCUUGAAGCCAUGGUAAGUAGCAUAGGCUAAUAAUAUGCGAAUUGACUCAUGCCUAGCUACGGGUGCAUAGGUUUCACCGAAAUCCAAACCUUCGACUUGGGAGUAUCCCUUGGCCACAAGUCGGGCUUUGUUCCUUGUCACCACACCAUGCUCAUCUUGCUUGUUGCGGAAGACCCAUUUGGUUCCUACAACAUUUUGGUUAGGACGUGGAACUAAAUGCCAUACCUCAUUCCUAGUGAAAUUGUUGAGCUCCUCUUGCAUCGCCAUCACCCAAUCCGAAUCUUGAAGUGCUUCCUCUACCCUGUGUGGCUCAAUAGAGGAAACAAAAGAGUAAUGCUCACAAAAAUGUGCAACACGAGAUCGAGUGGUUACCCCCUUAUGAAUGUCGCCGAGGAUGGUGUCGACGGGGUGAUCUCGUUGGAUUGCUUGGUGGACUCUUGGGUGUGGCGGCCUUGGUUCUUCAUCCUCCUUGUCUUUAUCGUUUGCAUCUCCCCCUUGAUUAUUGCCGUCAUCUUGAGGUGGCUCAUCUCUUUGAUCUUCUCCUUCAUCAACUUGAGCCUCGUCCUCAUUUUGGGUUGGUGGAGAUGCUUGCAUGGAGGAGGAUGGUUGAUCUUGUGCAUGUGGAGGCUCUUCGGAUUCCUUAGGGCACACAUCCCCAAUGGACAUGUUCCUUAGCUCGAUGCACGGAGCCUGUUCUUCACCUAUCUCAUCAAGAUCAACUUGCUCUACUUGAGAGCCGUUAGUUUCAUCAAACACAACGUCACAAGAAACUUCAACAAGUCCUGAGGACUUGUUAAAGACUCUAUAUGCCCUUGUGUUUGAGUCAUACCCUAGUAAAAAGCCUUCUACAGUUUUAGGAGCAAAUUUAGAUUUUCUACCUCUCUUAACAAGAAUAAAGCAUUUGCUACCAAAAACUCUAAAAUAUGAAAUAUUGGGCUUUUUAACGAUUAGGAGUUCAUAGGAUGUCUUCUUGAGGAUUCGAUGUAGAUAUAACCAGUUGAUGGCGUAGCAAGCGGUGUUGACUGCCUCGGCCCAAAACCGAUCCGGUGUCUUGUACUCAUCAAGCAUGGUUCUUGCCAUGUCUAAUAGAGUUCGAUUCUUCCUCUCCACUACACCAUUUUGUUGUGGUGUGUAGGGAGAAGAGAACUCAUGCUUGAUGCCCUCCUCCUCAAGGAAGCCUUCUAUUUGUGAGUUCUUGAACUCCGUCCCGUUGUCGCUUCUAAUUUUCUUGAUCCUUAAGCCAAACUCAUUUUGAGCCCGUCUCAAGAAUCCCUUUAAGGUCUCUUGGGUAUGAGAUUUUUCCUGCAAAAAGAACACCCAAGUGAAGCGAGAAUAAUCAUCCACAAUAACUAAACAGUACUUACUCCCGCCGAUGCUUAUGUAAGCGAUCGGCCCGAAUAGAUCCAUGUGUAGGAGCUCCAGUGGCCUGUCACUUGUCAUGAUGUUCUUGUGUGGAUGAUGAGUGCCAACUUGCUUCCCGGCUAGGCAUGCGCUACAAAUCCUGUCUUUCUCAAAAUGAACAUUUGUUAGUCCUAAAAUGUGCUCUCCCUUUAGAAGCUUAUGAAGAUUCUUCAUUCCAACAUGAGCUAGUCGGCGGUGCUAGAGCCAACCCAUGUUAGUCUUAGCAAUUAAGCAAGUGUCGAGUUCAGCUUUAUCAAAAUCUACCAAGUAUAGCUGACCCUCUAACACUCCCUUAAAUGCUAUUGAAUCAUCACUUCUUCUAAAGACAGUGACACCUACAUCAGUAAAUAGACAGUUGUAGCCCAUUUGACAUAAUUGCGAAACAGAAAGCAAAUUGUAAUCUAAAGAAUCUACAAGAAAAACAUUGGAAAUGGAAUGGUCAGGAGAUAUAGCUAUUUUACCCAAACCUUUGACCAAACCUUGGUUUCCAUCCCCGAAUGUGAUAGCUCGUUGGGGAUCUUGGUUUUUCUCGUAGAAGGAGAACAUCUUCUUCUCCCCCGUCAUGUGGUUUGUGCACCCGCUAUCGAUGAUCCAACUUGACCCACCGGAUGCAUAGACCUACAAAACAAGUUUAGUUCUUGACUUUAGGUACCCAAACGGUUUUGGGUCCUUUGGCAUUAGAAACAAGAACUUUGGGUACCCAAACACAAGUCUUAGAGCCCUUGUGUUUGCCCCCAACAAACUUGGCAACUACCUUGCCGGAUUUGUUAGUUAAAACAUAUGAUGCAUCAAAAGUUUUGAAUGAAAUGUCAUGAUUAUUUGAUGCACUAGGAGUUUUCUUUCUAGGCAACUUAGCACGGGUUGGUUGCCUAGAGCUAGAUGUCUCACCCUUAUACAUAAAAGCAUGGUUAGGGCCAGAGUGAGACUUCCUAGAAUGAAUUCUCCUAAUUUUGCUCUCAGGAUAACCGGCAGAAUACAAAAUGUAACCCUCGUUAUCCUGAGGCAUGGGAGCCUUGCCCUUAACAAAGUUAGACAAAUUUUUAGGAGGGGCAUUAAGUUUGACAUUGUCUCCCCUUUGGAAGCCAAUGUCAUCCUUGAUGCCAGGGCGUCUCCCAUUAUAGAGCAUACUUCUAGCAAAUUUAAACUUUUCAUUUUCCAAGUUAUGCUCGGCAAUUUUAGCAUCUAAUUUUGCUAUAUGAUCAUUUUGUUGUUUAAUUAAGACCAUAUGAUCAUGAAUAGCAUCAAUAUCAACAUCUCUACAUCUAGUGCAAAUAGAAACAUGCUCAACAGUAGAUGUAGAGGGUUUGCAAGAUUUUAAUUCUACAACCUUAGCAUGUAAUAUAUCAUUCUCACUUCUAAGGUUAGAAAUAGUAACAUUGCAAACAUCAAAAUUUUUAGCCUUAGCAAUUAAUUUUUCAUUUUCAAUCCUAUGGCUAGCAAGAGAAUCAUUCAAUUCCUUAAUCUUAGCAUGUAAAUCAACAUUAUCAUUUCUAAGACUGGGAAUUGAAACAUCACAAACAUGUGAAUCAACCUUAGCAAUUAAUCUAGCAUUUUCAUUUCUAAGGUUGUCAAUAGUCUCAUGGCAAGUGCUUAGCUCAGUAGACAAUUUUUCACAUUUUUCAACUUGUAGAGCAUAAGCAUUUUUAACUUUAACAUGCUAUUUAUUCUCCUUGAUUAGGAAGUCCUCUUGGGAGUCCAAGAGAUCAUCCUUCUCAUGGAUGGCACUAAUUAGCUCAUUUAGUUUUUCCUUUUGUUGCAUGUUGAGGUCGGCAAAAAAAGUACGCAAAUUAUCUUCCUCAUCACUAGCAUUAUCAUCACUAGAGGACUCAUACUUAGUGGAGGAUUUGGAUUUAACCUUCUUCCUUUUGUCGUCCUUUGCCAUGAGGCACUUGUGGCGGACGUUGGGGAAGAGAAGUCCCUUGGUGACGGCGAUGUUGGCGGCGUCCUCGUCGGAGGAGGAGUCGGUGGAGCUCUCGUCCGAGUCCCAUUCCCGGCAAACAUGGGCAUCGCCGCCCCUCUUCUUGUAGUGCCUCUUCUUCUCCUUUCUUCUUCCCUUCUUGUCGUCGCCCCUGUCACUAUCACUGGAUAGUGGACAUUUAGCAAUAAAAUGACCGGGCUUACCACAUUUGUAGCAUACUUUCUUGGAGCGGGGUUUGUAGUCUUUCCCCCUCCUUUGCUUGAGGAUUUGGCGGAAGCUCUUGAUGAUGAGCGCCAUCUCCUCGUUGUCGAGCUUGGAGGCGUCGAUGGGUGUUCGACUUGGAGUAGCCUCCUCCUUCUUUUCUUCCGUCGCCUUGAAAGCGACAGGUUGUGCCUCGGACGUGGAGGAGGUGCCUUGCUCGAUGAUUUUCUUUGAGCCCUUAAUCAUUAGCUCAAAGCUCACAAAUUUUCCUAUAACCUCCUCGGGAGACAUUAGCUUAUAUCUAGGAUCACCUCGAAUUUAUUGAACUUGUGUAGGGUUAAGAAAUACGAGGGAUCUAAGAAUAACCUUGACCAUCUCAUGGUCAUCCCAUUUUUCGCUCCCGAGGUUGCGCACUUGGUUCACCAAGGUCUUCAAGCGGUUGUACAUCGCUUGUGGAUCCUCCCCUUGGUGAAGCAUGAAGCGACCGAGCUCCCCCUCGAUCGUCUCCCGCUUGGUGAUUUUUGUCACCUCAUCUCCUUCGUGCGCGGUCUUUAGUACGUCCCAAAUUUCCUUCGCACUUUUUAACCCUUGCACCUUGUUAUACUCCUCUCGACUUAGAGAGGCGAGGAGUAUAGUGGUUGCUUGGGAGUUAAAGUGGUGGAUUUGGGCCACUUCGUCCGAGUCAUAGUCUUCAUCCCCUACGGAUAGUACCUGUACACCAAACUCAACAACAUUCCAAAUGCUUGUGUGGAGUGAGGUUAGAUGAUGUCUCAUUUUGUCACUCCACAUAUUAUAAUCUUCACCGUCAAAAACCGGUGGUUUGCCUAAUGGAACGGAGAGUAAAGGAGUACGUUUUGAAGUGUGGGGGUAGCGUAGGGGGAUCUUACUAUACUUCUUGCGCUCUUGGCGCUUAGAAGUAACGGACGGCGCAUCGGAGUCGGAGGUCGAUGGUGAUGAAGAGUCGGUCUCGUAGUAGACCACUUUCCUCAUCCUCUUGUGCUUGUCGCCUCUCCGAUGCGACUUGUGGGAAGAAGAUUUCUUCUCCUUCCCCUUCCCUUUGUUGGAGGAGUCCUUUUUCUUCUCCUUCCUCUUGGUACGGGACUCUUCCAAUGAACUGCUCCCGUGGCUCGUAGUGGGCUUGUCGCCGGUCUCCAUCUCCUUCUUGGUGUGAUCUCCUGUCACACCCGGUUUUAGAAGGCAAACCGAAUGCGAACUAUGUACGUGCCAGGAUCAGAACUCACGUACACAGCGAUUACAUAAAUGAACAUCAUCACACAAUGCUCGAAUAAUAACUUAAAAGAGUACUUAUUACAUCAUAGAGUCAUAGACAUCCACAUAGUCAUUGUCUUAACAGGUAAAUCAAAGUGCUAAACGAAACGCAGUAAAGAUAAAGCCUCCACAGGCAGCUGACUGGGGGUUGCCGCCAACCCACACCUAGAAUUCAUCGUAGUCUUGGAACUCCUGGAAGUCUCCUUCCACGGCUUCGCCUUCUCCCGAGCAGUGGUUACAAUGCGGACAACCUGGUGUUUUGUGGUAAAGCAAGGAUGAGUACACAUCAACGUACUCAGCAAAUGUCCCGUUUGGCUGAGGUGGACUAGCUUUAUGUGGGGUUAGGCUCCAGCAGUUGCUUUUAGUUGGUCAAGUAUUUAUCAUUAGUAGAAGCCAGAUUUUAGCAUUAACCAAUCCGUAAACCAUUUCCUCAUCGAGGAACAUCAUCAUCAUAGUCGAACCAAAACCAUGUCAUAAUCAUUAUAUCUCGAACCAUCUGUAUCCCUAAUCAAAGAGGAUCCCAAGGCUGCUCUUAACCGUGAGCACGGCUGAUAUACCAGUUUCACUACCCUCUGCAGAGGUUGCACACUUUACCCAUGAGUCAUGAUUCCCUUUCUACCCGGGGAGAGCUAAUCCCCAUUGACCACUACCUAGGUGGUCCGGCAGGGCAUCACUACGUAGCUUUUACAAAGAUUCCCUAGAGAUCAUAGCUGCCCGUUAGGUUUCUCCAGUUUGAUAAACACAGUACCCCUCCCCGCAGGAGAGUGACUAACAAAGAGCAAAACGAAAGAACCUCGGCACUCAGCCUCGGCAGAGCAAGCACUGUGCCUGGACCCCAUUGACGGCACGACGGCUAAGCAACUACACCUCUAGUUCAUCCAAUUAAUCAGCUAAGGGCAUCCCAUUUCACCCUCAUGGUUGCACUGUUAUCCCGGGUGGUCUCUCAACGAACCAGUCCUUACGGAGAGGUACUCAGGAAACAGCCUGAGCCCCCUAGAGUAUCACAAGAUCAUCAACAUCAACAGGAUAACAGUAUCAUAAAUAGCCACAUCAUGUUCAUUGAUUAUGUUAAAGCAAUAGCAAAGUGCUAACCAUAAUAGCCCAUAAGGUCAUCAAGGAUAAAGUAAAGUGCAAAGCUAGUCAAUCCUUAGGUUUCAAGUAAGUAAUGCGGGGUAGUAAGUUAUAAAUGAAUAGGACAUAAUGGGACAGAGGACACUUGCCUUCACCAAACUGUUGAUCAGGGACUUCCUCUGCAACUGCCUCGGGAAACACAGACUGCUCGUUGUCUACGCAAAGCAAUCAUUCACACUAUGCACUUGGGAAAAUAACAAACAAAAACAAUAUACCAAACAUAUGCAGCAGAGAGGGGUCACAAGUUCAUAACAGAAAAGGGAUAGGCACUCUAAAGUUCCCUAGGUCUGGGGGUAGAGGACUACACAAAGUGAUUCACUAUCCACUAAUCAGGUCUAAGUUAGUGGUGGGAUUAAAUAAUUAUCUGGUUUAAGUUCCUAAACUUAAGUGUUUAAGUCCAUAAACUUAAGUAAUCCAACUUUUAUUGAAGUCUACUCAUUUCCAAUUAUCUUAAAUAAGGUUUCAAUAGUCUUAAUCCUAUCCUAGUGAUUAGCUAUUAAUUAAUACAUGGAAACAGCAGGGAAACAUUGCAUAAACAGAUAGAUAAUAAUAUUAUGAACAUUUUGCAAUUUGAAGCACCUAAUUUGGAGUUCAUAUGACAAAGUUAUGAAUUUUACAAGUUUAGGGGUUAAAAUUAUACCCUAAGGACUUAUUUUUAAUCAAAUAAAAGGGCCAGGGACUUAACUGCGAGAAACCAGGGACGGCGGGCGCAAUUUCCAGAAAACAGGGGGGCUCUUUAAGAAAAUGCGCGGGCGAAGGGGUAUCGGGCGCCUACAGCCGUUGGAUCUCAGAUCGGCGGCUAGGAUUAGAUCCCGCGGCGGGCGCGCGGGCGCGCGGCGGCGUGAGCGGCUGACAGGCGGGGCCGGGCGGACAGCGCGCGCGGGCGGACUGACAAGUGGGGCCUGGCGGGCAGAGAGACGGGGUGAGGGGGUAGUGGGCCUGGGCCGCUGGAUCGCUGGCGGACGGCCAGGAUUAGGUCCGAGCGAGUUGAAUCAGGACCGCCCGAUCUGGGUUGAACGGCGGAGAUCGGAUGGGCAGCCUGGGUCUUCCCUACGGCUAGCUGGGGCGGCGGCGCUCGUCCCCGCGGCGGAGGGCUCGCCGGAGACGAGGGGCACGGGCGACUGGCGGGGCUCUGGGGCAAUCCGAGUGGUCGGGGAGGUCAGGGAGGGCACGGGGACUCCAUUGGUGGGGUCUGGGUCGGGGCAGAGGCACCGGAGGGGGGCGGUUCACGGCGGGGCGGCUCGGCGGCGGGGUUAUUCUACUCCGGCGAGCAAUCAAACGCAACAGAGAGCAAAACAAGGGGCGAUAGGGGCGGGAGAGGUCCCUUACCUCAAGGCGGGCUCCGGGGACUCCUCGGCGGCGACAGAGACGCGACGGGGACCCGGGUCGACGGUGGCGGCUGCACGGCGGACGACGGGUGAGUGCGGGCAGAGAGAAAUAGGGAGGGGGAGAGGGAAUUGGGGCGCGUUCCGGGUUGCGGACGUCGGGGCGGAGCUCACCGGGGCUAAGGGCGCGGCGGAGCUCCAACGGCGACGAGAAACCGAGCUCAGGACGGCGGGGCUAUGGCGGCGGCGCUCUGCGUGCGCGCAGCGAGGGGGAAAGAGGGUCUACUGGGCGCAAAUGGGGGGAGAGGGUGAGGGCGAGUGGGGCUCGGGGCACAAGUGGCCAAGGGCGAGGUGGGGCGAGUCCCACGCGCGACGUGGGCGCGGGGAAGGCGGGCGCGAGCAGCUCGGCGGCGGUUACGCGGGGACGACGGGGCUGACAAGCCGGGCCCGCAACGCAGAGAGAGAGAAGAAAGCGGGUGCGGGCGCGAGAGAAGCGGGGCUGACGGGUUGGGCCCACGGGCAGAGAGAGAGCGAGGGAGCGGGCGCGCGGGGGAAAGCGGCAGCGCCGACAGGUGGGGCCGGGCGAGCAGUGAGAGAGGGAGGCGGGUACGCGGAAGGCGACCGCGCCGACAGGCCGGGCCCGCUGCGCAGAGAGAGGAGGGAGAGAGGCGCGCGCGGGAAUGGGCCGGCUGGGCCGAAAGGCCGAGGGGGCGGGUAGGUUGGGCCUCUUUGCCUUUUUCUUUUAUUCUGAAUUGUUUUUCCCUUUUCUUUUUACCUAUUCUAUUUGAUUCAAAUUCAAAUGAGCCCCAAAAUCCAAAUUAGACUUUUUGAGAAUUAUGCACCAAACAAAAGUGAAAUCUAGGGUUCAACAUGAUGCAACAAUUCAUAUUCCCUUAGGGUUUGAGCUAAUAGACUAUAAUUACAAAUAAAAUAACCACUUUUCUCCUAUAGAAAUGAGAAAGAGAAGAUUGGGAAAGGAUGAAAAAAAAGGGAAGUAACACCUGAAUUUGUGAAUAUGAGCAAAGAAAUUUUAUACCCCCAAAUUCAGGGUGUUACAAACCUAUCCCCCUUAAAAGAAUCUCGCCCCCGAGAUUCAGGGUUGGUCAGCAAAGAGUUCAGGGUAUUUGGCCUUCAGGUCAUCUUCUCGUUCCCAGGUUGCUUCUUCUUCGGAGUGGUGACCCCAUCUGACUUUGCACAUUCUGAUGGUGUUCCUCCGGGUGACUCUGUCUGCAAACUCCAGAAUCUGCGUUGGCUUCUCUAUGUAUGUCAGAUCCUCCUGGACUUCCAAACCCUCCACUGGCAACUGUUCUUCUGGUACUCGCAGACACUUCUUCAAUUGCGAUACAUGGAACACAUUGUGCACUGCUGACAAACUCUCUGGUAGGUCGAGCUGGUAGGCCACUUCUCCACGCUUGGCUUGAAUCUGAUAUGGUCCGACGUACCGGGGUGCUAGCUUGCCUUUGACUCCGAACCUUCUGACUCCCCUGAUAGGUGACACCUUCAGAUAGACGUAGUCUCCCACUUCAAAACUCAGUUCUCUUCUCCUUCGGUCCGCAUAGCUUCGCUGCCUUGACUGGGCUGUCUUCAGGUUCUCCCGAACCAUUUUGAUAUUCUCUUCGGCUUCAAGCAAGAUGUCGGGACCAAACACCUGUCUCUCUCCAGGCUGGUCCCAGUGCAGCGGAGUCCUACAACUCCGUCCAUAGAGUGCCUGAAACGGUGACAUCUUCAAGCUGGCCUGGUAACUAUUGUUGUAGGAGAAUUCUGCAUAAGGUAACCUUUUGUCCCAUCCUGACUUGUCUUGCAACGCACAGGCUCUCAACAUAUCUUCUAAGAUCUGGUUAGUUCUUUCAGUCUGGCCGUCUGUCUGCGGGUGAUAAGCUGAGCUGAAGUUCAAAUGUGUGCCCAAAGCUUCUUGUAACUGCUGCCAAAAAUGAGAUGUGAACUGCGUUCCUCGAUCUGACACUAUCUUCUUCGGCACACCAUGAAGGCAGACUAUUCGUGACAUGUAUAACUCAGCUAACGUUGCUCCGGUGUAUGUCAUCUUCACAGGUAUGAAGUGGGCCACCUUUGUUAAGCGGUCCACAACCACCCAGAUGGAAUCGUAGCCGGCCCGGGUACGAGGUAGGCCAACUAUAAAAUCCAUCCCGAUUUCAUCCCACUUCCACUGAGGAAUCCGCAAUGGCUGCAACAAUCCGGCAGGCCUCUGAUGCUCUGCUUUGGUUCUCUGACAGCUAUCACAGAUGGCGACAUAUUCUGCGAUCUCCCUUUUCAUACCAUACCACCAAAACCUCCUUUUUAAAUCCUGGUACAUCUUCUCACUCCCUGGGUGUAUGGAGUAGGCUGUCUCAUGAGCUUCCUUGAGGAUCAAUUCCCGAAUAGGUUUGAGGUCGGGAACACACAAUCGGUCCUUGAACCAGAUUACUCCUUCUUCAUCCUCUCGAAAGUCUUUGCCUCUUCCUUCUAGGAUCAGCUGCCGGAUCUUGUUGAUGUUUUCAUCAUCCUUCUGCCCUUCUUUGAUCUCCCGCUCUAGGGUGGGCUCUAAUUCCACUGUCACUCCUUGCGUACUAUUCAGGAAACCGAGGCUCAGUCUGUCAAACUCCUUGGCUAACUCAUACGGCAUUGGGUGCGAGGCCAACAUAUUGACUUGACUUUUCCUGCUCAGAGCAUCUGCAACAACAUUGGCUUUGCCCGGAUGGUAAUGUAUCUCCAACUCAUAGUCUUUGAUCAAUUCCAACCAUCUUCGCUGCCUCAUGUUUAACUCUGACUGGGUGAAUAUGUACUUCAGACUUUUAUGAUCUGUGUAGAUGUCGCACUUCUGCCCAUACAGGUAGUGUCUCCAGGUCUUUAAAGCAUGAACCACUGCUGCCAAUUCCAGGUCAUGUGUGGGGUAAUUCUUCUCAUGGGUCUUCAGCUGUCGAGAUGAGUAUGCUACAACUCUCCCUUCUUGCAUCAGUACACAUCCCAAUCCGGUGUACGAAGCGUCGCAAUACACUGAGAAUGACUUGUGAACAUCAGGCAGGACUAACACAGGAGCUGUAGUCAAUCUAUUCUUCAGUUCUUCAAAUGCUUCCUGACACUUUUGGGUCCACUUAAACUCAACUUUCUUCGCUAGCAACGCUGUCAUUGGUCUAGCAAUCUUCGAGAAACCUUCAAUGAAACGCCUAUAAUAUCCGGCCAUUCCAAUAAAGCUCUUGAUCCCACGAACGUCCUUCGGUGCUUUCCAGUUCAGGAUAUCUGCUACUUUCUUUGGAUCCACUGCUAACCCAUCUUGGUUUAUGAUGUGACCCAGAAAUAAGACUUCAUGAAUCCAGAACUCGCAUUUGCCCAGCUUGGCAUACAACUGAUGCUCUCGAAGUCUUUGCAAUACCAUUUUCAAAUGCUCUACAUGAUCUUCUUCACUUUGAGAGUAUAUGAGAAUGUCAUCGAUGAACACUACCACAAACUUGUCUAGAUAAUCCAUGAACACACUGUUCAUCAGGUACAUAAAGAAGGCUGGAGCAUUUGUCAAACCAAAGGACAUAACUGUGAACUCAUAUAACCCGUACUUGGUGAUGAAUGCUGUCUUCGGUAUAUCCGAGGGUCGGAUUCUGAGUUGAUGGUAACCUGAUCUCAGAUCUAUCUUCGAGAAUACGCUGGCACCUCUGAGCUGGUCGAACAAAUCUUCUAUCCUUGGCAGGGGGUACUUGUUCUUGACAGUGACUUCAUUCAAGGCUCUGUAAUCUAUGCACAUCCUUUUGGUACCAUCUUUCUUCUCUACAAACAACACUGGAGCGGCCCAAGGCGAGGUACUUGGCCUGAUGUAACCCUUCUCUAGCAUCUCAUCUAUCUGCUUCUUGAGUUCCACCAAUUCUGGUCCAGACACUCGAUAGGCUCUUUUGGAAAUGGGGGCGGUACCAGGGAUAAGCUCUAUGGCAAAUUCAACCUUUCUCUCGGGUGGCAUGCCCGUUAGCUCCUCGGGAAACACAUCCGGAAAGUCCGACACGACCUUGAUAGCCUCGAGUGGGUUGGGCUCCUUACUAUCAACUGAAAUCUGGUGACAGACUCCUUCUUCUGACUUAGGCAUCCUUAGCUCGGCCACUACCUCUUCUCCUGACGAGGAUUUCAAUGUUAUGGUCCUCUUGUCACAACUAACAUUUGCUUCAUACUUCAUCAACCAGUUCAUCCCUAGUAUGACAUCUAUCCCAGGGGUGCCUAUUACUAUUAAGUCACUGGGGAAACCUAUCCCCCUUAUUUCCACCAUUAUAUUUGAGCAUAUUUUAUCUGUUUGCACCUUGCCACCAACCGAAUUAAUCCUCAUGGGCGGCAUCAUUGCCUCUACUGAGAUGUUAUGCAAUUCUACCCAUGUUGCAGUGACAAAAGAAUGAGUUGCACCAGUAUCAAAUAGCACUUUUGCGGGAUGAGAUUCGACUGAGAACAUACCUACUGCCACAUCUGGUGCAUCCUGGAUCGCUUCGGCCUCCAAGUGGUUCACCUUUCCGCGGUUGUAUGCUUGGUUACGAUUGCCUGCUGCCGGCUGCAGUACACCUUGCCUUGCUGGAGCAUUGGGGUUGGUCUGCUGCUGCGCCAUCUUCUUUGGGCACUGCAUCGCCCAGUGGCCUUGUUCUCCACAGUGGAAACAUCCUCUGCCUCCUCCUUGUGCUGGGGCUGCUUGGUUGCUCUGAUUUGCUGCUGGGGCAGGAAGGCGAGGUGCCUGGUUGUUCUGCUUCUGAUACUGAUUACCUCCCUGCUGGCUGUGCUGACGAUACUGCUGCUGCUGCUGCGGGUACUGCCUCUGAAACUGCUACUGGUGCGGACGCUGAUUCUGAUUCUGAUAUCCCUGUGGGUGACCAGGUCUGCCUUGCUGAGAUGAACUGCCUGAGAAACGUGGACGGCUGACGCCUCCGGACUGGGGUCCACUCAUCUUGCGCUUCCGAUCUUCCAUAUCUUUACGCUUCUUCUCAGUCAUGACUGCCCUAUCGACCAGGUGCUGGAAGGUGGGGAAGGUAUGAUUCAUCAGUUGGUAAUGCAGGGGAUCCACCAAACCUCUCAUGAACCUGUACUGCCUCUUGGCAUCAGUGUUGACAUCCUCAGGUGCAUAACGAGACAGCUGCAGAAACUUGUCUCUGUACUCACUAACAGACAGGGGUCCCUGCUUCAGAGCCAGAAACUCCUCCUUCUUCACGAUCAUCAGUCCCUCUGGCACAUGGUACCGACGGAAACUCUCGCUGAAUUCCUCCCAGGUGAUGGCUUCGGGGUCAGCAUGGGUGGCGAGGUAGGACUCCCACCAGGACUGGGCUGCUCCCCUCAGCUGGCGGGGACCAUACAGAACCUUCUCCCUGUCGUCGCAUUGGGCGGUGCGCAGUUCCCUCUCCACUGCGCGCAGCCAGUCUUCUGCAUCCAUGGGGUCGGCAGAAUGGGCGAAGGUAGGAGGGUGCCCUCUCAUGAAUUCACCACGCUUAUCUCGUGGCAUCUGGGGCAUUUGCACUUGCAACUGGGGUUGGGGCUGCUGUUGAGCCUGCUGCAUGGCUGCCAGAGUCUGCCCAAUGGCCUGCACUGCCUGGGUCUGCAUCAAGAACAUCUGCUCCACUGACAUCGGGGGUGGCGGGGGAGGCUGCCUCUGAUUUUCCUCCUGCUGGUCAUGCUGCUCUAGCUGAGCACGCCUGUUGCAUCGGCGCCUGUUGUCAGACAUCUGUGGAAGACAUUCAUACAUCAGCAUUGAUCCUACAACCCUUCAGCAUAAGAAAAGAGAAUACAGAAUUCUUCAUGACACUGAGUGAACAAAGAGCUUCACUGAUCCUCAUUCAUGAUUCAACACAGCUUCUCAGAUAAGAAAGGAAAGUAAGAGUAAAUGGCUUCCCAACUAAACAACUGACUUCAUUAAUAUUACUAGCUAAGCCAAACUGCAGGGGAAACCCACAUGUUGGCUACAGUCAUUACAAAGAUUCAAAUCCAGUACAAGUUCAUCAUAACAAGCAUGAAAGCGACUGAUAAGCAAACUAAACUAAAUGGAAGCAACUGAUAAGCAAACUAAACUGACUACCUAAGACUGAGACAUCUGACUUAAGAAUUAUUACAAACUCCGACGCUAACGAUCUAAGGAUCCAGAUCUAUCCUGGUCUUACAGACAGGAGAACCAUAAGUGUGGUGACCACGUGGCGGUGAGCGGUAUGGGUGCUGAGUCCCAACAGGUGCGGGAGAACCACCCUCCUGGUGAUGGCGCUCUGCCAGCUCAGCACGCAACUCCGCAAUCUCCGUUCGAGCCCUGCUUAGCUCGUCCAGAGAGUGAUCCAGCUCCGUGUUAAGCACUGCGACUAGGUUGACUGUGCUGCUCAACCUAGGGUAAGCCUCACCAACAGGUGAAACAACCACACUCUCUGUGCUGCCAGUAGGGCGGCGGGGGUAGUACCGAAGGUUAAGACCGUCGGCCACGCCACCGAACAAAGAACAGUACUGAGAGAGUGCACGUCGUGCUGCAUCCUGCAUAGCCGCCUCUGCAGUGUCCCUCUCGGAGAUGGAAUAGUGCUCCGAAACGGCCUCCGCACCCCGGAGGUCAUCCUUCAGACGGCGAACUAGGCAGGUAGCCUCCCAGCGGUCCGGGUACCUCCCGCGACUGUGCUGGUAGACCACACAACGAUACUCGAUCGACCAGGUGUGCCGGUCGAAAGCCUGGCGCAGCAAGGUGUCGAGUGCGUCGUGGAAGUGACAACCGCGAGCGGCGUCACGGGUGAUGGGUCGGGCGACCCAUCCUUCCGCCUCCUGCGGCUCAGAGGACUCCGUGCUGUGGUCUGAGUCGUCGUCGUCGGGGUCUCCUCCAACAGCUCCUCCAACAGCCGGGACGUCCCGCGGUGGAACAAGGGGCGCCUCCAGCUGGGCAACAGAGAAACGGGGCCUCACGGUCUCCACCUCCUGCUGGGGUGAGGAGGAAGAGCCCUGCUGCUCUCCGUGCUGGCGCCGGCGUUCCUGCUCCUCACGCAGGCGGUGGUGCAGCCUCUCCAGGUGACUCGACUGUCCGGACACUGUGCGGUGCAGAGGACGCUCCGCCAGUCGAGACGGCAGGAAAGGAAUCACCGACUUACGUGCAGUGUGUCUAAGACGAGCCAUCUACAAAAGACACCGUAAGCAUAAGAGUAAGAGCAGAACUAAUAUGACAAGUGAAUAAACCAAAGAUAGAAUAAGAUAAAAAAUUUUAACAAGGUAUAGUAUAGAUAGAUAGUAAAACAUAGGGUUGGUCGAGGUGACCGACUUUUGAAGUAACAACAGAGGUCAAGGUGAGAGGGAAGGUCAAUAGUCCUUAGUACGACCAGUGCUACUCUAGGUCAGCGGUCCUACAGUCAGCACGGCUUUGAUACCACUUAUGUCACACCCGGUUUUAGAAGGCAAACCGAAUGCGAACUAUGUACGUGCCAGGAUCAGAACUCACGUACACAGCGAUUACAUAAAUGAACAUCAUCACACAAUGCUCGAAUAAUAACUUAAAAGAGUACUUAUUACAUCAUAGAGUCAUAGACAUCCACAUAGUCAUUGUCUUAACAGGUAAAUCAAAGUGCUAAACGAAACGCAGUAAAGAUAAAGCCUCCACAGGCAGCUGACUGGGGGUUGCCGCCAACCCACACCUAGAAUUCAUCGUAGUCUUGGAACUCCUGGAAGUCUCCUUCCACGGCUUCGCCUUCUCCCGAGCAGUGGUUACAAUGCGGACAACCUGGUGUUUUGUGGUAAAGCAAGGAUGAGUACACAUCAACGUACUCAGCAAAUGUCCCGUUUGGCUGAGGUGGACUAGCUUUAUGUGGGGUUAGGCUCCAGCAGUUGCUUUUAGUUGGUCAAGUAUUUAUCAUUAGUAGAAGCCAGAUUUUAGCAUUAACCAAUCCGUAAACCAUUUCCUCAUCGAGGAACAUCAUCAUCAUAGUCGAACCAAAACCAUGUCAUAAUCAUUAUAUCUCGAACCAUCUGUAUCCCUAAUCAAAGAGGAUCCCAAGGCUGCUCUUAACCGUGAGCACGGCUGAUAUACCAGUUUCACUACCCUCUGCAGAGGUUGCACACUUUACCCAUGAGUCAUGAUUCCCUUUCUACCCGGGGAGAGCUAAUCCCCAUUGACCACUACCUAGGUGGUCCGGCAGGGCAUCACUACGUAGCUUUUACAAAGAUUCCCUAGAGAUCAUAGCUGCCCGUUAGGUUUCUCCAGUUUGAUAAACACAGUACCCCUCCCCGCAGGAGAGUGACUAACAAAGAGCAAAACGAAAGAACCUCGGCACUCAGCCUCGGCAGAGCAAGCACUGUGCCUGGACCCCAUUGACGGCACGACGGCUAAGCAACUACACCUCUAGUUCAUCCAAUUAAUCAGCUAAGGGCAUCCCAUUUCACCCUCAUGGUUGCACUGUUAUCCCGGGUGGUCUCUCAAUGAACCAGUCCUUACGGAGAGGUACUCAGGAAACAGCCUGAGCCCCCUAGAGUAUCACAAGAUCAUCAACAUCAACAGGAUAACAGUAUCAUAAAUAGCCACAUCAUGUUCAUUGAUUAUGUUAAAGCAAUAGCAAAGUGUUAACCAUAAUAGCCCAUAAGGUCAUCAAGGAUAAAGUAAAGUGCAAAGCUAGUCAAUCCUUAGGUUUCAAGUAAGUAAUGCGGGGUAGUAAGUUAUAAAUGAAUAGGACAUAAUGGGACAGAGGACACUUGCCUUCACCAAACUGCUGAUCAGGGACUUCCUCUGCAACUGCCUCGGGAAACACAGACUGCUCAUUGUCUACGCAAAGCAAUCAUUCACACUAUGCACUUGGGAAAAUAACAAACAAAAACAAUAUACCAAACAUAUGCAGCAGAGAGGGGUCACAAGUUCAUAACAGAAAAGGGAUAGGCACUCUAAAGUUCCCUAGGUCUGGGGGUAGAGGACUACACAAAGUGAUUCACUAUCCACUAAUCAGGUCUAAGUUAGUGGUGGGAUUAAAUAAUUAUCUGGUUUAAGUUCCUAAACUUAAGUGUUUAAGUCCAUAAACUUAAGUAAUCCAACUUUUAUUGAAGUCUACUCAUUUCCAAUUAUCUUAAAUAAGGUUUCAAUAGUCUUAAUCCUAUCCUAGUGAUUAGCUAUUAAUUAAUACAUGGAAACAGCAGGGAAACAUUGCAUAAACAUAUAGAUAAUAAUAUUAUGAACAUUUUGCAAUUUGAAGCACCUAAUUUGGAGUUCAUAUGACAAAGUUAUGAAUUUUACAAGUUUAGGGGUUAAAAUUAUAACCUAAGGACUUAUUUUUAAUCAAAUAAAAGGGCCAGGGACUUAACUGCGAGAAACCAGGGACGGCGGGCGCAAUUUCCAGAAAACAGGGGGGCUCUUUAAGAAAAUGCGCGGGCGAAGGGGUAUCGGGCGCCUACAGCCGUUGGAUCUCAGAUCGGCGGCUAGGAUUAGAUCCCGCGGCGGGCGCGCGGGCGCGCGGCGGCGUGAGCGGCUGACAGGCGGGGCCGGGCGGACAGCGCGCGCGGGCGGACUGACAAGUGGGGCCUGGCGGGCAGAGAGACGGGGUGAGGGGUAGUGGGCCUGGGCCGCUGGAUCGCUGGCGGACGGCCAGGAUUAGGUCCGGGCGAGUUGAAUCAGGACCGCCCGAUCUGGGUUGAACGGCGGAGAUCGGAUGGGCGGCCUGGGUCUUCCCUACGGCUAGCUGGGGCGGCGGCGCUCGUCCCCGCGGCGGAGGGCUCGCCGGAGACGAGGGGCACGGGCGACUGGCGGGGCUCUGGGGCAAUCCGAGUGGUCGGGGAGGUCAGGGAGGGCACGGGGACUCCAUUGGUGGGGUCUGGGUCGGGGCAGAGGCACCGGAGGGGGGCGGUUCACGGCGGGGCGGCUCGGCGGCGGGGUUAUUCUACUCCGGCGAGCAAUCAAACGCAACAGAGAGCAAAACAAGGGGCGAUAGGGGCGGGAGAGGUCCCUUACCUCAAGGCGGGCUCCGGGGACUCCUCGGCGGCGACAGAGACGCGACGGGGACCCGGGUCGACGGUGGCGGCUGCACGGCGGACGACGGGUGAGUGCGGGCAGAGAGAAAUAGGGAGGGGGAGAGGGAAUUGGGGCGCGUUCCGGGUUGCGGACGUCGGGGCGGAGCUCACCGGGGCUAAGGGCGCGGCGGAGCUCCAACGGCGACGAGAAACCGAGCUCGGGACGGCGGGGCUAUGGCGGCGGCGCUCUGCGUGCGCGCAGCGAGGGGGAAAGAGGGUCUACUGGGCGCAAAUGGGGGGAGAGGGUGAGGGCGAGUGGGGCUCGGGGCACAAGUGGCCGAGGGCGAGGUGGGGCGAGUCCCACGCGCGACGUGGGCGCGGGGAAGGCGGGCGCGAGCAGCUCGGCGGCGGUUACGCGGGGACGACGGGGCUGACAAGCCGGGCCCGCAACGCAGAGAGAGAGAAGAAAGCGGGUGCGGGCGCGAGAGAAGCGGGGCUGACGGGUUGGGCCCACGGGCAGAGAGAGAGCGAGGGAGCGGGCGCGCGGGGGAAAGCGGCAGCGCCGACAGGUGGGGCCGGGCGAGCAGUGAGAGAGGGAGGCGGGUACGCGGAAGGCGACCGCGCCGACAGGCCGGGCCCGCUGCGCAGAGAGAGGAGGGGAGAGAGGCGCGCGCGCGCGGGAAUGGGCCGGCUGGGCCGAAAGGCCGAGGGGGCGGCUGGGUUGGGCCUCUUUGCCUUUUUCUUUUAUUCUGAAUUGUUUUUCCCUUUUCUUUUUACCUAUUCUAUUUGAUUCAAAUUCAAAUGAGCCCCAAAAUCCAAAUUAGACUUUUUGAGAAUUAUGCACCAAACAAAAGUGAAAUCUAGGGUUCAACAUGAUGCAACAAUUCAUAUUCCCUUAGGGUUUGAGCUAAUAGACUAUAAUUACAAAUAAAAUAACCACUUUUCUCCUAUAGAAAUGAGAAAGAGAAGAUUGGGAAAGGAUGAAAAAAAGGGAAGUAACACCUGAAUUUGUGAAUAUGAGCAAAGAAAUUUUAUACCCCCAAAUUCAGGGUGUUACAUCUCCCGACAUCACUUCGAGCGGUUAAGCUCUAAUGAAGCACCGGGCUUUGAUACCAAUUGAAAGUCGCCUAGAGGGGGGGUGAAUAGGGCGAAACUGAAAUUUACAAAAUUAAUCACAACUACAAGCCGGGUUAGCGUUAGAAAUAAUAAUGAGUCCGAGAGAGAGAGCGCAAAACAAAUCGCAAGCGAAUAAGGAGUGUGACACGCGGAUUUGUUUUAUCGAGGUUCGGUUCUCGCAAACCUACUCCCCGUUGAGGAGGCCACAAAGGCCGGGUCUCUUUCAACCCUUACCCUCUCUCAAACGGUCCCGCGGACCGAGUGAGCUUCUCUUCUCAAAUCAAACCGGGAACAAAGCUUCCCCGCAAGGACCACCACACAAUUGGUGUCUCUUGCCUUGAUUACAAGUGAGCUUUGAUCACAAGAACAAGUGAGAAAGAAAGAAGCAAUCGAAGCGCAAGAGCUCAAAAGAACACGACAAAUCUCUCUCGCUAAUCACUAAAGCCUUGUGUGGAAUUGGAGAGGAUUUGAUCACUUGAGUGUGUCUAGAAUUGAAUGCCUAGCUCUUGUAAGUGGUUGAGAAGUGGAAAACUUGGAUGUCUUGAAUGUGGGGUGGUUGGGGGUAUUUAUAGCCCCAACCACCAAACUAGCUGUUUGGGUGGAGGCUGUCUGUCGUAUGGUGCAUCGGACAGUCCGGUGCACACCGGACAUGUCCGAUGCGCCAGCCACGUCACCCGAACGUUAGGGUCCCGACCGUUGGAGCUCUGACGCUGGGCCCGCCUGGAUGUCCUGUGGCGCACCGGACAUGCACUAUAGAGUGUCCGGUGCGCCUGUUCGCGCGUGUCUGACUUCUGCGCGCUCUGGCGCGCAUUAAAUGCGAUGGCAGGUGACCGUUGGCGCCGAAGUAGCCGUUGCUCCAUAGUUACACCGGACAUGUCCGGUGAAUUAUAGCGGAGAGCCGUUGCGAAUUCCCGAAGCUGGUGAGUUUAGAGUCGCUUCAUCCCUGGAGCACCGGACACUGUCCGGUGUACACCGGACAGUCCGGUGAAUUAUAGCGGAGCGACUCUGCGUUUUCCCAAAGGCGAGGAGUUCAGCGCGUGGAGAAUCCUGGUGCACCGGACAUGUCCGGUGGCACACCGGACAGUCCGGUGCGCCAGACCAGGGCAGCCUUCGGUUGUCCCUUUGCUCCUUUGUUUGAACCCUUUUCUUUUGAUCUUUUCAUUGGCUUAUUGUGAACCUUUGGCACCUGUAGAACUUAUAGACUAGGGCAAACUAGUUAGUCCAAUUAUUUGUGUUGGGCAAUUCAACCACCAAAAUUAAUUUAGGAAAAUAGGUGUAAGCCUAAUUCCCUUUCACUAAUAGAUCAGCAUAUUCAUUUUCUCCACGAGGAAUGUUUUUAACAGAGAAUCCUUCAAAGGAAGCCUCACUCCUUCGGACUGUAUCUAAAUAUUUUUCAAGCUUCGGAUCUCUUGCCUUAUAGCUCUUGUCAAUAUGACCAGAAAUAACUUGGGAAUCAAUUUUAAGAAUGGCCCUUCUGAUUCCCAUUGCCUUUAACUUCCGAAGACCCAAAAGCAGAGCUUCGUAUUCAGCAAUAUUGUUUGUGCAACUGAAAUCAAGUCUUGCCGCAUAACAAGUUUUAACUUUAGAAGGUGAAACCAACACAGCAGCUGCUCCUGCUCCGAAGGUUCCCCAAGACCCAUCGCAAAACAUUGUCCAUGCUUCGGCAUCUUUAUUCGUUUCUUCCUCCUGAGCCCCUGGCGUCCAGUCAGCAAUGAAGUCUGCCAACACUUGGGACUGAAUCGAAGAUCUAUGCACAUAAUCAAUACAAAAUUCAUUGAGCUCUGCAUCCCAUUUUCCAAUCCUUCCAGUAGCUUCUCGGUUUCUCAUAAUAUCCUUCAACGGUUGUGAAGAAGGAACAAUUAUAUUAUAAGCUUGAAAAUAAUGCCGAAGCUUCCUGGAGGCCAUCAAAACAGCAUACAGUACCUUCUCCAAUUCUGUAUAAUUUUUCUUUGAUAAACUAAGAACUUCGGAUACAAAGUAUAUUGGGGCCUGCUUUUUGACUUGGCCUUCAAGCUUCUCCUGAACAAGUGCUGCACUUACCGCUGAGUGUGAAGCUGCCACAUAUAAUAACAGAGGAGCCCCUGGCGUUGGUGGAGUUAGUGUUGUUAGAUCUAUCAAAUAUUGCUUCAGCUCUUCGAAGGCUUUCUGCUGGACUGGUCCCCAUUGAAAAACUUCGGCUGACUUCAGCACUUCGAAAAAUGGUAAAUUUUUCUCUACUGAUCUAGAUAUGAACCUGUUGAGAGAUGCCAGUCUUCCUGUCAAUCUUUGAGCCCCUUCUUUGUACUUGGUGGUUCCAUUCGAAGGAUAGCUUCAAUUUUGUUUGGAUUAGCCUCAAUUCCUUUUGUUGAAACUAGACAACCAAGAAAUUUCCCCUUCUUUACUCCGAAGACACAUUUUUCUGGAUUCAGCUUUAAACCAGCCUGUCUAAAAUUAGCGAAGGUCUCUUGCAGAUCAGCAAUGUGAUUAUCUUGCUUCGUUCUUUUCACAAUGAUACCAUCAACAUAAGUCAGCACAUUCCUGCCUAUCUGAGAAUGGAGAACCUUCGCUGUCAUUCUGCUGAAGCUUCCUCCAGCAUUUUUAAGCCCUUCAGGCAUCCGAAGGUAACAAUAUGUUCCACUAGGGGUUAUGAAGCUGGUCUUCGGCUCAUCCUCCUUCUUCAUCCAGAUUUGAUGAUAGCCUGAAUAACAAUCCAACAGACUCAUGAGCUCUGAUGAAGCUGCUGCAUCAACUAAGGAAUCUAUCCUCGGCAAAGGAAACUCGUCCUUCGGGCAGGCCUUAUUGAGAUCAGUAAAGUCGAUACACAUCCUCCAUUUACCAUUGGCCUUCUUUACCAUAACAGUGUUAGCCAGCCAUUCUGGGUACUUUACCUCUCUGAUAACUCCGGCACUGAGGAGUCUUUUCACUUCAUUCCGAGCACCUUCAGCCUUGUCAUCAGACAUCUUCCGAAGCCUCUGCUUCCUGGGUCUGAAUGAUGGAUCAACAUUAAGCGAGUGUUCAAUAACAUCCCUGUUAACUCCACAAAGAUCAUUAGCUGACCAAGCAAAGACAUCUUUGUUGUUGAACAAAAACCUUAUCAAGGCUUUCUCCUGUUCUUCGGAUAAUUGAGAUCCCAAUAGUACCUUCUGCUCUGCUAUAUCCUCACAUAAGAGCAUGGGCUUCGGCUGAUCAGCCGAAGCAGCUUUUCCCUUCUGAACUUGUACUGCUUACAAGCUUCAGCUCCAUCUAUGUUAUGGAUUGCUUUUGAAUCUGUCCAAUUUCCUUCAGCCCUUCUGGCAGCUUCCUGACUUCCAUGAAUAGCAAUGGGCCCUUGGUCCGAAGGUAUCUUCAUGCAAAGGUAAGCUGGAUAAAGAAUUGCUUCGAAGGCGUUGAGAGUACCACGACCAAUGAUAGCAUUGUAAGGAUACUCCAUGUCAACAAUGUCAAACACAAUUUGCUCAGUCCUUGUGUUGUUGACAAAUCCGAAGGUUACUGGCAUGGUGAUCUUCCCAAGUGCUACAAUUUGCCGCCCUCCGAAGCCACAAAGAGGGUGCGUAGCAUCAUGGAUCUUGUCUUCGGGCUCUUGCAUUUGUCUAAAAGCCUUAGCAAAUAUAAUAUCUGUUGCACUGCCUAUAUCAACCAAAACAUUAUGUGAAAGCAUCUAGGCCCCUGGUUGGUUUUAGUGAUUAAUGACAACGUAAUAUUAUAUGUGACUAACGUGUGUUUUGCAGAGACAAAUGGUAAGUUAGGUCGCAUGACAGGUAAAAGCACUACAAUGUGAAAGCAAUCUCGGAGAUAAAAACUCGAAGCGACGGCUAGAACAACGGAACAAAAGGUGAAGGUCUACGGAGUCCGAGUGUCAAGGAGAUGUGGACACUCGCGAUCUAGUUAGGUCUUUUAUUCUCUUUUAGCCGUACUAUAAAGAGGGGUUGUCGAUGAGUAGUUUGACCAAGAGAGUUCUAGUGUAGUGUUGGUGCACAAUCACACUCAUAUACAGUGCUAGGUGUCACUCUAGAACUCACACACAAGUUAGAGCGAAAACCGAUUUUAAAAUCAGUUGAAAAACAAGACUUAGAGUUUCUGGCUUUGGGGCACCGGACUGUCCGGUGUGCACCGGACUGUCCGGUGCACCCUCUGCCAGGUGGGCCAGGCUGGUCCAUGGCAGGGACUCUCCCAGUCGCAGAAACCCGAGAGCGCAGCCUUCGGAAAUGAAUUUUAGUGGCACACCGGACACCGCACCGGACUGUCCGGUGUGCACCGGACAGUGAACUGUUCACUGUCCGGUGCGCCAUGAGUCCAACGGCUAGCUGUCAGAACUAGCCGUUGGAAGUGACCGUUGGCGCACCGGUGGCGCACCGUUGGCGCACCGGUGGCGCACCGGACUGUCCGGUGCGCCAUCGCGCAGCAAGUUUCCUGUAACGGCUAGUUGGUGGGUGAGGGCUAUUUAUACCCCUUCCACCCACCAUAUUCAAUGUCUUGCACUCCACAUUUAUUCCAGCACUUUGGUAGAGCAUUGCAAGCACCAAAAGCCUAGUGAGGAGAUUAGAGAAUCAUAAUCCGCGCUUGUUCCUCAUUAGCGCUAGUGAGAGCCACCUAGAGCACACACCACUUGCAUUAGGCUUCUCUUGGUCAAGCGAAAGUCUAUGGCUUGUUACUCUUGGUGAUCGGCAUCACCUAGACGGCUUGGUGGCGUUGGGAGCUCGGUGAUCACCGUGAAGAUCUUGUUGGUGACCCGGCUCAAGUUUGUAAGCGGUCUCGAGGGAUCCACCGCGCCGGAGUGGCAAAGGAUCAUCUCGUAGUGAGCACUUGGUUCUUGCGAGGAUCAAGGGGGAGCGAUACCCUUGCGCGGGUGCUCCAACGAGGACUAGUGGAGAGUGCUGACUCUUCGAUACCUCGGGAAAAAUUGGAGGAGUCUUCUAAACUUUGCUUUACAUUCCGCACUCAAUUUAAGCACUUUACAUUGUGUAUUUGUUUAGCAAGUAUUUGAAGUAUUAUCUUAGCUUUGUUACAUUUCUAGUAUUAUAUUCUUAGUGCUAGUUGUUGGGGUGAAGUUGGGCUCUUGUUUAGCUCUUGCUUAGGUUUUAAUUAGUGUUGAUUUUUAGAAAAGCCCAAUUCACCCCCCCUCUUGGGCAUCGUGAUCCUUUCAAUUGGUAUCAGAGCCUUGUUGCUCAUAGAUUAGCUUAACCGCUAGAGUUACGAUGUCCGGUGGGGAUGGACCUCCUCCCGUUUUUGAUGGUGACGAUUUUCCUUAUUGGAAAAUUCGUAUGGAAGCAUACUUAGAGGCUAUAGACAUCGGUGUCUAUAAAGCCGCCACACAAGGGUUCCCCGAACCUAGAGAUGCCACAAAUCUUGUAGGUGAUGAGUUCAAUUAUGAGAAAUGGAAUGCGAAGGCCAAAAACACCCUUUUUUAGAGGCCUUUGCAAAGAUGUGUUCAAUAGAGUUCGGAAUCAUAAAAAUGCUCAUGAUUUGUGGAUGGACAUUUGUGCUCUACACGAAGGAACUAGAAGUGAACGUGAGGAAAGAUAUCACAUAGCUAUGCGAAAGUUAAAUUCUUUUGAAAUGCUUGUCAAUGAAAAUGCAAACGCUAUGUACUCACGACUUAAUAUUCUUGUAGAGGAAGUCAAUGGAUUGGGGCUUACUCAAAUCUCACAACCGGAUGUUGUGAGGAAGAUUCUCAGUGUCCUCCCAAUAGACAAAUAUGGACACAUUGUCACUGUGCUACAUCAAAUGGAUCUUUCGGUUACCACACCUACACAAAUUUUGGGAAAGAUCAAUGCCCAUGAAAUGUACAUGCACAUCAACGACAAAGAAGAAUCAUCUUCCAAAAGAAAGGAUUUGGCUCUCAAAGCAAAUCAUGAAAGAAAAGGAAAAGCAAAAAUACAAGUUGAGGAAGAAUCCUCAAGUGAUGAUGACCUUGAUGCAAACAUUGCCUUGAUGGUAAGGAAGACCACCAAGAUGUUGAAGAAGCUAAAUAGAGAAGGCAUCAAAUUUGAUUCAAGGAAGAAGAAGUUCUUUUCCAACAAAAGAAAGCCCAUUUCUGAGAUGGACUGCUACAACUGUGGUGAGCUUGGUCAUCUUGCUCAUCAAUGCAACAAGCCCAAGAAGAACAAGUUCAAGGGCAAGAAAGAAGAUGACAGCGAUGAUGAAAAGAAGGAAAAGAAAUUCUUCAAGAGAAAGGAUGGGAAGCAAAAGAGGUUCCACAAGAAGAAGAAUGGAAAGGCAUAUAUUGUUGGCGACUGGCUCACCGACAUCGAAUCAUCAAGUGGGUCUUCUUCAAGUGAAGAAGAAAAUGAUGAAAAGGUUGCUGCCAUCGCCGGGGACUUCUCUUCACCACCACCAUCGCCAUCAUCCACUUCUCACCUGUGCCUCAUGGCUAGGGGUGAACGAAAGGUACAAAAUGAUAUUAAUAUUGAUGAUGAUAGUGAUAGUGAUAGUGAUGAAGAAUUUGCUUCACCUUCAUAUGAUGAGUUAGCUGACUUGCUUAAAGAAUAUACUCAAAUCAUUAGAAAGUCAAAAGCUAAAUGUGAUAGGUUGAAAAAUGAAAAUGAAUCUUUAAAUGCCAAGUAUGACAUAGUUAUAAAGGCUAGUGAUGAAAUAAAGGAAGAAAAUAAAACUAUGUCAUCAACUGUAAAUGAGCUCACAAACUCCCUAAAAGAUGCUAAGGAAAAAUAUGACAAAUUAAAUGAAGCUAAUAGGGAGUUGAAAAAUAGACUAGUAAAGAUCAAGGAAGACUAUACUCAAAUUAAAUUUGAUCAUGACAAUCUUCUUGUUGAAAAUGAACUUUUAUCUUGCAAAACACAUGAGGCUAUUAACCCUGUUGUUAAGCUUGAUGUAGCAACCUCAUGUGAUGACUUGAUUCAAGAAGAGCAAACUAGUCUACAUGAUGAAUUGACUGAAAAAGUUGAAGUCCUGACUUUAGACAACCAAAAAUUGAAGAAUUACUUGACUGAUGCAACUACUAGAGGAAAAGUUGCUAUUGAGAACAAUGAUUUCAACAAUGAGUUGGCAGUGGAUAAUCAAAGGCUUAAGAAUGAGGUCAAGAAACUAAAAAGUGAAAAUGAACAUCUUGCAACAAGUGUGCAAAAGUUCAACAAGGGUCAAUACCUCCAAAAUGAGCUGCUUAUGAACACUGUUAUGAAAAAUAACAAGAGUGGUAUUGGAUACAAUGCUUUUGUGCAAAAGAAAGCUAUCACUCAAUACAAGCCAAAGCAGACUCACAAGCCUAUCAAAUGCUUUGAGUGUGGAAAUGAAGGUCAUUUUGCCCACAACUGCAAAGCUAAACCACCAACUCCCUUGCCUAAGCACUCAAGACCAUUUGCUUUCAAUGCUCACUAUGUUCUAAGAAAGGUUGCAAAUGGAAAGAUUAAGGUUACAUUCCUAGGUCCACCAAAUAAGAGUAGACCUAGACAAAUCUGGGUGGCAAAGUCCUUAAUUGAGAGAGUCACUGGUCCUAUGCAAUAUAGGGCUCUCAAAACUCAAGCUUGAAUUGUCUGUGAAUGUAGGUGAACUACAAGACCGGUGGGAGCCAUUGGGUUAUUGACAGUGGAUGCACACAACAUAUGACAGGCAACCCACGGAUGUUCACCUCAUUAGAUGAGAAUGUUGAUGGUCAAGAUAAAAUCACAUUUGGAGACAACUCAAAAGGAAAAGUACAAGGACUUGGCAAGGUGGCAAUCUCAAAUGACUUAUCAAUAUCAAAUGUUCUCUUAGUUGCACCUUUGAGCUUCAAUUUAUUAUCAGUGGGACAACUCUGUGAUCUUGGACUUCAAUGCUUAUUCACUCCAUCAAAGGUUAUUGUAACAAAAAUGGAUGAUGAAUCAAUGGUAUUCAAGGGUUUUAGAUACAACAACCUCUACUUAGUGGAUUUCACUUCAGAAGAUGCAGACUUAAGAACUUGCCUCUUCACCAAAGCUUCUCUUGGAUGGCUUUGGCAUAGGAGGCUUGCACAUGUUGGGAUGAGCACACUCAAGAAGGUAUUAAAGAAAGAUAUGGUUAGAGGAUUAAAGGAUGUGGUAUUUGAAAAGGACAAGCCAUGCAGUGCAUGUCAAGCUGGAAAGCAGGUUGCUAAUACACAUCCCACUAAAGCUUUCAUGUCAACAUCAAGGCCACUGGAACUACUUCAUAUGGAUUUAUUUGGACCUACAAAUUAUGUCAGUGUCGGUGGCAACCUCUACUGUCUAGUGAUUGUUGAUGACUUCUCAAGAUACACUUGGGUGUUCUUUCUCCAUGACAAAUCUGAAGUUGCAUCUAUAUUCAAGAAGUUUGCCAAGAAAGCACAAAAUGAAUUUGAUUGCAAGAUUAAGAAGAUUAGAAGUGACAAUGGCAAAGAAUUUGACAACACCAACAUUCAUGAGUACUGUGAUGAAAUUGGGAUCAAACAUGAAGUAUCUGCCACAUAUACACCUCAACAAAAUGGAGUUGUUGAAAGGAAAAAUAGGACCUUGAUCACUCUUGCAAGAACAAUGAUUGAUGAGUAUAACACACCGGAGAGGUUUUGGGCUGAAGCUGUCAACACUGCUUGCUAUGCAUCAAACAGACUAUUUCCUCACCGGCUACUUGCGAAGACUCCUUAUGAACUACUAAAUGGGAAAAAGCCAGACGUCUCUUUCUUCCGGGUGUUUGGGUGCAAAUGCUACAUCUACAAAAAACGCCAUCAUCUAGGGAAGUUUCAAAGACGUUGUGAUAUUGGUUUUCUUUUGGGUUAUUCAUUAAAGUCCAAAGCAUAUCGAGUAUUCAACCAUGCCACUGGCGUGGUAGAAGAAACAUAUGAUGUGGAAUUUGAUGAGACUAAUGGCUCCCAAGGAGCACUUGAAAAUCUUGAUGAUGUAGGUGAUGAGCCACUUAGGGAAGCAAUGAAGAACAUGCCUAUUGGAGCUAUCAAACCAAAAGAAGAUGAAGAAGAGGUGCAAAUCAUUGACAGGCCUUCUUCAUCAAAUGUACCACAAGAUGAUGAAAAAGAUGAGAGGCAUGCAAAUGAAGAUACAUUUGUCUCUCAUGAACAAGCAAGGGUACAAGCCGAAGAUGUUGAUGCUCCAGGAUCUUCUUCCCAAGUGGUUGACAGGAGAAACUCAUCACUACUUCAAGCUCAUCCUCAAAACCAAAUCAUCGGGAGUCCUUCACAAGGGGUUAUUACUCGAUCACAUAGACAUGCUAAUUUUAUUGAACAUCACUCUUUUGUUUCUUGUGUUGAGCCUACUUGUAUAGAUGAGGCGCUACAGGAUCCGGACUGGGUGAAUGCCAUGCAUGAAGAACUUAACAACUUCACCCGUAACGAAGUUUGGACCCUGGAGAAGCCCCCACAAGAUGCAAGAAUCAUUGGAACAAAGUGGGUGUUCAGAAACAAACAAGAUGAUCAAGGUGUGAUUGUAAGAAACAAGGCAAGACUUGUCGCAAAGGGAUUUUCUCAAGUUGAAGGCUUAGAUUUUGGAGAGACCUUUGCACCGGUUGCUCGACUGGAAGCCAUCCGUAUCCUACUUGCAUAUGCAUCAUGCUAUGAUAUAAAACUUUAUCAAAUGGAUGUAAAAAGUGCAUUUUUAAAUGGCUUCAUAAAUGAACUUGUAUAUGUUGAGCAACCGCCUGGAUUUGAAGACCCUAGAUAUCCUAACCAUGCUUACAGGUUGUCCAAGGCGCUAUAUGGGCUAAAGCAAGCUCCAAGGGCUUGGUAUGAGCGUCUUCGCGACUUCCUCAUCGAAAAGGGCUUCAAAAUCGGGACCGUCGAUACAACUCUCUUCACAAAGAAACAUAACGGUGAUAUUUUCAUUUGUCAAGUAUAUGUUGAUGAUAUAAUAUUUGGCUCGACAAAUGACUGUCAUUGCAAGGAAUUUGGUGAGUUGAUGUCGAAGGAGUUCGAGAUGUCAAUGAUUGGUGAGCUAACAUACUUCCUCGGCUUUCAAGUCAAGCAAAUGAAAGAUGGUAACUUUCUCUCACAAGAGAAGUAUACCAAAGACUUGUUGAAAAGAUUCAACAUGGAGAAGUGCAAACCAAUCAAGACCCCCAUGCCUACAAAUGGACAUCUCGACUUAGAUGAGGGAGGUAACCCGGUUAAUCAAACUCUCUACCGUUCUAUGAUUGGUAGCUUAUUAUACCUUACCGCAUCUAGGCCCGAUAUCAUGUUUAGUGUCUGCAUGUGUGCUAGAUUUCAAUCUAAUCCUAAGAAAGCUCAUCUUCGCGCUGUUAAGAGAAUUCUUAGGUAUCUCAAGCACACCACAAGCGUUGGUCUGUGGUAUCCCAAAGGAGCUACUUUUGAUUUAAUUGGCUAUUCCGAUUCGGAUUAUGCCGGUUGCAAAAUUGAUAGGAAAAGUACUUCUGGGGGAUGCCAUCUGCUUGGUAGAUCACUAGUUUCAUGGACAUCCAAAAAGCAAAAUAGUGUUGCCUUGUCAACUGCCGAAGCGGAAUACAUUGCCGCAGGUGCUUGUUGCACACAGAUUUUAUAUAUGAAACAAACUCUUCUAGACUAUGGCGUAGUUCUAGAAAAAGUACCUUUGUUGUGUGAUAAUGAGAGUGCUGUUAAAAUUGCUAAUAAUCCUGUACAACACUCUCGCACCAAGCACAUUGAUAUCCGUCAUCACUUCCUUAGAGAUCAUGUUGCUAAAGGAGAUAUUGUUUUAGAAGGAGUGAGGUCGGAAGAUCAAUUAGCGGAUAUUUUCACUAAGCCACUUGAUAAGACCCGCUUUUGCAUGUUGAGAAAUGAACUAAAUAUUCUUGAUCUCAGAAAUUUUAUGUGAAAUGUCAAAUGGUGUUGUCAAGCUUGCAUUGCAUAUUUAAAUUCCUUGUAUUGCAUCUAGGGCUUGUCUAACCUAGUUGAGAUAACCGCCAAUAAAGCGAGUGAAAAAGCUUAACUCGGGUCAAACUUGACAAGUCCUAGCUUUAAGCUUUUAGCACCUAAAUUCUUACUUUCAUGCAAUUAUUGGUUCUUGAAAUAUGCAUGAGGUACUGCACUUAGGGGGAGUAUUCAAAACUCAAAUCACUCAUGAAAACCCCUAGUGCAAACCAAAAUACAAAUUUCACCAUUUGCCUAUUUUCUCUAAAAAAUUAUCUAGCCUAUGGCAAAAUAUUUUGAAAAGUAUAUGAGGGUGCCAAUACCUGUCCCAACAAGUGUUCUUUUGUGUGAUUAUAAGUUGGGAUUUGGUUUGGUUAGGAGUUAGAUAGAAAAAUUCAAAAUUUUCCAAACUCCCCUCUGUCUGGGCUCACCGGACAGUCCGGUGUGCACCGGACACUGCACUGUGCAAUGUCCGGUGCACCGGCAGCCGCGCGCAAAAUUCCUCUUUUCCUGUGCGCUGUCCGGUGGUUCACCGGACAGCUACUGUGCGCUGUCCGGUGUGCACCGGACAGCCACUGUAGACUGUCCGGUGUGCCCAUCUCGCGUUUUUAAAAAAUCGGCCUCCAGCCCAUGCCAGGCCAGAGGCCUCAUCCUUUCCCUGGCCGCGCUCUGUCUCCGCUGUCUCUGGCGACUUCCAAGCGCCCGCCAUCGAUCUCUUCUCUCCGGCGGCCUCCAUCUCCGGCGGCCUCCAUCUCCGGCGUCCUGCGCACCCCUUCUGCUCCCCCUCCAUAAGCAGCCCUCUGUCCUCCCUCUCUCUCUCUCUUUUCUCUGACAGUUAGGCAGUGAACUCCACCCUCUUGCAAAUCCUUCCAAUCUCUGUGAAAUCCGAUGAAUUCCUUUGUGAAAUGUGUUCCCCUAUGUGCCUUAAGCAUCCUUGCAGGUUCCUAGCUCCUUCGGGAGGGCAUUCCCACCUCAAAUGGCCAUUUCCCUAAAACCCUAGAUCCCCGCACACCACGUGCUCGGUGAAAUGCCCAAACCAGCCAAACUUGCUCAAAUUGAACCCAAAUUUUUCAGGCUCCUUCACCACACUUCCAGUAACCUACUUGCCAAAUUUCACGCCAAUCCGAGAUCCCAGGCUUAAAUUUCAUCAAAAUUCCCGUUUUGCGCGAUCGUUUCCGAGUCGAGUGUCCAAAACCCUAUUUCUUCGCCUAAAUUCAAACCAAGCACACACUUCACUCAUAUUGACCUAUAUAAACCUAUUCGUGAAGUAUCGGCUCAAUCCCAUAUCGUUUUGUGCCUCAAUUUGAAUUCCAAUCACCCUAUGUCUCUAUUUGUCCGUCAACCGUCGUUUUCACGGCUUUUGACUUAUCGAUCGUCCCGUCUCGUGCCAUCUCUCUUUGUGUAUGUAUUUAUUCACAUUUCAUAUGCUUAUGACUAUGUGACUAAUACGUGCUCACCUCUUCUGUCAUUUCAGUGACCUUGUGUGACCGUGUGCCGUCUCCCGUUCUGCCUGGAUCGUCACCUCCAGUGUGCGCUUUCCAGGUAGACAUCUCACUCUUUACUAAAUCUAUCGGUCACUUUUGCUCUGUGCUUAGUUUCUCUAUCUUGUUUGCAGACUUUAGUUCCGGAUGCCGCGCACGAAGAAUGCGUCGGCAUCAGGGGGUGGCGACGAUGAGGACCCUCGUCGCCCCUUCAGGCAGGUGAAGGGCAAGACUGUGUAUCUGGAGCAGCAGGAAGGCCGCAAGAAGCGGCGUUCAGACAGAGAGGCUCGUGCAGCAGCAGCUGCUGCAGCAGCCGCUGCACAGGCAGCACUUGGAGAUCAGCCGGAUGUUCCAUCAGAUCAGAUUGCUUUCCGUGCUCGUCGUCUCGCCUCCCGGUCUCGCUCCUCCACUCGCACCUCCGCUUCCACUCUGCCACCCACUCUGCCUGCUCCAGUCACUCCUAUUGCUCCAUCCACCUCCACCGCCAUACCCACUACCAGCACCACGCCAGCUUCCACUGCUUCCCCUGCCCCCGCUCCCGCUUCAGCUCCACCUGUCCCUCCACCUCGCUUCCGGGAGCGUGAUGAGACUGAGGUUCGUCCUCUGGCUUCGGAUCCUCGUCUGUUUGAUCUUCAGCGUGCUACUGCAGCCCGGGUACGUCGGUUCAGGUACGUACCCGUGGAGUCUUGGCUGCCUGCUCAGAGAGACCCAGCAGUAGGAGUUCUCUUCAGCACACGGAUUCAGGAGUCUUUCUUCAGGGCUCAGAUGUCUGCUCAGAUUGCGCUACGAGUUCACCGCCUAUUGGAUCUUCCAGCCUUCUUGCUAGCAGCCGGUGCUGAGUCUGAGGCGCAUCUCACCUAUUUGCCAGGCCUUCUGUCCUUUCUGACUAUCAGCGGCAGAUAUGUUGAGGAGUGGGUCCGCGUCUUCUAUGCCUCUGUUUGGAUUGACCCGGAUCAUCAGUGGAUGAGGUUUCGUUUUGAGCGCGAGGAUGUCACGAUCACUGCUAGUCAGAUCCGUCAGCUUUUUGGAUUCCCUGAUUCGACGACUCGCCUUCACAGUCUCUGCUACGGCACUUCAGAUCCUCCACGUCGCCCUCACGGCGGUGUGGCUCCAGGGACAGCUCACGUCGCGGCUCUGUUUCGCCCGCCUUUCACAGAUGGGUCCCGACGUUCUCCAGCAGACUUCACUACUGCAGCGAAGUACCUGUAUGAGCUCGUCAGGCGGACACUCCUGCCUAGGAUGGGAUACAGGGAGGCUACCACUCACAUUCAGCUUUGGCUCCUUGGUGCCCUGGUAUCCCACUCUGAGUUUGAUGUUGUUGACUUUCUGAUCUGUGAGAUUGAGGAUACUGUUCUGGAUGGGAUUCGUGCUCGACGGCAGCUACCGUAUGCUCACUACUUAUGCCACAUCUUUGCGCAGCUGAUUCAGCCACCUCGAUUUCAGAGCACUCUUGAGGCCUCACGCCUUGUGUUUGGAUCUUACCGCCCUGCUCCUGAGAUUCCAGUGCCAGCUUCUGCUUCUGUGUUUGACUCUCAGGCCGAGGACGCAGCUCUACGUCAGUUUGACACUCAGGGUACAGCUGCUGAUGAUGAUGAUGAUGAUGAUGAUUUUGGGGUUCCUCUUCCGCCUCCGCCUCCUAUGCCUCCACGCUCACAUGAUCAUGAGGCUGGGAGUUCCCGUGCUGCCCCUGCUCCUACUCCAGCUUUGGACCCUGCCCUUGCUUCGAUUCUUCAGACUCUCACCCAGCAGCAGCAGACUCUCACUCAGCAGCAGCAGACUCUCACCCAGCAGCAGGCUCUUCUGGCCGCCGAGCAGGCCCGUUUAUCCGACAGGAUGCUCUCGAUGUUUCAGAGCAUGCAGGACAGGCAGGAUGCACUUCAGCAGCAGCUUAUUCAGGAUAGGGCAGAGAGUAGGGCAUUCAUGGCUCUCAUGCUUCAGCAUUCUGGUAUCUCAGCACCUCCGGUUCAGUCUGUUCCGCCUCCUCCGCUUCACGCUCCAGUGGUGCCUUCGAUCUUGUCUGGACCCCCUGUUGGUACCUCUCCGCUCCGGUCGGUCACUUUGGCGUUCACCUCUCCGGUUCUCAGCUCUGUCUGUCCGCAGCCGCCAGUGCCACCAGCAUCUGCUGUUACCACUACCGCUGUGGCAGUAUCUGUGACCGCUUCUGUUCCGGUAGCUCCUGCAGCGCUGCCUGCGUCCGAGUCAGUACCUGCUCCAGCUUCUACCGCAGAUCCUGGAUCCGAGACUGACUCUGACCCUCCGUCGGCGUUUGCUCUGCUACCUAGACCUCGACCGGAUGCGCCCCCGCCGCCUCCUCCUGCUUCAGGUGUUUAGGUUCAGGUCCCUUUUGGUGUUUGACGCCAAAGGGGGAGAGAUAUGAGUUGUGAGAGCUAGGGGGAGUUAGAGAGUUAGUAGAGAGUCAGUGUCCUUUUGAUGUAAUAUUUGUGCCUGCUACUCUCUGUUCUAGCUUGAUGUUUUUGCCUCACAAACUCGUCAUAUACUCUCGUUGCUUAUGGUUGACUGUGUGUAUUACGAUUUCAUCUUAUAUCAUAUCACCAGUCUUCCUGCUCUUGUUUCAUUAAUUUACUUUCUCUUUUAUAUGAACAAGAAUCUUAUGAUGUGUAUGCGUUCACUCUUAUUAUUAUGGUACACAUUCUUUCUGUCAAAAAAUUACUGAGUAUAACUAACCAUUCUUUCUAUUGACAGAAUCUUCAAAACAAACUACUCUCACAAAACUUGUAGGGUUGUCAUCAAUCACCAAAAAGGGGGAGAUUGAAAGCAUCUAGGCCCCUGGUUGGUUUUAGUGAUUAAUGACAACGUAAUAUUAUAUGUGACUAACGUGUGUUUUGCAGAGACAAAUGGUAAGUUAGGUCGCAUGACAGGUAAAAGCACUACAAUGUGAAAGCAAUCUCGGAGAUAAAAACUCGAAGCGACGGCUAGAACAACGGAACAAAAGGUGAAGGUCUACGGAGUCCGAGUGUCAAGGAGAUGUGGACACUCGCGAUCUAGUUAGGUCUUUUAUUCUCUUUUAGCCGUACUAUAAAGAGGGGUUGUCGAUGAGUAGUUUGACCAAGAGAGUUCUAGUGUAGUGUUGGUGCACAAUCACACUCAUAUACAGUGCUAGGUGUCACUCUAGAACUCACACACAAGUUAGAGCGAAAACCGAUUUUAAAAUCAGUUGAAAAACAAGACUUAGAGUUUCUGGCUUUGGGGCACCGGACUGUCCGGUGUGCACCGGACUGUCCGGUGCACCCUCUGCCAGGUGGGCCAGGCUGGUCCACGGCAGGGACUCUCCCAGUCGCAGAAACCCGAGAGCGCAGCCUUCAGAAAUGAAUUUUAGUGGCACACCGGACACCGCACCGGACUGUCCGGUGUGCACCGGACAGUGAACUGUUCACUGUCCGGUGCGCCAUGAGUCCAACGGCUAGCUGUCAGAACUAGCCGUUGGAAGUGACCGUUGGCGCACCGGUGGCGCACCGUUGGCGCACCGGUGGCGCACCGGACUGUCCGGUGCGCCAUCGCGCAGCAAGUUUCCUGUAACGGCUAGUUGGUGGGUGAGGGCUAUUUAUACCCCUUCCACCCACCAUAUUCAAUGUCUUGCACUCCACAUUUAUUCCAGCACUUUGGUAGAGCAUUGCAAGCACCAAAAGCCUAGUGAGGAGAUUAGAGAAUCAUAAUCCGCGCUUGUUCCUCAUUAGCGCUAGUGAGAGCCACCUAGAGCACACACCACUUGCAUUAGGCUUCUCUUGGUCAAGCGAAAGUCUAUGGCUUGUUACUCUUGGUGAUCGGCAUCACCUAGAUGGCUUGGUGGCGUUGGGAGCUCGGUGAUCACCGUGAAGAUCUUGUUGGUGACCCGGCUCAAGUUUGUAAGCGGUCUCGAGGGAUCCACCGCGCCGGAGUGGCAAAGGAUCAUCUCGUAGUGAGCACUUGGUUCUUGCGAGGAUCAAGGGGGAGCGAUACCCUUGCGCGGGUGCUCCAACGAGGACUAGUGGAGAGUGCCGACUCUUCGAUACCUCGGGAAAAAUUGGAGGAGUCUUCUAAACUUUGCUUUACAUUCCGCACUCAAUUUAAGCACUUUACAUUGUGUAUUUGUUUAGCAAGUAUUUGAAGUAUUAUCUUAGCUUUGUUACAUUUCUAGUAUUAUAUUCUUAGUGCUAGUUGUUGGGGUGAAGUUGGGCUCUUGUUUAGCUCUUGCUUAGGUUUUAAUUAGUGUUGAUUUUUAGAAAAGCCCAAUUCACCCCCCCUCUUGGGCAUCGUGAUCCUUUCAUUAUGGACCAGAAAUCCUUUGAUCACACAAGAGAUAACCAUAGCAUCGUUGUGUGGGUAGUCCUUGAGUUGAAGAUCUACUUGAGAGAAGGUAAUUGGAAUGUGAGACCAUCUUGACUUGAUGAAGGGUCCUUGCACCCCGACAUGUUGUACCCUUCUCUGUGCCUCCUUCUUCUGCUUCUUGUUAGCUGGCUCUGAGCAUGAACCGCCUGUUAUGAGGAGUACCAGCUUCGGAGCCGAAGCAGCUCCAGCUUGAUCGUUGAACGAAGCCAUUAGCUCAAAAAAAGUGGAAGCGAGUUGACCGGAGGUGGACGCCAAUGUUGGAGACUUGUUCUCAAAUGCUAUGAAUCAAGAACAAGGCAACACAAAAGAUGUUAAAUAUCAAAUGUCCUUCGUCCGCUGAAGCAUCAUCUCCUCAAGGGUUUAAUGAUCUUCGGACGAAGGCCUCAAACACAAUAUUACGAAGGUGACAAAGAUAAUAUAAAGCGAUGUAAAAUGUAGAAUAUUAAAGAUAAAUAUGUUGGAGAUAAAUGGCAUCACUCACAUAUUUUAUCAUAUGAAUCUAAAAUGUUUGAAUACAAUGUUUAAGGUAUGUUUAUACCUUCGCCUUGACAAGUAAUAAUUCCCGAGUGAUGCACUUGCGAUUACAGGAACACGUGAACAGUAAAGGAAUAUUGUUCACUAUUUAUAGGCAUAGGACACAACCUGUGAGGAAUUACAAUCAUGCCCUUCAUAAAAGUUUACAACAAUGAUUCAGACCCCUACAGGCUAAAAGGUCAUUCUAUCUUUAAGUCGGUUCGACCCUUCAUCUUCGGAUACGUUAUAAUCCCGAAGCUUCAUGAAUGAUACCUUCAUCGUCACGUACGAGCAGCUUCAGCCGCAGCUGUUUCUUUCUGUAGGACCUUCGGCGACGAAGCAUGGUCCCAACACCUUCUUCUUGUAAUAUAUCUUCUUCUCCUUCUUCUUCCCCUCUUGUCGUUAUCCCUGUCACUAUCACUAGACAAAGGGCAUUUAGUGAUAAAAUAACCGGGCUUACCACAUUUGUAGCAUACUUUCUUAGAGCGGGGCUUGUAGUCCUUCCCCCUCCUUUGCUUGAGGAUUUGGCGGAAGCUCUUGAUGAUGAGCGCCAUCUCCUCAUUGUUGAGCUUGGAGGCGUCGAUGGGGACCCUACUUGGUGUAGAGUCUUCUUUCUUCUCCUCCGCCGCCUUAAAUGCGACGGGUUGCACAUCGGGUGUGGAGGAGGCGCCUUGCUCGAUGAUUUUCUUGGAGCCUUUGAUCAUCAAUUCAAAGCUCACAAAUUUUCCUAUCACUUCCUCGGGAGACAUUAGUUUAUAUCUAGGAUCAUCACAAAUUAAUUGAACUUGAGUAGGGUUAAGAAAUAUGAGUGAUCUAAGAAUAACCUUGACCAUUUCAUGGUCAUCCUAUUUGGUGCUCCCGAGGUUGCGCACUUGUUUCACCAAGGUUUUUAGCCGGUUGUACAUGGCUUGUGGGUCUUCUCCUUAGUUGAGCAUAAAACGAUCGAGCUCCCCCUCGAUCGUUUCCCUCUUGGUGAUCUUGGUCACCUCGUCUCCUUCGUGCGCGGUCUUGAGCACGUCCCAAAUCUCUUUGGCGCUCUGUAACCCUUGCACCUUAUUAUACUCCUCUCGACUUAGAGAGGCGAGGAGUAUAGUGGUCUCUUGGGAGUUGAAGUGCCAGAUUUGGGCAACUUCGUCCAAGUCGUAGUCUUCAUCCCCUACGGAUGGUACCCGCACUCCAAACUCAACAACGUCCCAAAUACUAGUGUGGAGUGAGGUUAGGUUAUGCCUCAUUUUAUCACUCCACAUGUUAUAAUCUUCACCGUAAAAAACCGGUGGUUUGCCUAAUGGAACGGAAAGCAAUAGAGUACAUUUAGAAAUGCGAGGGUAGCAUAGGGGGAUCUUACUAAACUUCUUGCGCUCAUGGCGCUUAGAAGUUACGGACGGCGUGUUGGAGCCGGAGGUGGAUGGCGACGAAGAAUCGGUCUCGUAGUAGACCACCUUCUUCAUCUUCUUCUUCUUGUCGCCACUCCGAUGCAACUUGUUGUGGGAGGUUGACUCUCCCUUUCCUUUGGAGCCGAACUCCCUUGAUGGAGCCUUCCCGUGGCUUGUAGCGGGCUUCUCGCCGGUCAUGACCUCCUUCUUGGCGUGAUCUCCCGACAUCACUUCGAGCGGUUAGGCUCUAAUGAAGAACCUGGCUCUGAUACCAAUUGAAAGUCGCCUAGAGGGGGUGAAUAGGCGAAAUCUGAAAAUUAUAAACUUAAGCACAACUACAAGCCGGGGUUAGCGUUAGAAAUAUAAUUGAGUCCGAAAGAGAGGGCGAAAACAAAUCACAAGCAAAUGAAGAGUGAGACGUGGUGAUUUGUUUUACCGAGGUUCGGUUCUUGCAAACCUACUCCCCGUUGAGGUGGUCACAGAGACCGGGUCUCUUUCAACCCUUUCCCUCUCUCAAACGGUCACCUAGACCGAGUGAGCUUCUCUUCUCAAUCAAUCGAGACACCAAGUCCCCACAAGGACCACCACACAAUUAGUGUCUCUUGCCUUGAUUACAAUUGAGUUGGGAACAAGAAAGAAAGAAGAAAAGAGAUCCAAGCGCAAGAACUCAAAUGAACACAAUUCUCUCUCUCACUAGUCACUUAAUUUGAUUGGAAUGAUCUUUGGACUUGGGAGAGGAUUUGAUCUCUUUGUUUAUGUCUUGGAGUGAAGUCUAGAGCUCUUGUAUUGAAUGCAAUGGCUGAAAACUUGGAUGCCUUGAAGUGUUGGUGGUUGGGGGUAUUUAUAGCCCCAACCACCAAAGUGCCCGUUGGGGAUGGCUGCUGUCGUAUGGCACACCGGAUAGUCUGGUGCGCCAGCCACGUCACCCAACCGUUAAGGUUCGACCGUUGGAGCUCUGACAAGUGGGGCCACCGGACAGUCCGGUGGUGCACCGGACAGGUCCUGUUCACUGUCCGGUGCGCCUCCUGCGCCUGCUCUGACUUCUGCGCGCGCAGGCGCGCACUGUUCACUUUCACUGUUCCUUUGCAGAUGACCGUUGGCGCGAAGUAGCCGUUGCUCCGCUGGCACACCGGACAGUCCGGUGUUACAUCGGACAGUCCGGUGAAUUAUAGCGGAGUGACUCCCUAAAUUCCCGAAGCUGAGCAGUUCAGAGUCGUUCCUCCCUGGUGCACCGGACACAGUCCGGUGGUGCACCGGACAGUCCGGUGCGCCAGACCAGGGCAAACUUCGGUUGUCUUUUACUCUUUUUAUUUGAACCCUUUCUUUGACUUUGUAUUGGUUUGUGUUGAACCUUUGGCACCUGUAGAACUCAUAAUCUAAAGCAAACCAGUUAGUCCAAUUGUUUAUGUUGGGCAAUUCAACCACCAAAAUUCAUAUAGGAAAAGGUUUGACCCUAUUUCCCUUUCAGUCCGGUACUAACACGUGUCAGGACCCAGUCUGGUGCGGACCUGUCCGCAUACGCCUCUGCUCCCCGCCCAGGCGGAGACUCGAUGCUGCCACGUAGCCUACUGCGCGCGACGUAAGCCAGCGGACGGAGCCUUACGUAAGGCCUCCGGGUUACGCAGCCCCUGCAUUUAUUGCGAAUAAGGCGCGCCGCCUGACAAGCGAUGUGCCGCCUCGGCAUUUAAUGAGGCCUGCCCACUCUGCUGUUAGGCGGCGACCUGUCCAUUCCACUGGCAAGCAGUGUGCCGCCUCAAUAUUUAAUAAGACCUGUCCAUUCCGCUGGCAGGCGGCAUGCCUGUCUAUUCCAUUGGCAGGCGGCACGCCUAUGCUGCCGCAUGCACUAUAUUCAUCGUCACUCAUACGUACCAAGGAAGCUACUGUUGUGUAUCAACACUGCGCAGGCAGCGGACAUCGGGGUGCCAGAAGAUCUCUCAGGCGUCACCUGUAUUAGUUGCUCCGUGUAUUCCUUCCAUUAUGUCUCUGGGCCCACAUAUCAGGCUCAACAACCUUGUACGUGCCUCCCUUGAGCUAUAAAAGGGAAGACACACAACGUUACAAGGAUCCUCACUCAGACUCACUUAGACCCUCAGGAAGUUCUCCAAGCUCUCGAGCAAUACAACACACAGUGGAGUGGGGUAUUACGCUCUGGCUGCUCGAACCACUCUAAAUCCGCGUGUCAUUUCGUGUGUUCAUCCACCAUCUAGCAACAGACAAAACGCUUAGGCCCCCUCCUCAUUUUAGGAUUUAGGGCGGGUGCAUUCCGCCAUCUGGCCGGAGAUUUCCCUCCGACAACCCCUAUAUCAAUAAAGAGUGUCACAUAUCUAUAUUACGUAGAAUUAAACCUCACAAUUGCAAACUUUAAAUCAGUGAUAUCCAAACAAUAGAACUGAAAUUACAAUCUCAAUAACAUAUUCAAAUAGAGCAUUAAAGUUUUGUGGGUACUCUAAAGCCGUAGCGGUUGAUCCUAGACAGCACCCUAAAUUUAGAUGGAGAUCCUACCACCUCUGAAUCUAAGGUAUUCUCUCGCUUUCCUCAUAAUUUUUAAUACUCAACACUAUAAAUUAAACAUAAGAUUAAUAUAUAAGUAUAUUUUAGGCUAUGACAAAUAUAUAUAUAUAUAUAUAUAUAUAUAUAUAUAUAUAUAUAUAUAUAUAUGUGAGAAAUGAAAUUUAAAAUAUAUAUAUCGAAUAUUGUGUAUUGUGUAUAGAGAUGAAUUCAAAAAGAACUCGUAUAAUACAGCGUGUUUGGUUCGCGAUCUAGAUUGGAAGCGAAGGGUCAGAACAAGGCAUAAGUCACACCAAACAAGAGCCGGAAUUGAUGAUAAAAUUGUAGUGGAGCCCGCGUAGAGAUGGCAACGGGUACAAACCCGCCGGGUUUUGCUGUCCCAAACCCGUACCCGUGAAAAAUAUUUACACUCAUUAAAAAACCCGUACCCAUGACGGGUUUGAAAUUUUGCCCAAACCCGUACCCAUCGGGUUUACGGGUGUCCACGGGUUACCCGCGGGUUUUUAUCUCCAAUAUGCUUAUCCUUUUUAUAAUCAAUAAGUAUCGUAAUGAUUAAUGAGAUCAUGGUCCAAAAUUUAUGUAAUGAACAACGAAUUAAUGAUUUGGUAUAAAUAAUAUUAGUAGAGAGAAUUAAAUACAGAUAAUAAGUUGUAUAAUCAAGUUACCUUGCACUAAGUUAUACAUCCACCACAUAUAUAACACUGGUAAUAACUAUAAUAGCAAGCAAGCAACACUAUCACCAACUACUUAUACAUUCACUAUUUUAUAAAAAUUAGGAAGUAAAUAAGUAGAUAACAAGUUUGUUGUUCGUUUAUAAAAUAAAAUGACAAUAUGCACUAGGUUUGGUCGGGUUUAAAAAACUCACGGGUUCACGGGUUUGGCUACUACAGGAACAAACCCGUACCCAUGAACCCGUCGGGUAUACAUUUAUGUCCAUUAACAAACCCAUGGGUAUGAAAAUUGACCCAAACCUGUGCCUUAAUGGGGUAAAAACCCAUCGGAUUUCGGAUUUCGGGUACCCAUUGCCAUCUCUAAGCCCGCGUCACACGGAUCGACCCCUGGCGGCCUUUCCGCACACCAGCCCAUCCGUUCGCGCGCACGCGAAGGAGCCGAACCGAUCGCGUCGUGCGAGUGCGACACGUAAACGAAAGAAGAAGAAGAAGAUGGGGACGUGAGCGUGCUGUGGCAGGGCCCACAGGCCACACAGACUGGGUUUGCGUGCAACUCACGCAGCGGCCCACGAAGCGCUGUCGCACGCGAUCCCCGAACAGCCGUGCACGCGCCGUACCCGGGAGGCAGCAGGUGCCCACUGGCCACUAACCCGAGGCGCCAGUUCACGCGGGCCACAGGACGCCCGCGCAGUGACGAUCCGGACGCGAACCUCGUAUCAAAUUCGCUUAUGGGCAGCCGUCCUAUAAGAGGCGUCGAGUCCGCCGGCGCAUGGCAACCCCACCACAACCCAGCGCCGGCAGUCGCCGUCAUCGAUCGAUCGCCGGAAAACUAACCCCUAACGAUGUCUGGAGCCGGCGAGGAGGACAAGAAGCCCGCGGAGGGCGGCG